rnacentral:lncRNA from 1 species
UUCUCUUUGCAGUUUGCACGACUUGCAUCUGGCUAGUAUAGCAGAUGGGCAUAAGGCGACAUGCAAUGCUGGUCCUGCCACGGGCUGCGCAGUUGCGUUAGGAACGGGUCAUUUAGCCAGUCGAACACUCCGUGGCUGCUCGCCGCCGGGAGCUGCAGGCUCGGCAGGUCCACAACACCCUGGCUCGCCGCCGGGAGCUGCAGGCUGGAUAUCCCAUGGUUCGCCGCCGGGAGCUGGAGGCCGCAGGGUGGGUUCACGGCCGGGAGCUGAAGAUGGAAGGGGGCGUUCGCAGCUUUCGAUAGAGACGACAUCGACACGACGGUGACCGUGGCGACGUCUGCUUCCUUCUUGGCUACCCUGAGCGCGUCGUGGCAGCUGCUGUUGCCGGACAACGCCACUGACGACGACGACGAGGAGGAGGGGAUCAGGAAGUUAUCCUGGACGUCGUCGGACGGAGACAGGUAGAAGUCGCCGGCUGCCGGGACCGGGGGCGGACACGCUCUGGCCGCGCCACUGUAGCCGUACCCACCGUUGCCGCCGGACCUCUGCUUCAUCUCCUCCAUCUCAAACGCUCUUUGCUCAAGCUCCUUGAGCGGCGUGGCCUUCCGGUACACCUUGCAUAGCACCGUGUCCUCCUGGGGAGGCGCCGCGCCGGAGUCGGGGAGGCGGUACUCGUUCAUGACCCAGUCCGUCUUGGUGCCCCGCGGAGCGCGGCCCUGGUAGAAGACGAGCGUCUUCUUGAGGCCGAUGACACGCUUGGGGUCGGCGGUGCUCCGGAUGGCCCUGUCUGACCCCGUCGCCUUCCAGAACCCCCGCUCCGUCGUCCGGUUCGGCCGCCCGCCGCUCCCCGCCUUCCGGUCACGCGGCACGAAGAAGUACCACUCCCUCUCCCCGAUCUUUGCCAUCCCUGCAUAUCCAUACACAGAUCUCAUCAGCUCGCUGCUCGGACAUGUAUCGAUCGGUUACUGCGACGAUGUUCUUGUUCGAAGUUGUUGUUCUUGUAUGUACGUGUAGUGUAUGUACGUACCAGGAAGAUCCCAGGGAUCGUGGCGGUAGAUGUUGAGGGUGCCGAUGAUGUCGAAGUGGAGCUUCUUGCCGAGGGCGACGCGGGAGAGGUAGAAGCCGAGGAGCUCCUCCUCCGUGGGGUGGAAGCGGAAGCCGGGGAGGUCCUGAUCGACCUCCAUGCCCAUUGCCAUUGCUCGCUGCUGCUCCAAGUGAUCCACUUGCUACUACAAGUGCUCGAUCGCCGCUAUACUUGUUAUGCUGCUGCUCUGGAAGGUGGAUGAUGGCGGUGGUGGUGGUCGGACCGUCGGGGGUAGCUUAUAUAGACCUUCAAAGUGAUGCCAACCUACGCGGUUUCCUGCAGAAAGCAGAAGAGGGGGUCGCAGUUUCAUGGCACCGGAGAAAACGACUGGUGCUCAAAUGGAUUAGUGCCGGCCUUACUUAGCACUAAAUUAAUCACUGUCCUUUGAAGACUUAAUUUUAUUUUGCUGAUUCUAGAUUUGUGAAGUCACACAGAUUGACUCAUUUUGGUCAUCCUUCUUCUAAGGGAUUUUUUUUUCUUCUAUUGUUGUGCUUAGACAUUCAGAGCCUGUUCUUGGGUAUAUAUAUUUAUCUUCUGUACUUUCCAAUUUGGAAUACUCGACGGCUAAGAGCCUAAGACUUCUAGCCGAAAUUUCUAUUUUGAGGUACAAUUGUUUCUCGAAACAUUCCAAUAAUGGCAGCAAUUUUUUAGUGCACUUUUUUACACGUUUACCUUGCAUCAGCAUCUGCUGCUGAUUAAUAUCCUGUUCGACAGCUGUUUUUCCUUAGAAAAAAACAGGUCUGUUCAACAGAAUGAUGCUGUAUUGCAGCAAUGGAAAUGUUAUUCUUUCACUGAACCACCGUGCAGUCACCGUACAUAAGGGAUCCUUCGAUUAGUAUUUGUCAAGCGACCAAAACCUAGCCGCCGCCGCCAACAGAACCAUCUUUCCGGCGCCGUUUUCCGGUGGCUCUCCUCCGCCGGCGACCUCUUGGUCGUCGGUCGUGAGGGGGGUCACCGGAUCCCGUGCGUGCGGAUCGUUUUUGCUUUAGGUUUACAGCCCUAAUAGCUUAGGUUUUUAGAUCGUCCGACGUCUUGGCUUCAACGGUGGCGACGGCGAUGCUGAAUAAAGAAGCUCCAGGUUCUUCUCCGGCGAGUCGAUCGUCUCUUUGCUCGGUGAUGGAUUUGGGAACCAGUCUGUUCAAGCAGGGAUAUCGUGGCGGCGACGGCAUCCUUGUGGUGGACUUGUGUCCUCGGGCUCCGCCAUUGCGACGACGCCUGCUCCAGCGUCGGCUCGGAGCUUGGGAGGUAGAGCAGAUGCAGAUUGUGAUCUGCAUCGACGACAUCUGGAAGACAGAAUGUGUGCUGAGUUCGUGGUUGAUGGAUGGCAGGUAUGGUUUCCUACUUCGGCGUCUUAGUCGUUGUGGGGUCUCAGAUCUGGAGUUCGAUAGCGUGUCCGGGGUGUUGCCCCGGUCUGAUUCAUUCAACGGCAAUGGCUUCAUCUUUGGUGAGCCACCUUGGAGGUCCGCAAAGCUGCAUAUCAGCGAUGGAGCCGCGUCGAGCUCGGGUGAGGAGGUGAUCCGUCAUUUUUUUUCUUUGGUGGCUGCUGUGGUGGUGCCGGAGGCAAGUGACGGAUGUUGGUGUCAAGCUUAACAAUGUUCUGCUAUCUUUUCAGUUUUGUCAUGUCGGUCUUUACGUGACUUGUAAUUUGAUCUUUAUGAUAUGAAUGAGACACGUAUUACCAUGCCAAAAAAAAAAGUCACCGUACAUAAGUACCCAAGUUUCUCCUCUUUUUAUUACAAAAAGCAGCCCCAUUCUCUGCCCAGUUACAUGUCUAGAUAUUACAAUGCACAUGUUUGUAUAUAAGAAUAUACUAGUUCGAUUUGCUGUAUAACAGGAAGGCCCCGGAUGAUUAUUGUCAAAGAUAUAAUUUCGUUUGCAAACUUUUACGCUCAGAUGGUCAGGUCUCUUUUGAUGUAACCCGCCCGUCCAAGUUGAAGUUCUAGACAUGGCAUACGUGCUUGCAUUUCCCUGAAUAUAUUCAGAAUUUCAAGGCUUUAUUAUUUCAGCACUAAACGACUGUCAGGUGCCUACGGUGACUUUUGUCAAUCUCAAGAUCUGUAGGCCAAGUCUCUCGACGGUGCUCAUAGGAGUAUGAGGUGUGUGCAUGUACAUGUGUGAGCAUCUGCGUCUUUACUGUACUUUGCGAAAAAAAGAUAUAGUUUUGUUGAUGUACAACUAAAAUUUAAAAGAAAUAAAAUUUGAGUUCUCAACUGUUGUGCCUAGUCUGGCCUGAACCCUAAAUUGUCAAGCAUUAAACCUUGAAUUUCUACAACCAUCCAAAAUGGACUUGUACCUAGUGUUGGAUAACUAGAUGAUAACCUGCGUGUUGCGGCGGGAACUGAUUGCCAUAUAUUCUAAUGAGAUUGGUUGUAUGGAGCAUAAAUAUGUGAAUUAAUAUAUAAUAUCAUGUGCUUAUUCUAUAGUGUAAACAUGUUUUCCAUUCAUGGUUGUGUAUUGAGAUAUACAUUUUUCUAUGCAUGCAUGGUUGCAUGUGUAUUAAGUAUGCUAGUUCGAUGGAGUAUGCAAUUAAGAAAGAGGCAAUAAUAAUUGAUGAGGUGGCAUAUUUGCAUGUUGAGAUAAAUAGGAUAGUGGGGAUCAACUUCUUAUGUAUAACAUAUGAUUCGAAAAUAUAUCUAGUUCUGAAAUACAGAUUUCUUUUUCUAGGAUAUAUGCAAAAAACCAACGAAGAGUUCAUGCAAGAAAAAGAGAAGUUCUUUGUUUUUAUAUCGAACAUACAUGAUCAUAUUUGUUGAUAUUUUUUCCGGUUAAGAUUUUAUAGCAUUCUCCACACAGGGGAAUCAUUUCUGAUAUACUUUAGAACCUCAGAAAACAAAAUCACCAUAACCUUGACCUAGCCAUUUCAAGUGGAUUUGCAACUUUAAAGUUUAGUUUAAUGUGAAAAAUUGUGAAGUAAGGGGUCUUAUGAAUUGAAACAUGCUAAAAUUUGUCCAAAGAUAUGAAAAACGGUCUUGCAUACAAUAAAUGACAAGAGAAACUGUCUAUUUAUGUUAUAUAUGUUUUCCACAUGUGACAGACAACCAUCAUUGUUGAUUUCUUUUUGAAGAGGGAAUGACCUCUAGCCUCUCAUUGAGUGAUGCACACAACCAUAUAUUAGUAUUGAUUAGCUAAUGAUAAAAAUCAAAGCGUAACAUCAAUGCCGAACAAAAUGAUCCACAAAAAAGAAAAAAAAUCAUUCACAAUGGAUUUGCGUCGCGGCAGGAUCUCCAUAAUCCUAUGACGGGUGACUGGAUUGAUUAGAAAAUAAGCUACUCCUAGCCAAAGCCUUCAUGAAGGAAUCGUCAUAUGAGCGCCGAUGUUCUCGAAUUCCACUGAAGACCCAACAUAGGAUUUCCAUCCCCGAAUCCAAGUCUCGAGCCAACACCUUCAACAAGGGAACUACGCUUGCAUGUUGAUAUUGGCUUAUCUAGCCGCAAGGGAUGAUCGUUCGUUUUCACUGGGAGUAUAUCCAAACUUGUAACAAAAUCCAUCACUACCAACAACCUCAUUGCCUGCAGACGACAUCUCAUUACCGGGAUCCUAACGUUGGGAGAGCACAAAGCCCACCUACUCCACUUGAGAAGACAUCGGAUGCAGCUUAAUGACCAUCGUCCUGCAUUACCCGUUGUCCUUCUUCCAGUCACCAUAUCACCACCUUCGAUCCUGACGAUGGGAGAGAAUGAUACUUGGACACAUGUUGGUCUAGAUUUGUCCACCGUUUCAUAGAUCGCCGCAUUGCAGCGACCUUGCGAAUCCAUCCAACUCUUCCCCGGGGCCGCCACCUCGUGUCCAACACCAUAUCACCCAUCCGCGGGAUUUUGCCUAUAGGAACGUCUGAACUAUUGGAUCCAAGCCUGUAUUUAGCUUGCGCUACUGUUAAGUAGCAGUAGCGCUGCCUGUUAACUCCUCAUUGUUGUCACCUGUCUACCUAUAGGGUUUUCCCUAGUAGUAAGGCACCUAACACAUGCCCACACCGGAGUAGUUCUGCCAAAAACAAUGCCGUUUGAGCCAGAGUCGAGUCCACAUCCAUGUGUGUCACAUAUGGUUGCACCCGCGCUGCCACAACUCCAUCACGAGCGGUGCACUGCAGCGACGACCACUAACGCAAUGGAAGUAACCUGAUGGCCCUUGCGGGGAAGUUAACGAGGGGAAUGGAUGUGACUAUGCGAGCAUGAGAAAGGACGCCAGAGACGUGACUGUCGACAUCAACCCUGGCGUAGACUAGUCCGACGACUCCACCCCACCGCCUCCGAGCCAGACGAUGGUUGGUGGGUUUUGCGACGGGGCCGCUGCCUCUUGACUGAGCUAGAGCCGCGCCUCCGCAUGUUUUAUCUAGCCAUCUCCACUUGUUGUGUAGUUGCGCCUCCGCAGCAAUAGCCUGCGUUACCGCAAGCUAGGGGUGACAAGGAACAUUAGUGUUGCAAGGGGAGGGGGGCGGCGAGAAGGCAGGGUGGUGAACGGCGCCACCGCUGUUAGCACCGAGGAAGGCGAGGGCACACCGCCACUCUAUCUUUUACGGAUCGCUCAGAUAUUGUGUAUUUUUUAAAUUGUUGAUAAAAUUUUGUUGGUUACAAACUUCCAAGCAUUCAUGCACCUAUUAAAAUUUUCACAUUUUAAAAAAACUUUAAACAUCGAAACUACUAUCCCAUCAUGGUAGGGUUCAAAUUAGCGGGAAAAAGAAGUUCAAAGAAAGUAUACGAUGGAAUGUGAAUAGUUUCAUUGUUCAUGGCUCAAACUGGAGCAGUCAACAUAGGUUAAAGUUUCCAAUAAUUUCUUACCAAGCGCUACAAUAUACAUCUGAUCCACAAUCCAAACACACAGUCAUAAAAGGCGGUGUUGAUCCUGAGUAUUCUUCCCGACUAAUUUUCUACUGUGAAAUCACUCGAUGGAGAGGGUUCACACAUCCGAAAGGGAAAUUCUAAAGCAGAUGAACAACGAAGCCCCAUCGUCUUAAUAAUGUACUAAUGGAUAGGUUGCUUUCCACAUGAGACGGCGCAUACAGUUUUAUUUUAACCUCGCUCUGCCGUCAUGCAACGCAUACUAUACAGUAGUUCUUUGUUUUCCAACUGCAGAGGAUUACGUCUAAAUUAGACGGCUCCGCAUGGUUCAGCAUCUGGAAACACAUGACUGGACUGCCUGUCCACUUCUAUUUUGCGAGGAAUCGACUCCAUGUCCACGUCAACGGCAAAUUGGACCUGGCCGGACCGGCCGGGAUGGCGACCAUUUCCAAAUUGAAAAGGCGUCAGCGUCAGGUCCAUGCCGCUCGCCAUUUUUGCUUUCUCCUCCGAGCUGGCCAGUAGACGUUUACCACAUAUUCAUAUGUGUUCAAAAUUCUUGGGGUAACCUUGCGUUUUUCUUGACUAAACUAGUGUACGAGAUUGUCCGUUGAUCAGGCAUCCCCCAUUCAAAUGAAUUCAGACCAGAGAGGAUGAUGAUGAACAGUAUCUUGGCAAUUUCAGCGCGGUUUGCCAGUGACCCGGUCGAUGCUACAGUACCAUGAACAGAAUGCGGUGCAUCUUGCCAGAAAAGCUUAGGCGAUGACCGACUCGAUGUCUGUGUCAGCUAGCUAGGUGGUAGAAUAUGUUUGUGGCUACCUUUGUCCUUUUGGUCUCUUGACCGACUUUGGUGGAACCAGGACUGAAAGUGACCAGUUGUGUGACAAUAUCCUGAUUGGAGCUGGCCCUUCCAAAACUGUGAACGCUAGCUUGGAGACGACAGAUUCGUCGUGGUCGUCGUCUCAUGCAUGAGAUGCAGGAAGCAAGAAGGAUCACUUGCGUCGGCUUAAUAAUCAAACGGCAAAGAUGAAGCAAAGCUUUUGCCUCUGUUUCAGAAAAAAAUGAUCGAACGGCGCGAGAAUUAGGCUUUGGAACUUGGUCACUGAAAAGCAUCACCUUGAACAUAUAUGGAUACUUCAAAUUGGCACUUGGAGAAAACCGUCAAGGAGUGGUGGGCUAAAGCAGGACCAUCACAAGCACUCCCAAUACGGAGACAAUGUUAUCCCUCAUCAUGUUGGUCUCUUGGACCGUGUGAAAUGAAAGACGCGCUCGGGCCUUCCACCACAAAAGCAUCCCGCCGCCGAUUUUACUAAACAUUGUCGUGAAUGAUGGAUAAUUGUGGAUCAUCAUGGGAGCCAAGCAACUAAGGAGGAUCAUAUUGCGAGAAUAAUCAUUCAUGUGUUGUAUUGAGAGUCGCCGGUAAAACUCUAUUCUCUUCUUAAUUAAUAGAGGCAAAACUUAUGCCUUCAUUUUGAAAAAAAAAACGACACGAGGACGUAGUUACGCAAAUGCCCUGGAGCUCAUGGCAGCAGAGUAGGAUCGAGUACAUGAAGGGCGCAUGACCGAUGAUUCUUUCUUGUGCAUGUGUCGAGCUCAUCAUCCGUUUUGGCAGCGAUGAGUGUCCGUUGCCUGUUUUGGAUGUUUACUAUGAACCACAGUGCAAUUUCUACGGUUUGGCGAAGAAAGUAUGGUGCCUGCUUUGGUCAUGCGUCCUUGAUCUCCCUCCUCUUCCCGUUGAACAGAGGUUUGAAGGGUAGACAGUCGACAUUGCACCGGCAUGUGUUGAAGUAGUGCCUCUCAUCUCGUUGUUUUCUGGACGGAGUUUUGCUUUGGUUAAUAGAAAAGUUCACAUAUUUUAAUGUAGAUUAAAGAUGAAAAUUAGAAGUUACAUCUUUAAUAAAAAUAUUAGAUUGUUAUGAUCUCUUGUUUGAUCAUCUGGAAAGAAUGAAAUAGAAUUAGUCUUUUUCAAUAUACGAGAAUACUGUUUUAGACAACUUAUAAGAUUCGUGUAACUUUUAAGAGGAUGUACCUAAGCAAAACUCGGACAGACGACCAUGCAAACGCACCGUGGUGCCUCUUGAGCGAGCAAACGAACAAAACCGAAUCUAAAUCAUCAAGCUCUUGUUUCCCGCAAAAGAAAAAAUAUCGUGUGCGUACACUAUUAGUCUAGCUAAGCAUACUUUAGGUCUAUCUUUAGGACGUCAUGUGUGGCCUCUUAAUCCACCAGAUGUAAACUGUAUUCUCGUGUAUUUGGACAAUGAUCAAUGUGUUUAUUAGACUGAAAAAAAGCGAACGUGGAAAAAUCAUGACGAUGUUGCUGCCAUGCCAGCGAUCGCUGAACCGGAGACCUUUGGGUGGUGGACUAGACCGCGUGAGAGAGAGUGAGACCAAUGAUUGAUUUGAUUUCUCCCCACGGGGCCCAUCAGGACAUCCCUACUCCGUCACUUGUUUCACUGCUCUUGGAGACGUGACCGCCGGCAUCGCAGCUGUACUGGUGGACGUAUGUGUGAUUUUUCGCUGCAUAUUCUCCCUCCAAAACAAGUAAAGGCAAUUCUGACCGAGCCCUAAAAGUUAGUGGAAUAUCUGACCGAGUAAAGUUAAUGGAAGAAAGAAAUAUGCUUCUCUAUACGUGGCCGCAUCUAGCCGAACCCCUAAAUUUAAUGGAGUAAAAAUAUAGUUUUUUUUAUCCGUGUGAACUUCAAACACUUCACAAUAUAUAUCAUUAAAACAUUGAAAUUCAAGCAUGCAUAACAUAACAAUCAUAACAUAUAGUUUCAGCAUCGCGAUUUUCAAAUAAAAACAUGCAUAGUUCGCCCAAAAGGCAUCGCUUCAAACAAUCCAAAAUCACCACAAACAUACAAUGUAUGUGUUGUGGAUCUCGCGAACCAAUGGCAUGCACGACCAUCCGCUCGGCCACUGGCGGAGCUUAAUGUUGUGUUGGGGGGGCUGUGGCCCCCCAGCCUUGCACAAUUCUCUGAAGAAAAAAAUAAAUAGAGGGCUUGGUUGGAAGCAAAAUUAGUAUUUCGUCCCCUCAAAUGUUCACAUUUUGUGUUUGCCCCCCCAGAAAUUCUGGUGUAGCUCCGCCACUGCGCUCGGCCACCCUCACAUAAGCUUUUUACCUUGUAGGCAUUUCAUCGAGCACUUAACAGCCACGACCUUUCUUGUCGGCUGCCGCCGCCGGACACACCGGAGCAGAGCCCGUGGGUGUCGCCGAAGACGCUACACGUGUCGUCGGUCGUGGACGAGGCGCCGAAGUUGACUUUUUCUUUUUCUUCUUCGCCGCCUCCUUGGCUAGGGCCGAUGCUGCCGUCAUAGGGUUUCGAGCUCUUGUGGCACCAUAGGGAGCGACGGGAUGGCGGCGGGCCAUCACCAAAGAGACGCUCGCCACCCCGGCGGCCUUUGUCGUGGUUGGAGUCGGAGCUUGAACCCGGUGGACUUUUUUUAUCACCAAGUUCUUCUUCGGCGUGGGCGGCGGCGCGGAGAUCAUUUCUGGCGGUGACAAGCAGGUGGGAGUGGUGGUAUGGUCCAGGCAGUCCAUUCAGCGGCGUCAGUGGGGCGUGGUGGCGGCUGCAGCGGGACAUAGGAGGCGGGAGAGAGCAGGCGCCACUUUUCCUCAGUCGAGAACGCGGUGAGUNNNNNNNNNNNNNNNNNNNNNNNNNNNNNNNNNNNNNNNNNNNNNNNNNNNNNNNNNNNNNNNNNNNNNNNNNNNNNNNNNNNNNNNNNNNNNNNNNNNNNNNNNNNNNNNNNNNNNNNNNNNNNNNNNNNNNNNNNNNNNNNNNNNNNNNNNNNNNNNNNNNNNNNNNNNNNNNNNNNNNNNNNNNNNNNNNNNNNNNNNNNNNNNNNNNNNNNNNNNNNNNNNNNNNNNNNNNNNNNNNNNNNNNNNNNNNNNNNNNNNNNNNNNNNNNNNNNNNNNNNNNNNNNNNNNNNNNNNNNNNNNNNNNNNNNNNNNNNNNNNNNNNNNNNNNNNNNNNNNNNNNNNNNNNNNNNNNNNNNNNNNNNNNNNNNNNNNNNNNNNNNNNNNNNNNNNNNNNNNNNNNNNNNNNNUGCUUAAACUAGACAUGUUGAGGUUUGCUUAUGAAAUUGCGUCAACUCAGGGCAUCUUCAAAAGCAUCCACAGCCGGACUACUGAAAUGCCCCAUAUAUGUUCGAGCUGAUAGCCCGGUCAGCAACCAGUAAAAUAAUCAUGACUCGACCGACCACCACUGAUCUACACCUAUCAUAUCAUGUUUAUAUCUGGAGUGAAUAUAGAAACGGCAUGUCUGCCACAUUGGGCCAGACAAACCAGACCCAUUCAAAUUCCACCAAAUUAACCGGGUCAACUAAAUCAACCAUCAUCCUUCCCUGUUCAUCCUCCAUUUCCAGUGUCCGCGUCGUCGCCGUCCUCCUUCGAUUGUCCUCCAUUUCCCGCGUCCGAGCCAUCGCCAUCCCCCACCCUUGCCCCCAGCCAUCCGUGUCACCGACGUCAUACACGUCAUCACCGAGAACCCCAUCCCCCACCUCUGGCAUGGAUGAUGCCUCGACAGAGUCAACAGUGGUCCCGCCCAUGGCGGUCAGCUGCAAUGCGGAGAAUGUCACCCAGAAGGAGUGGACACAACCUAGAUGGCGCCCUGUGAGUGAUCCAUCAUGUUGGACACACGCGACCGAGACGUUGAAUUUCAUUUUGGCAUGUUUACAUUGUUGAUUUGUGUUUCUUUUUGCUUUGUUGCAUUGAUUAAUUGGUGUUGAAUUUGUGUUAUAUGAUGGACGGUCUAUAAAUUUGGGGGUUUUGAUAUGAGGAGUGUGGUUGUCAGGCGGGACUUUUGAGACGCCGUCUGAGGUUGUCAUUGGACGCAUCCGCAGACGUUUAGGCGGUCGGAUUUGCCAAAUCCGGUUAUAGAUGUUCUAAUAGCAUGCUCAUAUUUUUCCCAAUACUCAAAACCUAUUGGUAUGGAUAUUUAGCACCGAAAACGAACUCACACAACUCAUCCAAAUCUAAAUGGGUUCCCAAAAAAUAAGGGAGAAACCCAAAUGUUGCUAUCCAAUAACUAGAUAUGGGUUUUCUAUAGUAGGAUACCUAUCCUAUCAAAAACAUAUGGCGCCAAGUGCAAAUGUACAAGAGGGAAAGUUCCAUGACGCCCACCGUCCCAUCCCACAUGGCUUCGGACGAUUCCAGUCAUGGGUCGUCGCCAUCAGCAGACCUACACUCAAUCAACCUCUAUUACAACCUCACCGCUGCCGGACGAUUCCUGCCACGGGGGCGCCGCUGCCACUUGUGCAACCACAAAACCUCCGUCUUCACCCCGCCGAACCAUCCCAUCGCUCGGCACCCUCUGUCAUGACCUCCCCGGCCUCCAUCAAGCUCGUCAUUGCCCAGCCUUCAUCCAGCCGAUUCCGGCCGUCACCCCGCCCGUUUUGCCUCGUCGCUGCCUAUUGAGCUCAAUUAGAAGCCGUGCGACGCGCACGAGCUUAGCAAUGAUCGGGGCACGACCACGGCCUAGGGAGAGUUCUCUGCACUCGGUCAAGGUCAUGCCUUCGGUCUUGGUGGUUACCCGGACUCCAAUCGGGUAAUGUCGUCCCUCGACCUCCGGUGAGCCUCUGCCGGCAGAAAGCAAGGUUGGUGGAUUGAUUUGUGGUUGGUCGCUUUUCAUAAUUUGAUGAUGGGUAAUGUUGAUGGAGUCACUGCUAGAGAGAGAGAGAGAGAGAGAGAGAGAGAGAGAGAGAGGGUAGCUUAUUACAAGGGAGUGGAGUUUAAGAACUUUCAAGUUGGUGACCCAUGUGGAAGUUAACAAGAAAAUGAUUUCAUGAAGGAGAACCACUCCCUUCGGGUUGUUUCGCACAGGAAUGAAAGUCGUCUUGGUAUGCCAAACAAUAGUGUGUAUUAUUGCACCUUGGUAGGCCAAAAUUGCUCAAUACGCAUUGCGUCCUCUUUCUUAGAAAGCAAAUCCGAAGUUUAACUUAAAUAGUCUAAAACAUAUCGCAAAAAAUAUAAUAAUAUCUGUUUGGCCCCUUUCUCGCAUGGGCGACACUACGCGUCCACUGGUCGAUUUUCUGAUUUUAUCCGCCGCCUCGACGGCCGUUGGAUGCCCGACCUGAUGGCCGUCCGAUCUAGUGUAGACGCCCGCAUGCCCACUCGUUAUUUCCUGCAACAACCACUCUGUUGCAGAAACAAAUAACACUCUUGCCCCAGGCCCCGACAGAGCUGCGCCCCGCGCGACUCCGCCGCCGACCCACCGCAAAAUCAGCUCGCCGGCGGCAUCCUGGAGCUAAAUUGAAGUUUCUGCAACACUAUGGCGCUCCAUAUCGCGCGUCAGAUGGCCGGAUCUGACGCAAAUCGAGCUCACCGAGGGGCCCUGCUUCGAGAUCAGGCGCGACCAUCGUUCUCAGCUCCGAGCACCGCCGGGGGCCACCGCGUGUUGGAGUUUCCUCUUGGUUCACAAUCCCCCGGUGGUGUUUCCUGAAACUACUUCGAGCAGAUAGCAUCUGGAAGCCUGGGUUAGUUUCUGAAACAUGGUCUCUGUUUCUGAAACAUAGCUAUCUCUGAAAAACAUGAAUCAACAAAUCCCACUGUCCUGCUCGAUUGUAUCUCUGAAACCAAGAGGUUCAGGACUACUGGCUACUUGAUUGUAUCUCUGAAACAUGAAUUCUAAAUCCCAUUGUCCUGUUUGAUUGUAUCUCUGAAAAAUGAUUUCAUUGUCUACAAAGUGUUUCUGAAUUCCUUGCAACCGCGCUGCCCUCCGUCCUAGCCACACGAGUCAACUGAGCCGCGGGCGUUAUCCAAUUGCACGAAUGUUUUCUGAAACAACAGGUAAGUUUCAGAAACGCGACGCGGAAGCGUGGACGCUCUCAUCUGUCUGAUCAACAUACGAUCCAACGGAUGUGGAGCCAGCGGACGCAUGAGCGUUAUCAGUCGGUUGAAGGUAAGCUUUUUCCUUCUCGCAUACCGCUUUAAUGUCUAAAACAUCAAUGAACGAUAAUAAUAUCUGUUUUUCUUUUUUAUUAGCACCACAAGCAUUCUUGAUUAUUAAAAAAACUAUUUUUACCGUGAAGUUUGACAAACUCAAAACAGUUCCAUAAGUUAAUUCAUUGCAGUCCUCGUUGCAAACUGUCAUGUUAAACAAAGAGACGUCUAUGUCGUAGACUCGUAGUACUAUGCACAAGCACAACUGAAUUUACAGCUAAGCCUCUACUCUGCUUCAAAGUUUUGCAUACUUGCUCUCUGCACGACUUGCAUCUGGCUAGUAUAGCAGAUGGGCGUAAGGGGACAUGCAAUGCUGGUCCUGCCACGGGCUGCGCAACUGCGUCAGGAACGGGUCAUUUAGCCAGUCGAACACUCCGUGGCCGCUCGCCGCCGGUAGUUGCAGGCUGGGCAGGUCCAGAACACCCUGGCUCGCCGCCGGUAGCUGCAGGCUGGACAUGUUCGUCAUCCCAUGGUUCGCUGCCGGUAGCUGGAGGCCAUAGGGUGGGUUCACGGCCGGGAGCUGAAGAUGGAAGGGGGCGUUCGCCGCUUGCGACAGAGACGACGUCGACGCGACGGUGACCGUGGCGACGUCUGCUUCCUUCUUGGCUUCCCUCGGCGCGUCGUGGCUGCUGCUGUUGCCAGACGGCGCCACCGAGGAGGAGGAGGAGGAGUGGAUCAGGAAGUUGUCCUGGACGUCGUCGGACGGCGACAGAUAGAAGUUGCCUGCUGCCGGGACGGGACACGCUCUGGCCGCGCCACCGUAGCCGUACCCACCGUUGCUGCCGGACCUCUGCUUCAUCUCCUCCAUCUCGAAGGCUCUUUGCUCGAGCUCCUUGAGCGGCGUGGCCUUCCGGUACACCUUGCAUAGCACCGUGUCCUCCUGGGGUGGCGCCGCGCCGGAGUCGGGGAGGCGGUACUCGUUCAUGACCCAGUCCGUCUUGGUGCCGCGCGGCGCGCGCCCCUGGUAGAAGACGAGCGUCUUCUUGAGACCGAUGACCCGUUUGUGGUCGCCGGUGCUCCGGAUGGCCCUGUCCGACCCCGUCGCCUUCCAGAACCCCCGCUCCGUCGUCCGGUUCGGCCGCCCGCCGCUCCCCGCCUUCCGGUCACGCGGCACGAAGAAGUACCACUCCCUCUCCCCGAUCUUUGCCAUCCCUGCAUAUCCAUACACAGACCUCAUCAGCUCACUGCUCGGACAUGUAUACAUCGAUCGAUCACUGCGACGAUGUUCUUGUUCGAAGUUGUUGUUCUUGUAUGUACGUGUAUGUACGUACCAGGAAGAUCCCAGGGAUCGUGGCGGUAGAUGUUGAGGGUGCCGAUGAUGUCGAAGUGGAGCUUCUUGCCGAGGGCGACGCGGGAGAGGUAGAAGCCGAGGAGCUCCUCCUCCGUGGGGUGGAAGCGGAAGCCGGGGAGGUCCUGAUCGACCUCCAUGGUCGACGACGCCACGGCCAUUGCCAUUGCUCGCUGCUGCUCUAGGUGAUCCACUUACUACUCGAAGUGCUCGAUCACCGCUGUACUUGUUACGCUGUUGCUGCUGGAAGGUGGAUGAUGGCGGUGGUGGUGGUCGGACCGUCGGGGGUUGCUUAUAUAGAGCUUCAAAGUGAUGCCAACCGAGUCGGUUUCCUGCAGAAAGCAGAAGAGGGGGCCGCAGUUUCAUGGCACCGGAGAAAACGACUGCUGCUCAAAUGGAUUUGUGCCGGCCUUACUUAGCACUCAAUUAAUCACGUCCUUUGAAGACUUAAUUUUAAUUUGCUCAUGUAGAUAUUUGUAGUCACACAGAUUGACUCAUUUUGGUCAUCCUUCUUUUAAGGAUUUUUUUCUUCUAUUGUUGUGCUUUCCAGAGCCUGUUCUUGGGUGUAUAUAUUUAUCUUCUGUACUUUCCAAUUUGGAAUACUCGACGGCUAAGACUUCUAGCCGAAAUUUCUAUUUUGAGGUACAAUUGUUUCUCGAAACAUUCCAAUAAUGGCAGCAAUUUUUUAGUGCACUUUUUUACACGUUUACCUUGCAUCUGCAUCUGCUGCUAAUUAAUAUCCUCUUCGACAGCUGUUUUUCCAGAAAAAAACAGGUUUGUUCAACAGAAUGAUGCUGUAUUGCAGCAAUGGAAAUGUUAUUCUUCCACUGAACCACCGUGCAGUCACCGUACAUAAGUACCCAAGUUUCUCCUCUUUUUAUUACAAAAAGCAACCCCAUUCUCUGCCCAGUUACAUGACUAGAUAUUACAAUGCACAUGUUUGUAUAUAAGAAUAUACUAGUUCGAAUUGCUGUAUAACCGCAAGGCCCCGGAUGAUUAUUAUUAAAGAUAUACUUUUGUUUGCAAACUUUUACGCUCAGAUGGUCAGGUCUCUUUUGAUUUGACCCGCCCGUCCAAGUUGAAGUUCUAGACAUGGUGUUACGACCGGGCAGACUUAUGCCCGUAGGAGGCCCACCGGGCAGGUUUACUUAGGGGCUUGGCCCAUAAGUUAUCUUAUUUUCUAGUAUCGUGGUUAUAUAUACUAGCUGUAAAACUAUUUUGAGGAUUAAAUAAUAAGAAGAAUUCUAUUGCCCGGCUCCCAGAGGAGCCGGACCCUAACCCUAGCCGCCUCCCUCUCUCAGCCGCCGCCUCCCUCCUUCUUCAUCGCGACGGCGCCCGUGCGCCGGCCGCCGCGCCCUCACCCCUCUCAGCUCCCGGUCUUCCCCUACAACAUACGCAGUAGGACCGGUAGGACCCUGGGUCAUACCAAUUUGGUAUCGGUUCGAUCAUGUCUUCCUCUCACCCACGCCGCCGCUGCCCAUCGGCACCACCGCCGCCUACGGCCACCCCGCGCUGUUGUGGCCGUCACAGGGCGCUGCCGCGGGCGGCGGCCUCCCGCUGCUGCCGUUCCAGGCGGGCCACCCCAGUGGGCCGCCCUUGCCGCUGCUGCAUCAUCAUUAACCCCCGGCCACGGGCCCUCUCUGGCCGCAGUGGCCAACUACUGCCCCCGCAGCACUCGUCGCUCCCGUCCACCCUCCGCCGCAAACGAUGCAACCACCAGCGCCACCCCUGCCCAACUCGGGGGUGCCCUCACAGGCCAGCUUGCCCAUCCAUCAGGUCCGGUUCCCGCCCUCUCCGUCGCCAAUACCACUGUGGGCAGCUGGCUCUUCGCCAUCACCGGUCUACACCGCGGCUUUCGAGCAGCGGACCCCGUUCCCGUAGUUCGGUGGGACAUCUGGCUCCGCAGGUCGCUACCCGAAGUACUCCGACCAGGCGCCACCGGCCGCCCUGCUCCGGUCCUCCGAGCUAGUUCGACACGGCGCUCCGACACAGACACCGCUGCGGUUCGCCAAAAUCGACUUCGCCACCUAUGACGGCACGGAGGACCCCCUCAACUGGCUCAACCAGUGCGACCAGUUCUUCGCGGGCAGCGCACCCUCGCCUCGGAGCGUACCUAGCUCGCCUCCUACCACGUCCGCGGCGUGGCACAGACAUGGUAUUACGCCCUCGAGCAAGACGAGGGCAGCAUGCCCCCUUGGGAGCGCUUCCGCAAGCUCUACCUCCUUCGCUUUGAGCCUCCGGUCCGCGGGAGCCGCUUGGCGGAGCUCAGUCGCCUUCCCUUCACCUCCACGGUGCAGGACUUCACCGACAGCUUCCAGGACCUGGCGUGCCACGCUUCGGGCGUGACGGCGCAGCAGCGGGCCGACCUCUUCAUUGGUGGCCUUCCAGAUCUCAUCAGCGUGGACGUGGAGCUUCGUGGACCUCAGGAUCUCCAGAUGGCCAUGUACUAUGCCCACGCCUUCGAGUGUCACGCCCAGAGCAUGUAGCAGGCAGCCCCGGCUCGAGGAGGCUGACAGGCCAUCCGGCAGCCCCCGGCGCCAGGCCGGCCACCCCCGUCCGCUCCGAAAACUACCACCCUUGCCGCGACGCGGCCCUUCCGUCGGCUCUGUCCGGCGGAGCAGAUGGAGCGGCGGCACCAGCGCCUCUGCUUUAACUGCGACGAGACCUACACGUUGAGCCAUGUCUGACCGCGCCUCUUCUACUUGGAGUUGGCCGACUACAUCGAGGAGGAGGCACUGGCCGAGGGAGCCGACACACUGCCGCCCCCAGCGCCUGUGGAGGCCGCACCCGCGGCCGCCUCGGUGACGGCACUCGUGGUCUCUCUCCAUGCGCUCGCUGGCAUCCGCGACGAGCGAACCAUGCUUUUGCCGGUGAUGAUCCACGGCGAGCGCUUGGUGGCCCUGGUGGAUAUAGGCUCCACCCAUAACUUCCUGCCCGAGGCUACCAUGCGUCGCUUAGCGCUUCAGCCGACGGGCGGAGAGCAACUUCGGGUCACGGUGGCCAACGGCGAUCGUCUCCGGUGUCAUGGGCUCGCACGGAACGUUCCCAUCACCAUCGGCGAUGAACACUUCUCCAUGACAUGUGCGGUCAUUGACUUGGGCUGUUUCGACUUCAUCAUUGGCGCCGACUUUCUACGGACCCUCAGUCCCGUCCUUUGGGACUUCGACGCUCUGACGAUGACCUUCUGGCGGCUGGGCCGCCGCAUCCGGUUGGACGGCAUUGGAGGUGUCUCCCAGGUCGCGCUGCAGCUUCAGCUGGCCGCGGCUACCUCUGAGGCCGAGCACCCACUGUUAGAUCACCUUCUGCAGCAGCACGACGACCUCUUCCCCGACCCACAGGGUCUUCCGCCAGCCAGGGCUUAUGAUCACUGCAUUCACCUCCUGCCGGGCUCGGCACCGGUGGCCGUUCGUCCUUACCACUACCCGACGCUGCAGAAUGACGAGUUGGAGCGGUAGUGUGCACUGAUGCUCGCCGUGGGCAUUAUCCGGAUCUCCACCUCUCCGUUCACCGCGCCGGUCCUUCUCGUACGCAAGUUGGACGGCUCGUGGCGCUUCUGCAUCGACUACCGCGCCCUUAAUACUCUCAUACGGAAGGACAAGUUUCCUAUUCUGGUGGUCGAUGAGCUCCUGGAUGAGCUCCAUGGGGCGCGCUUCUUCACCAAGCUCGAUCUCUGGUCGGGGUUCCAUCAGGUGCGUAUGCACCCGGACGACAUUGCCAAGACGGCGUGUCGGACUCAUCACGGCCACUUCGAGUUCUUGGUGAUGCCCUCGGAAACCUUCCAGGCUCUGAUGAACGACGUCCUCCGGCCCUACCUAUGUCGGUUUGUGCUCGUUUUCUUUGAUGACAUUCUUAUUUACAUCGCCUCUUGGGCGGAGCACCUUCAGCACGUCGCCAUCGUCUUCAACGAGCUUCGGGUGCACCAUCUUAAACUUAAGCGCUCGAAGUGCUUGUUCAGGACGCCGUUUGUCGCCUACCUCGGCCAUGUCAUCUCGGCCGACGGGGUUGCCAUGGAUGCCGACAAGGUGGCGGCCAUUGCAGCUUGGCCGACACCGCAAUCACCGCGGGCUCUUCGCGGUUUUCUGGGCCUCGCGGGCUACUACUGGAAGUUUAUCCGGGAAUCCAGCCUCGUCGCGUCACUCCUCACACGCUUGCUGUGUCGUGCCACCUUUGCUUGGGACGACAAGGCGACGACGGCAUUUGAGGCCCUCAAGGGGGCCCUCACGACGGGGCCCGUUCUUCAGAUGCCAGAUUUUGACCACCCAUUCGUGGUGGGCUGCGACGCCUCCGGUGCGGGGUUUGGCACAAUGCUUCAUCAGGGCGAGGUCCCUCUCGCGUAAGCUUGUUCAGCCGUCCUUUCUCUCUACGCCAUCUUAAGCUCAAUGAGUAUGAGCGGGAGCUCAUUGGCUUGGUGCAGGCGGUGCGCCACUGGCAGCCCUAUCUUUGGGGUCGGUCUUUCCAAAUUCGCAUGGACCACUACAACCUGAAGUUCUUGCCGGACCAGAGGCUCUCAACCGUGCCGCAGCACCAGGGGAUUAGCAAGCUCUUUGGCUUCGACUUCUCCAUCGAGUAUCGGCCCGGUCGUCUUAACACUGUGUCCGAUGCCUUGUCUCGCCGAGAAGCCGACCACAACACCGCUAUCCCCGACGCCGAGGGUACAGCGCUUUGCAUCCGCUCCGGCCCGACCUUCAGGCUCUUCACCGACAUUCGCCGGGCGACGGCGAUGGCGGCCGACGCCCUUCUUCUUCAGCAUCAGCUGGCUUUGGGCGAGCUGGAGGCGCCUUGGCGCUUCACCGAGGGCCUGCUCCUCCAUGGGCGUCGGGUCUUCGUGCCGGCGCAUGACGAUAUCCGUCACCAGGUGUUGCUGCUGGCCCACUCAGCAGGCCAUGAGGGUGUGUAGAAAACUCUCCAUCAUCUCUGCGCCAACUUCUACAUCCUUGGUGAUCGCACCCUGGUCCGUGAUUGGGUUCGGUCUUGUGCGAUCUGUCGGCGCAACAAGACGGAGACGCUACGGCCGCCUGGUCUACUCCAGCCCUUGGAGGUGCCAUCUCAGGUCUGGGUCGAUAUCUCCAUGGACUUCACCGAGGGCCUCCCCAAGGUGGGAGGCAAAUCGGUCAUUCUCACGGUGGUCGACCGCUUCUCUAAGUAUGCUCACUUCAUUGCGCUAGGUCAACCAUACAUAGCGGUGUCCGUAGCCCGGGCCUUCUUCGACGGGAUCAUCCGCCCCACGGGUUUCCCUCUUCGAUCGUCAGAAUCGUGACCCCGUGUUCACGGGGCACGUGUGGCACGGCCUCUUUCGGAUGGCGGGCGUCAAGCUCCACUUGAGCACGACCUUCCAUCCUCAGACGGAUGGCCAGUCCGAGGUCGUCAACAAGGUGAUUGCCAUGUAUUUGCGUUGUGUCAUAGGUGAUCGUCCUCGCGCAUGGGUGGACUAGCUCUCGUGGGCGGAGCACUGCUACAACACCUCAUAUUACUCCGCCCUACGCACCACGCCUUUUGAGGUGGUCUACGGCCGCCAGCCUCUGGCGAUUCUUCCAGUUGAUCCGGCCACGGCUCAGACCGAGGCGGCCGGGGACCUCCUGCGGAGCCGCGACGAGAUGCUUGCCGAGGUCCGGCAACGAAUUCUUCAGGCCCAGCAGUUGGCCAAGCACUACUACGACGGUCAUCAUCGCGAGGCGGAGUUCGCGGUGGGCGAUUGGGUGUGGCUGCGUCUUCUUCACCGCUCUACGCAGUCACUCGACCCACGCGUGAAGAAGAAGUUGGGUCCUUGCUAUGCCGGGCCCUUUGCUGUCCUGGAGCGCAUUGGGAAGGUGGCUUACCGCCUUCAGCUUCCGGCAGGUGCUUGCAUCCACUACCUCUUCCAUUUGGGGCUGCUCAAGCCCUUCCGUGGAGAGCCACCCGCAGCUCCUCUGGCACUUCCGCCCACCGCCGACGGGCGUCUUCUUCCUUGUCCAGAGAAGGUCUUGUAGGCCCAGCUACAUCGCAGAGUGUGGUAUGUGCUAAUUUAGUGGGCUGGAUUUCCGGCAGAGGACGCCACUUGGGAGCAGCGCGAGGAGUUCCGCCAACACUAUCCAGAGUUCCAGCUCGAGGACGAGCUGUUUGCGCAGGCGGAGAGAGAUGUUAUGACCGGGCAGACUUAUGCCCAUAGGAGGCCCACCGGGCAGGUUUAGUUAGGGGCUUGGCCCACAAGUUAUCUUAUUUUCUAGCAUCGUGGUUGUAUAUACUAGCUGUAAAACUAUUUUGAGGAUUAAUCAAUAAGAAGAAUUCUAUUGCCCGACUCCGAGAGGAUCCGGACUCUAACCCUAGCCGCCUCCCUCUCUCAGCCCCUCCUUCAUCGCGACGGCGCCCGUGCGUCGGCUGCCGCGCCCUCGCCUCUCUCAGCCCCGGUCUUCCCUUCAACUAACGCAGCAGGACCGGUAGGACCUUGGGUUCUACCAAUUUGGUAUCUAGAGACUCCGGUUCGAUCAUGUCUUCCUCAUCACCCACGCCGUCGCUGCCCAUCGGCACCACCGCCUAGCUGUCCGCCCCUUCCCCCGAUGACCACCAACGGGGCUCCGACGCUGCUGGGGCCGAUCACCACCGUGGGUGCCCCAACGCCGCCGGCCCCAGUCACUCCCGUGCCGCCACCAACCGCUGUCUUCAUGCCGGAGCUGACGACCACCACACUGCAGGAUCUUGUGACGGCAGUCCAAGGCCUCCAGCUGCACAUGGUGGGGCCCUACGCACCCCCAAUGGCUGUGCCCAUCGCCGCCUACGGCCACCCCGCGUUGCCAUGGCCGUCACAGGGCGCUGCCGCGGGCGGCGGCCUCCCGCUGCAGUCAUUCCAAGCGGGCCACCCCAGCAGGCCGCCCUCCCCACUGCUACAUCAUCAUCAACCCCCGUCCACGGGCCCUCUCUAGCUGCAGUGGCCAACUACGGCCCCCGCAGCUCUCGUCGCUCAUGUCCACCCUCCACCGCAGACGAUGCAACCACCGGCGCCACCCCUGCCGAGCUCGGGGGUGCCCUCGCAGGCUGGCCUGCCCAUCCAUCAGGUCCGAUUUCCGCCCUCUCCAUCGCCAAUACUAGCGUGGGCGGCUGGAUCUUCGCCAUCACCCGUCUACACCGCGGCUUCCGAGCAGUCGACCCCGUUCCCGCAGUUCGGCGGGCCAUCUGGCUCCGCAGGUCGCUACCCGGAGUACUCCGACCAGGCGCCACCGGCCGCCCUGCUCCGCUCCUCCGAGCCAGUUCGACACGGUGCUCCGACACAGACACCGUCGCGGUUUGCCAAAAUCGACUUCGCCACCUAUGACGGCACGGAGGACCCCCUCAACUGGCUCAACCAGUGCAACCAGUUCUUUCGCGGGCAGCGCACCCUCGCCUUGGAGCGUACCUGGCUUGCCUCCUACCACCUCCAUCGCGCGGCACAGCCAUGGUAUUACGCCCUCGAGCAGGACAAGGGUGGCAUGCCCUCUUGGGAGCGCUUCCGCGAGCUCUGCCUCCUUCUCUUUGGGCCUCCGGUCCGUGUGAGCCGCUUGGUGGAGCUCGGUCGCCUUCCCGUCACCUCCACGGUGCAGGACUUCGCCGACAGCUUCCAGGCCCUGGCGUGCCACGCUUUGGGCGUGAAGGCGUAGCAGCGGGCCGACCUCUUCAUUGGUGGCCUUCCGGAUCACAUCCGCGUGGACGUGGAGCUUCGUGGGCCUCAGGAUCUCUUGAUGGCCAUGUACUACGCCCGUGCCUUCGAGUGUCACGCCCAGGCCAUGUAGUAGGCAGCCCCGGCUUGAGGAGGCCGACAGGCCGUCCGGCAGCCCCCGGCACCAUGCCGGCCACCCCCGGACGUGACGCGGUCCUUCCGUCGGCUCUCUCGGACGGAGCAGAUGGAGCGGCGGCGCCAGGGCCUCUGCUUUAACUGCGACAAGCCCUACACGCCGAGCCAUGUCCGACCGUGCCUGUUCUACUUGGAGACGGUUCACUACAUCGAGGAGUCAGCUCUGGCCGAGAGAGCCGACACACUGCCACCCCUAGCGCCUGCCAAGGCCGCACCCGCGACCGCCCCGGUGACGGCACUCGCGGUCUCUCUCCAUGUGCUCACUGGCAUCUGCGACGAGCGAACCAUGCUUUUGCCGGUGAUGAUCCAUGACGAGUACUUGGUGGCCAUGGUGGAUACAUGCUCCACCCAUAACUUCCUUCUCGAGGCUAUCAUGUGUCGCUUAGCACUUCAGCCGACGGGCGGGGAGCAACUUCGGGUCACGGUGGUCAACGGCGAUCGUCUCCGGUGUCAUGGGCUCGCACGGAACGUGCCCAUCACCAUUGGCGACAAACACUUCUCCAUCACCUGUGUGGGCAUUGACUUGGGCUGUUUCGACUUCAUCCUUGGCGUCGACUCUCUGUGGACCCUCGGUCCCAUCCUUUGGGACUUCGACGCUCUGACGAUUACCUUCUGUAGGCUGGGCCGCCGCAUCCGGUGGGACGGCAUUGGAGGCGUCUCCCAGGUCGCGCUGCAGCUUCUGCUGGCCGCGACUACCUCUGAGGCCGAGCACCCACUAUUAGAUCACCUUCUGCAGCAGCACAACAACCUCUUCACCAAGCUGCAGGGUCUUCUGCCAGCCAAGGCUUAUGAUCACCGCAUUCACCUCCUGCCGGGCUCAGCACCGGUGGUCGUUUGUCCUUACCGCUACCCGCAGUUGCAGAAGGAUGAGUUGGAGCGGCAUUGCGCAUUGAUGCUCGCCGCGGGCAUUUUCCGGAUCUCCACCUCGCCGCUCACCGCGCCGGUCCUUCUCGUACGCAAAUUGGAUGGCUCGUGGCGCUUCUGCAUCGACUACCCCACCCUUAAUGCUCUCACACUGAAGGACAAGUUUCCUAUUCUGGUGGUCGAUGAGCCCCUGUAUGAGCUCCAUGGGGCGCGCUUCUUCACCAAGCUCGAUCUCUGGUUGGGGUACCACUAGGUGCGUAUGCACCCGGACGACAUCGCCAAGACGGCGUUUCGGACUCAUCACGGCCACUUCGAGUUCUUGGUGAUGCCCUUUGAUCUCUCCAACACCCCGGCGACCUUCAGGCUCAGAGGAACGAUGUCCUCCGGCCCUACCUAUGUCGGUUUGUGCUUGUUUUCUUUGAUGACAUUCUUAUCUACAGCGCCUCUUGGGCGGAGCACCUUCAACACGUCGCCAUCGUCUUCAACGAGCUUCGGGUGAAUCAUCUUCAUCUUAAGCGCUCGAAGUGCUUGUUCAGGACGUCGUCUGUCGCCUACCUCGGCCACGUUAUCUUGGCCGACGGGUUUGCCAUGGAUGCCGACAAGGUGGUGGCCAUUGCAGCUUGGCCGACACCGCAAUCGCCGCGGGCUCUUCGCAAUUUUCUGGGCCUCGCGGGCAACUACCGGAAGUUUAUCCGGGAAUUCGCCCUCAUCGUGUCGCCCCUCACAUGCUUGCUGCGUCGUGACGCCUUCUCUUGGGACCACGAGGCGACGACUGCAUUCGAGGGCCUCAAGGGUGCCCUCAUGACGGGGCCCGUUCUUCAGAUGCCGGAUUUUGACCGCCCAUUCGUGGUGGACUGCGACGCCUCCGGUGCGGGAUUCGGAACCGUGCUUCAUCAGGGCGAGGGCCCUCUCGCCUUCUUCAGCCGACCUUUCACUCCACGCCAUCUUAAGCUCGCGACGUAUGAGCAGGAGCUCAUUGGCUUGGCGCAUGCGGUGCGUAACUGGCGGCCCUAUCUUUGGGGUCGGUCUUUCCAAGUUUGCACGGACCACUACAACCUGAAGUUCUUGCUGGACCAGAGGGUCUCGACCGUGCCGCAGCACCCGUGGAUCAACAAGCUCUUUGGCUUCGACUUCUCCGUCGAGUAUCGGCCCAGUCGUCUUAACACCGUGGCCGACACCUUGUCUCGCUGAGACGCCAACCACGACACCGCUAUUCCCGACGCCGAGGGUACGGCGCUCUGCAUCCGCUCCGGCCCAACCUUCGGGCUCUUCACCGACAUUUGUCGGGCGACGGCGAUGGCGGCCGACGCCCUUCUUCUUCAGCAGCAGCUGGUUGCGGGCGAGCUGGAGGCGCCUUGGCGCUUCACCGACGGCCUGCUCCUCCAUGGGCGCCGGGCCUUCGUGCCGGUGCAUGACGAUCUCCGUCACCAGGUGUUGCUGCUGGCCCACUCAGCGGGCCAUGAGGGUGUGUAGAAAACUCUCCAUCGUCUCCGCGCCGACUUCUACAUCCCUGGUGAUCGCACCCUGGUCCAUGACUGGGUUCAGUCUUGUGCGACAUGUCAGCGCAACAAGACGGAGACGCUAUGGCCGGCUGGUCUACUCCAGCGCUUGGAGGUGCCGUCUCAGGUCUGGGCGGAUAUCUCCAUGGACUUCAUCGAGGGCCUCCCCAAGGUGGGCGGCAAAUGAGUCAUUCUCACGGUGGUCGAUUGCUUCUCCAAGUAUGCUCACUUCAUCGCGCUCAGUCAUCCAUACACAACGGUGUCCGUAGCCCGAGCCUUCUUCGACGGGAUUGUCCGCCUCCACGGGUUUCCCUCUUCGAUCAUUAGCGAUCGGGACCCCGUGUUCACGGGGCAUGUGUGGCACAACCUCUUUCGGAUGGCGGGCGUCAACCUCCGCUUGAGCACGGCCUUCCACCCUCAGACAGAUGGCCAGUCCGAGGUCGUCAACAAGGUGACUGCCAUGUAUUUGUGUUGUGUCAUAGGUGAUUGUCCUCACGCAUGGGUGGACUGGCUCUCGUGGGCGGAGUACUGCUACAACACCUCAUAUCACUCCGCCCUACACACCACGCCUUUUGAGUUGGUCUACGGCUGCCAGCCUCUGACGAUUCUUCCAGUUGAUCCGGCCACGACUCGGACCGAGGCGGCCGGGGACCUUCCGCGGAGCCGUGAGGAGAUGCUCGCCGAGGUCCGGCAAUGACUUCUUCAGGCCCAGCAGUUGGCCAAGCACUACUACGACGGUCAUCAUCGCGAGGCGGAGUUCGCGGUGGGCGAUUUGGUGUGGAUGCGUCUUCUUCACCGCUCUACGCAGUCACUCGACCCACGUGUGAAGUAGAAGUUGGGUCCUUGCUAUGUCGGGCCCUUUGCUGUCCUGGAGCGCAUUGGAAAGGUGGCUUACCGCCUUCAGCUUCUGGCAGGUGCUCGCAUCCAUGACGUCUUCCAUGUGGGGCUGCACAAGCCCUUUCGUGGAGAGCCACCCGCGGCUCCUCUGGCACUUACGCCCACCGCCGACGGGCUUCUUCUUCCUGGCCCAAAGAAGGUCUUGCAGGCCCAGCUACAUCGCGGAGUGUGGUAUGUGCUUAUUCAGUGGGCUGGAUUUCCGGCAGAGGACACCACUUGGGAGCGGCGCGAGGAGUUCCGCCAACACUAUCCAGAGUUCCAGCUCGAGGACGAGCUGUUUGCGCAGGCGAGGAGAGAUGUUAUGACCGGGCAGACUUAUUCCCGUAGGAGGCCCACGGGGCAGGUUUAGUUAGGGGCUUGGCCCACAAGUUAUCUUAUUUUCUAACAUCGUGGAUAUAUAUACUAGCUGUAAAACUAUUUUGAGGAUUAAGCAAUAAGAAUAAUUCUAUUGCCCGGCUCCCAGAGGAGGCGUACCCUAACCCUAGCCGCCUCCCUCUCUCAGCCGCCGCCUCCCUCCUUCAUCGCGACGGCGCCCGUGCGCCAGCCGCUGCUCCCUCGCCCCUCUCAGCCCCCGGUCUUCCCCUACAACCUACGCAGCAGGACCGGUAGGACCCUGGGUACUACCACAUGGCAUAUGUGCUUGCAUUUCCCUGAAUUUAUUCAGAAUUUCAAGGCUUUAUUAUUUCAGCACUAAACGACUGUCAGGUGCCGAUGGUGACUUUUGUCAAUCUCAAGAUCUGUAGGCCAAGUCUCUCGACGGUGCUCAUUGGAGUAUGAGGUGUGUGCAUGUACAUGUGUGAGCAUGUGCGUCUUUACUGUAUUUUGCGAAAAAAGAUAUAAUUUUAUUUGUUGUACAACUAAAAUUUAAAAGAAAAAAUUUGAGGUCUCAACUAUUGUGCCUAGUCUGGCAUGAAGCCUAAAUUGUCAAGCAUUAAACCUUGAAUUUCUACAACCAUCCAAAAUGGACCUGUACCUAGUGUUGGAUAACUAGAUGAUAACCCGUGCGUUGCGGCGGGAACUGAUUGCAAUAUGUUCUAAUGAGAUUGGUUCUAUGGAGCAUAAAUAUGUGAAUUAAUAUAUAAUAUCAUGUGCUUAUUGUAUAGUGUAAUAGUUGAGAUAUACAUUUUUCUAUGCAUGCAUGGUUGCAUGUGUAUUAAGUAUGCUAGUUCGAUGGAGUAUGCAAUUAAGAAAGAGGCAAUUAUAAUUGAUGAGGUGACAUGUGUGGUGAGGUGGUAUAUUUGCAUGUUGAGAUAAAUUAGAUAGUACGGAUCAACUUCUUAUGUAUAAUAUAUGUCAAAAAUAUAUCUAGUUCUGAAAUACAGAUUUCUUUUUCUAGGAUAUAUGCAAAAACCGACGAAGAGUUCAUGCAAGAAAAAGAGAAGUUCCUUUGUUUUUAUAUCGAACAUAGAUGAUCAUAUUUGUUGAUAUUUUUUUCCGGUUACGAUUUUAUAGCAUUCUCCACACAGGUGAAUCAUUUCAGAUAUACUUUAGAACCUUAGAAAACAAAAUCACCAUAACCUUGACCUAGCCAUUUCAUGUGGAUUCGCAACUUUACAGUUUAGUUUAAUGUGAAAAAUUGUGAAGUAAGGGGUCUUAUGAAUUGAAACAUGCUAAAAUUUGUCCAAAGAUAUGAAAAUCAGUUUUGCAUAUAAUAAAUGACAAGAAAACAGUCUAUUUAUGUUAUAUAUGUUUUCCACAUGUGACAGACAACCAUAAUUGUUGAUUUCUUUUUGAAGAGGGAAUGACCUCUAGUCUCUCAUUGAGUGAUGCACACAACCAUAUAUUAGUAUUGAUUAGCUAAUGAUGAAAAUCAAAUCCUAACAUCAAUGCCGAACAAAAUGAUCCAUGAAAAAGACAAAAACAAUUCAUUCAUAAUGGAUUUGCGUCGCGCCAGGAUCUCCAUAACCCUAUGACGGGUGACCGGAUUGAUCAAGCGACUCCUAGCCAAAGCCUCCAUGAAGGAAUCGUCAUAUGAGCGCCGAUGUUCUCGAAUUCCACUGAAGACCCAACAUAGGAUUACCAUCCCCGAAUCCAAGUCUCGAGCCAACACCUUCAACAAGGGAACUACGCUUGCAUGUUGAUAUUGGCUUAUCUAGCCGCAAGGGAUGAUCGUUCAUUUUCAGUGGGAGUAUAUGCAAACUUGUAACAAAAUCCAUCACUACCAACAACCUCAUUGCUUGCAGGCGACAUCUCGUUACCGGGAUCCUAACGUUGGGAGAGCACAAAGCCCACCUACUUCACCUGAGAAGACAUCAGAUGCAGCUUAAUGACCAUCGUCCUGCAUUGCCCGCUGUCCUUCUUCCAGUCACCAUAGCACCACCUUCUAUCUCGGCGAUGGGAGAGAGGGAUACUUGGACACAUGUUGGUCUAGAUUUGUCCGCCAUCUCAUAGAUCACCGCAUUGCAGCGACCUUGCGAAUCCAUCCAACUCUUCCCCGGGGCCGCCACCUCGUGUCCAACAACAUAUCACCCAUCCGCGGGAUUUUGCCCAUAGGAACAGCUGAACUAUUGGAUCCAAGCCUGUAUUUAGCUUGCGCUACUACUAAGUAGCAGUAGCGCUGCUUGUUAAAUCCUCACUGUUGUUACCUGUCUACCUAUAGGGUUUUCCCUAAUAGUGAGGCAUCUAACACAUGCCCACCCCGGAGUAGUUCUGCCAAAAAGCAAUGCCGGUUGAGCCAGAGUCGAGUCCACAUCCACCUGUUUCACAUAUGGUAGCACCCGCACUGCCACAACUCCAUCACGAGCGGUGCACUGCAGUGACGACCACUAACGCAAUGGAAGUAACCUGAUGGCCCUUGCAGGGAAGUUAACCAGGGGAAUGGAUGUGACUAUGCUAGCGCGAGGAAGGACGCCAGAGACGUGACUGUCGACAUCAACCCUGGCAUAGACCAGCCCGACGACUCCACCCCACCGCCUCCAAGUGUCCGAGCCACACGAUGGUUGGUGGGUUUUGCGCCGGGGUCGCUGCCUCCUUACUGAGCUAGAGCUGCGCCUCCACAUGUUUCAUCUAGCCGUCUCCACUUGUUGUGUAGUUGCGCCUCCGCAGCAAUAGCCCGCGUUACCGCAAGCUAGGGGUGACAGGNNNNNNNNNNNNNNNNNNNNNNNNNNNNNNNNNNNNNNNNNNNNNNNNNNNNNNNNNNNNNNNNNNNNNNNNNNNNNNNNNNNNNNNNNNNNNNNNNNNNNNNNNNNNNNNNNNNNNNNNNNNNNNNNNNNNNNNNNNNNNNNNNNNNNNNNNNNNNNNNNNNNNNNNNNNNNNNNNNNNNNNNNNNNNNNNNNNNNNNNNNNNNNNNNNNNNNNNNNNNNNNNNNNNNNNNNNNNNNNNNNNNNNNNNNNNNNNNNNNNNNNNNNNNNNNNNNNNNNNNNNNNNNNNNNNNNNNNNNNNNNNNNNNNNNNNNNNNNNNNNNNNNNNNNNNNNNNNNNNNNNNNNNNNNNNNNNNNNNNNNNNNNNNNNNNNNNNNNNNNNNNNNNNNNNNNNNNNNNNNNNNNNNNNNNNNNNNNNNNNNNNNNNNNNNNNNNNNNNNNNNNNNNNNNNNNNNNNNNNNCAGGGUGGUGAACGGCGCUGCCGCUGUUAGCGCUGAGGAAGGCGAGGGCACACUGCCCCUCUGUCUUUUACGGAUUGCUCAGAUAUUGUGUACUUUUUAAAUUGUUGAUAAAAUUUUGUUGGUUACAAGCUUCCAAGCAUUUAUGCAUCUAUUAAAAUUUCCACAUUUAAAAAAAAUGUUAAACAUCGAAACUACUACCCCAACAUCGUAGUGUUCAAAUUAACAGGAAAAAGGAGUUCAAAGAAAGUUUAGGAUGGAAUGUGAAUAGUUUCAUUGUUCAUGGCUCAAACUGGAGCAGCCAACAUAGGUUAAAGUUUUUAAUAAUUUCUUACCAAGGGCUACAACAUACUUCAGAUCCAUAAUCCAAACACACGGUGAUAAAAGGCCGGCGGUGUUGAUCCUCAGUAUUCUUCCCGACUAAUUUUUUAUUGUGUACAUUACUCAGUGCAGAGGGUUCUCACAUCCGAAAGGGAAAUUCUGAAGCAGAUGACAACAAAGCCGCUUCGUUGUAAUAACACACUGUAGCUAGGUUGCUUUCCCCAUGAGGCGGCGCACACAAUUUUAUUUUAAGCUAGCUCUGCCGUCAAGCAACGCUGAUUAUUGUUUUUUGUUUUUCACGUACAUACACACGAUUAUGGUUUAAUUAGGCGGCUCCACAUCGUUCAGCAUCUCGAAACACAUGACUGGACUGCCUGUCCACUUCUAUUUUGCCUAGAACAAGAAUCGACUGCCUGUCCAUGUCAAGGGGAAAUUGGACCUGGUAUAAGCUAAGCCGGAUCGGCCGGGAUGGCGACCAUUUCCAAAUUGAAAAUGCGUCAACGUCAGGUCCAUGCCGCUCGCCAUUUUCGUUUUGUCCUCCGAGCUGGCCAGUAGACGUUUACCACAUAUCCAUAUGAGUUCAAAAUUCUGGGGGCAGACUGUUGAUCAGGCAAGCCCGGUUUUGGAAUGAAUCCUGUCCAGAGAGUGAAGAUGAACAGUAUAUUGGCAAUUUCCGCGCGGUUUACCAGUGACCCGGUCGAUGCUACAGUACCAUGAACAGAAUGCCGUGCAGCUUGCCAGAAAAGUUUAGGCGAUGACCGACUCGAUGUCACUGUCAGCUAGCUAGGCGGUAGAAUAUGUUUGUGUGGCUACCUUUGUCCUUUUGGUCCUCUUGACCGACCUUGGUGGAACCAGCACUGAAAGUGACCGCUAGUGUGACGAAUCCAGAUUGGAACGCUAUAGCUUGGAGACGACAGCUUCGUCGUCGUCGUCGUCUCAUUGCAUGCGAUGCAAGAAGCAAGAUGGAUCACUCACGUCGGCUUAAUGAUCGAACGGCGCCAGAAUUAAGCUCUGGAACUUGGUCACUCAAAAGCUUCACCAUGAACAUAUGGAUACUUCAGAUUGGCACUUGGAGAAAACCGUCUAGGAGUGGUGGGCUAAAAUAGGACCAGCCCAAGCACUCCCAAUACGGAAACAAUGUUAUCCCUCACCAUGUUGGUGUCUUGGACCGUGUGAAAUGAAAGAAACACUAGGGGUCUUCCGCCGCAAAAGCAUUCCGCCACAAAAACACACUAGUAGAAAAGGGGGCAUUUGUCCUGGUUCGUAAUGGCCUUUAGUCCCGGUUCUUGAACCGGGACUAAAGGGUCGUUACUAAUGCCUCCAUCCUUUAGUCCCGGUUCUAACACGAACCGGGACAGAUGGGCCUCCACGUGGCCACUGCGAGCAGCCCAGGCAAGGGGGCUUUUGGUCCCGGUUGGUGACAUGAACCGGGACCAAAAGGCUUCCACGUGUCAGCAGUUGAGGUUUUUCUUUUUUUAAAUGGCUGGUUUAGGGCUUUUGGGGGUUAAUUUUAGGUUGUUAUUAGCUAGCUAAUAGAGAGAAGUGUCCUCUCUUAUAUCUUCGUCCUUGGUUUACCAACGCUAGCUACUGCUAUGUACAUUUCACCCGCUGAUAUAUAAUAACUCAUGCAUGCUCGCAUCAUACAUCAUGCUGCUAUGUUCAUAUAUAAUAACAAGUCCUACUAAUCAUGCAUCAUCAUACAAUUUCUACUCGUUAUUAAUAACAAGUCAUACGAUCAUCAUCAUCAUAGUCAUCGAACCCAACCCUACAUAUUUUUUCUUAGCACAUGAUCAUCAGUAUCAGGUAGGACCUAAACACCUUUAAGGUAAAAUAGCAUACAACAAUAUAGACCAUGACUCUUCAUUAUGAAGAAUGGAGAUCAUCCUGUCUCCAAUUCUUGCGCUUCGCCUCCUUUUUCUCGCAAGAAGCUCCUUACGACUGUCCAUUCAUUUUUUCCAUUCUUUGAUUGUCAUGUCUCCACUUCUUUUAGAAAUCCGAUAUGGACAAUUGAGAUUCGUAGGACGACCUGGUUGUAUGUUCAAAACAUCAAGGCGACCGUGCGUAUACAUCAGAUGAGGCACACAAUCAUUCGGGAUUAUCUGUUGAAAAACAUAGUAAUAACAUCGUAGUUAGCAAUGAUGUACUAGUUUUAGAAGUAUUUAAAAAGAUGCAGGGAUGUCGUAAUAGUAAAAAAUCUUAUCAGGGUAUAUUCAUGGUAGUUACCGUAGUUCAACACGUGCACUAGUGGCACGUAUUGACCAUAAUGUUGAGGAGUUCGAUUGUAGACAUUGUAAUUCUCAAGAUCAGUACAAAAUGCGAUCAGAUGAUUUUUCUCCUUAUAAGUUAAUUCGGGGCCAUCGGUGUAGUGAGUUUUGUCUACCAUUUUCCGCACAUUCUUUGAAGAAUGAAAAUAAGCUGUCAAUGGAAACAAGUUGUCAACUAUUUUGAAAUAAACAAUAUAAAUAAAUUAAUAACUAUGUUAAGCUCACAUGGGAGAAGAAUUGGAGGUGUAUCCAUAAGGACCCAAAUGCCCAUAUUGUCUUGCUGGAUUGUAGGAUCACCAAGAUCCAUGGUGACAUGCAUACCCUCAUUAAAACCAUACAUCUUGCAAAGUGCUUCCCAAUUUUUGCAACCAAAAUGGGUUACACUCUCAGCAUUGUACAACUUUACUUGAAAAUCCAGACCAUGAUGGGUCCUUAGGAGAAUUUUUUUGGUUUCCAUACUUUCAUGGUCUUCAAAACCCAUCCUCUUGAAGACAUAGCGUCUUGCAUAGCAUGGGAUAAGCUAGUCGAAUUGGAAAAGAUGAAAAAUACACGUUAAAAUAGUUGAAGUCGUGCUUAAUUACGAAAAAACUAUUGUCGUCGUUGUGUACCGUAUGAACAUCGAAGGUCUCCUCGAGCUUAAUGCUGAAGCGCCGAUCUUCGUCCAGCUCAAUGAACCUGUCGCACAUACCUCGGUCGUCGCACUAUUAGGAAAAGGCCUACUAAUGGCGCACCGGUUUUGCCUACUAAUGGCUCACUACCGGUGCACCAUUAGUAGCACGCCAUUAGAAUUUUUUACUAAUGGCGCACCACUGGUGCGCCAGUAGUAUCUGGUAUACUAAUGGCGCACAUGGCAGUGCGCCAUUAGUGUGUAACUCCAUGCGCCAUCAGUAUGCCUCCCGGGGGGCCAUAUGUAACCAUGUGCUUUGUCACACUAAUGGCGCACUCUGCCUUGAUGCGCCAUUAGUAUCCUUUGGCAUACUAAUGGCGCACUCUGCCUUGAUGCGCCAUUAGUAUGAAUAUUUGUUUUUUUUGCUUUUCUGAUUUUUGCACAGGUUACAAAAUAUAUUAUUGGACAGAAUAUAGACAGCAGCAUACAGAAACAUCAGAUUCAUCGAAUACAACAGAAGAUUAGUCUCCGAAUACAAUUCAUUAUAUUAGUCUCCGAAUUCAAAAGAGCGAACAAAGAUAAAACAUUACAAGUCUCAAGACCGCGAGUAUCGAGUUUGUCUUCACAUUACAAGUCGAUAUCGAUCAUCUAAACUACUAUCACAUAAAAGAGAGUUGUGGUCAUCACGAUGAGCAUCAUCGCGAUCAAACUGGUCCUCAUCCGGUUCCUCCAAAGCUCCCUCCUCUCUCCCGCUAGAUAGCGGGCAUAUCUAGAUUCGGCCUCUGCCCUAGUGGUGUACCCUUUGUAACUGUUACCGCUGAAACGGUGAACCUGUCUCCGACACUCCUCCCAGUCGUCGUAGACUUCGGGAACCUUACCCUUGUACUUGAGUGAAUUCCUCCUUGACGGUGCAGAGCGCAUUCGGACGCCGAUCCUUCUUUUGCUUCUUCGAUUGGCUGCCAUCUGUGUGUGUGCCGCCAUCAUCAGUGGUGGCAUCCUCGGCGGCACCAUCAGUGGUGUCAUCCCCGACGCCACUAGGGAUUGUGUAAUCAGGAUCGGUGUCUUCCGCGGCGUCCUCAUAGCGGUGAGGUUGUUCCUCCAUCUCCUGGGACAGCUCCCAGAAUUGCUUGCCGCCCGAACCACCGGCCUCAUUGUUGUGGGCCAUGUUUCUCUCUAAAUAGGAAAAAAGUUUGGUCAAAAUGUUGGUUAUUGUCAAGGAACAAGAUCAUGGUCUCAUCAUUUAGGGUUUGUCGACACCGAGGCACCCUAAAAGCCUAAGCUUUCAUCAUUUAGGGUUUGUCGAUGCCGAGGCACCCUAAAAGCCUAAGCGUACAUCAUUUAGGUUCUCAUCGACACCGAGGCAUCCGGGGCAGCCAAGUUAAGUUUUCAUCAUUUAGGGUUUAUCGAUGCCGAGGCACCCUAGGUUGGGCCUAAUCACUUGGCUCUAUUGCUACCUAUGUUGGGUUUAUCAUCUAGGGUUUAUCGAUGCUAAGGAGAAUUCUAAGUUGGGCUAAUCACUUGGCUCUACUGCCACCUAUGGUUUAAUGCAGCAAGAAUGGCGGGGCAGUUGAUCCUACUUAACUAAGUACUAAGAUACCCCGGCCCAUGCAUUAGUCGCAAGUACCCAUAUGUCCUAUUUUUAGCAAAGUCAUGCUAAAAUUCACGGAAAGUUUCAGCACGACCUUUGCUGAAAAUAGGACAUAUGGAGUACCCGAAUUUGCCGGAACGGAAGUUAAUCAACAUUCCGACAAACUCAAGGGCCUCUCGGGGUACCUGCAAAUUCAUCACGACACGAUGGUCGGAGACAUGACCUUUGCAAGAUGGUCGGAGACACGAUGGUCUUUCUCAAUGUGAUUAAUUGAUGGAUCAACACAUAAAACAUGUCCAAUAAGUAUGAUUUAUAGAGUCAACAUCAGUAUGAAUAUAUAUAAAGUUUUUCUUCAUCAGCCAGGCCCAUGCAAGUAACUGCAUCCAGCAACUAUUUCUGCUACUCUGUAACUAACUACACUCUGUAUUUAUAGAUUCAUUUCAGAUGAGAUCAGAUUGAGCUCCAACUGUAGCUGCAGCUGAGGGAUCCAUGAGCCAUCAUGCCAGCCAGCCAGGAAAUAAACUUUACUUUCCAAAGGAAAUAAAAAUACAAUGCAUACAUACAUACUUAAGCAGGUAGAUAGAUAGAUAGAUAGAUAGAUGAGCAUGUUCAGUUUACAAGAAUGAAUAUAAACAAGCAAAGAAUGCAUGCAAGUUUAAAGUAAAACGUUUCAGUUAAUGCAAGUACUCCUCUUGCUCUCUACUUUCUCUCUUCUCUUCUUCAGUUAAUUAACUGAAUUUUACUGAUGUUGUUGUUAACUGAAUUUUAAUCAGCUGCUGAAGAACACCUUCAGUUUCGUCAGAUAUAGGUGUAGUUUUCAGAAACAGGAGGGCCCAUGUCUCCCCUCCUGGACGUUUCAGAAAUAGGAGGGCCCACGUCUCCCCUCCAGAGUUUUCUAGGGCCCACGUCUCCCCUCCAAAGGGCAGGACGUUUGAGUUUUCGAGGCAACUCCCCACGUCUCCCCUCCACUGGCAACUCCCCACGACGCAGAGGGGUUUUUCUUCCCACGUCCAGGUAACUCCCCUCCUAUUCCAUUGCCGCUCCAUCUUCCUCCCUCUACCUCCCUCUGCCUCCAGCAUCAAGCAACUCCCCUCUGCCUCCACCAUCGCUGGCCAGGAGGGGAAUGGCGGAGGAAUCGUGGAGCAACCCCCCUCCGUCUGCCAAGAGAAUGGUGGAGGCAUCGUGGAGCAACUCCCCUCCGUCUGCCAAGCAUCACCGUGGUGAGGCGUCUGGCAAGGAGCUGCUGGUGGUCGACGACGACGUUCCGGUCCCCGGGCAGAAGCGGGACUACACCGUGCCGCUCAAGGUUGAUAUCCACCUGAAGGAGCUGCUAGAUGUCGUAUGCACCAGCAAUCCAGACGAAGCCGACAAGAUGAUCCGCAAGAUAAGGAGGAGGCUCGGCGGCAUGCUUUCUCGGAAUAUCGGCGUUGAUGUCGAGUAUACCAGGGAAGACAAACCUCCGCAAAUUGCUACAGUUCUGCAGUUAUGCGUGGAGGAUCUCGUCCUGGUAUACCACAUCACCGCGGCAACCAAAUGGUAAAAACAUCCAGUUCUGAAGUUUCUGUCUAAUUAGUAGUUUCUGAAGUAGAUGCAAUAGUUAUGAAGUUCGGAAGUAGAUGCAAUACUAGUUCUGAAGUUCUGAAGUUUCUGAAGUUCUGAAGUUUCAUUUUAAUUAGUAGUUUCUGAAGUUUUUGAAGUUUUUGAAGUUUCUGAAGUAGAUGCAAUAGUUCUGAAGUUCUGAAGUAGAUGCAAUACUAGUUCUGAAGUUAUGAAGUUUCUGAAGUUCUGAAGUUUCGUUUUAAUUAGUAGUUUCUGAAGUUUUUGAAGUUUUUGAAGUUUCUGAAGUUUCUGAAGUAGAUGCAAUAGUUCUGAAGUUCUGAAGUAGAUGCAAUACUAGUUCUGAAGUUAUGAAGUUUCUGUCUAAUUAGUAGUUUUUUGGUGAUCAUACAGAAUGUUGUCUACAAGUUUUUGUGAUCAUUUAGUAGCUGUUAUGAAUGUUGUCUUGUAAUGCAAAAGAUUGCAAAAAAAAUACAUCAUUGAGAUGUUAUGCUUGCUGUUUUGAUCAUACAGAAUGUUGUCUUGUAGUUGUUGUGAUCAUUUAGUAGUUGUUGUGAUCAUACUGUUUUAACUGAAUUUUGGUCAGAACUGAAGAUGCUAUUUUAACUGAAUUUUGCUUCAACUGAACCCAUUUUAAUUCUGUAGUUUCUGAAGUUUUUGAAGUAGAUGAAUUUGAUGCACCAGAUUAAUUUGAUGGAGGCCCAAGGAACUCCGCCCGCUCCUGCAGGAGAAGAAGCUGUACACCUUUGUUGGCUUCUGCAUUAGAGGCGACAAGGAGAAGCUGAAGUUGUCUGGUUUGGAGAUCAACCCCGACAAGUACGUCGACUUGCAGCGCAAAUGGAGAGUUCCAAACAAUGGAAAGAAGUGGCAGUCUUUGGCUGAGUUUGCAGCCAGCCUCAUCUACCCAUCCUACUCAAAAAUGAAGCAGAAGAUCGACAGGAAUUCGGACCACCUACUAUGGGGGGACAGCCCACUGCCAAACAAGCUCAUCGAGUACGCCGCGAAAGAUGCGUACGUCACCUACGAGGCAUGGAAGAAAAUCAAAAUCACCAAAGAAGGUUUGGAGCUCUGGCAAGAGGCGGAGGAUCAUUGGGAUGACCCCUACUACUGGGGAUAUUGAGUUGUUUGUGGUAUUGGGAUGACCCCUACUACUGUGUCUCAGUUUGUAGUUAUGUGGUUGAACAAGUUUGAUUUUGUUAUGUUGAACAAGUUUGCUUUUGUUAUGUUGAACAAGUUUGCUUUUGUAAUGAUGAACAAGUUUGCUUUGGUUGUCAGUUGACAUCAUCUCAUCGUUGGGCAUGGUUUAGUUUUACCUUUAUCUAUUUAUUAUUUAGGCAUAGCUAUUCAGGCAUGGAAGAUAUAAUCAUCCUUAUGGUGAGGAUCGCAAUGUUUUUAGCUUCCAAGUUUCUAAUGACACAUGAUCUUUCCAACCACAUAACUUAACUGCAAAUAUUUCCCCUGUAAAUUGUAGUUACACAUUCCAACCAAUACCUGCAGGUUGUAAUUUCAUAUUGAAUGACCAUCAAUGACUAAGUGAAGCAAAUAAUUGCUAUGCAUUUCUUGGCAUGCGAGAAGGAAGAGGGGAGAGGAGGCGGAGCUCACCGGGGAGGCGCAAGGAGGCCCUGCGACAGCUUAGUAGCAACAGAGGUGGCCGAAGUUGAGGAAGACAGCGGCGACCCGAGGAAGAAGAGGUGGAGGGGGGGAGUGGAGGGAUCGAGCACCGUAGCGCCCUGGUUCCGCGGCUCGCCGGCCCGGUGUUGAAGCAGAUUCUGCCCGCCGCCUUGCCUGUCGCCUCGCACGGUGGAGCUCGAGGGCUAGGAAGGCGAGGGAGGGGGUGGGUGGGUGCGGUGAAGGCGAGGGAGGGGGUGGAUUGGGAGCGGACGGCGAUGGAGGGCAGGGCAGGGGCUGACUGGGGGCGACGAUGGAGACGGAGGCGCGGGGGCGGCGGCGGCGUGGGUCGGGGCAACGCGCGGGUGGAUCUGGUGGCGAGGGAGAGAGGGUCGAAGGGGAUCUGGCGAGAGGGAGGGAGGAUAGCUAGGGGGGAGGGUUCUAAUGGCGCACCGUCCAGUCGUGCGCCAUAAGUAUGACUAUUCUAAUGGCGCACCACCCCUCGGUGCGCCAUUAGAAUUUUGUUUUAAUCUAGCCCACUAACCAUAUCUACAACCUAACCCUAUCUACAACAGAACCCACCCACUAGCCCGACUGGUCAGCACGCAGCACACACACCAGGAGGUCCUGGGUUUGAUUCCCAGGCUCCCCAAUAUUUUUUUAUGCAUUUUAAAUGCUAUUUUUUAUAUUUAUUUGUGUUUAAAUAUGUUCAAACUUGUUUAAAUCAUAACAGCAAUAUUUUUUUAUAAAAACAGUAAUAAUUUUUUAAAAAAUAUGUUCAAAUUUCUUACUUGAAAAUAUCAUCGGCGGCGGCGGUGGAGCGGGGGAGGGUGCAGGGAUCGAGAUCGAGAUGGAGGGGGAAUCGAGAUCGAGAUGGAGGGGGAUCGAGAUCAAGUGUCCUCAUGAAUUCAAAAAGUGCCCAUGAAAUUUAAAAAUAUUCAUGAUAUCAAAAAGUGCCCAUGAAAUACAAUGGAGAAAUGAAGACUACGAUUUAAAUACAAUCGAUCUUAGCUAGCUAUCUGUUCAUAAUUUCUUGCCCUUCUUUUUCGCAAAUGGAGUUCUUCUGUGGAACGGACGUCCUUUAGGUAGGGUGGUCCUGCUUCUUCUUGUGGUGUGUGCUGCUACUUCUUCGUCGUCGUCAUGUUCGAUCUUCGGGUCACUGUACUUGUCGAAGUCUUGCUCAUUGGCUACUUCAUCCAUUCCAAUGAUCUUCCUUUUGCCUCUCCUCACGACAACACGACUGGGCUUUGGCGGGUCGGUAAUGAAGAAGCAUUGGUCCACUUGAGAAGCCAGUACCCAUGGCUCAUUUUUCGCGGUGACGUUUGCGCCCGCGGUCUUGGAUUUGGCUUCGGGUAUAAACACGACUGGGCUUUGGCAUAGUGCGCCAUUAGUAGGUUUGCAAAAAAGUAAAAAAGAAAUUAUAUACUAAUGGCGCACUGUCUUGGUCGUGCUCCAUUACUAGUUCUAACUAGUAAUGGCGCACUUUGUCAUCCCUGCGCAAUUAGUUUGUAUGGAAAAAUGGGGGGAAAAAUCAAUAGUAGUGGCGCACCGUGAGCACGGUGCGCCAUUAGUGUCUUCCACACUAAUGGCGCACGAGCAACCGGUGCGCCAUUAGUAUAUAGUAGUGGCGCACUACUUACCUGGUGCGCCAUUAGAAUCAGUCCUAUCUAUAGCCCUUUUCCUAGUAGUGUCGUGGCACCAGUCGCACUCCCCCGGGUGGUUUUCGUCGUCCGAGUAUGACAUUUCCGGCCUAAGUUCAUAAUUUAAAUAUUAAAUAUAUGUAAAAAAACCAAAAUUAGAUCAUUAUUAUUAAUCACGGGUUAACUAUCGGUGAUGGUACGUAGCUCCUCCUUUCAUUCCCGAGUGCAUUAUUACAACAAAUUGUCUAGCACACGGGAAUGAAGGAGAAACUACCCCCACGACGGCGUGGAUGAUGGAGGGGGCUCCUAGAUUUCUGCAUAGAGUGCUCUUCAAUUUUAGCAUUCAAAGUAGGAGUACUUUUCCAAUAUGAGCAUUCAAUAAGCAAAACCAAAUCGUAAAAUAAAGUAGUAUUCAAAUUAGCAUGCAUUCAAUUAUAACCAAAAGUAGAUCAUCUCUAGUGUCCGUACAUCGUCGAAUACUCCUCGAAUACUAUCAUACAUAUAGCAUCGCUAAUUAAUACAGCUAGAACCGUAGCGCCCGACGGGUAUCGUCGCGGGCGGUGGACACCCAAAGAUAAGGAACCAUCACAGGAUCAUAGCUCCAGUGAGAUCCCUGAAGAAUCUGCCAAGUAUAGUCGAACCUGCCCUCCAAUGCAACCAUGUAGCGACGGACGUGCUCGUCCUCCUCGCUGACACGGUGACGUACCACCUCCGCGGUGUCCGGAAGCCUCGGCACCGUCACUGGCCCACGCGACCGCCACCAAACAAGACCGGGUCAACAACGGGCUGCCUCCUCACCAACCUACGUCCCCCGGAAGGUAGCACCUCCCAAUACUAGCCCGGCAGAGCCUAGUCCCGAACAUGGCCCUGAUCAAGCAGGCCUCCACCGCCGAGUCGACGACGACGAGAAUGCGGGAUAGGCAUCGCCGACGUCGACGCGGGAACUACUUCUAUAUAUAGUUAAAUAAAGUAGUUUUAUUAAUUAAAUCAACUAGUUCAACUACUAAGCACUUACUAUAAAUAAAUAAAGUAGUACUUACUAAAAACAAACUACUUCUAUAUAUAGUAAAAUAAAGUAGUUUAUUAAAUCAACUAGCUACUUCAACUAUAUAUGAAGCACUUACUAUAAAUAAAAUAAAGUAGUACUUACUAACAAUAAACUAGUUUAACUAUAGUUCUAUUAUUUUUCUAACUAAUUAUAUUAAACACUUUCUCUUCUUAUUUAUUUCAUUUUUCCUCUAUUCUAAAUAUGAACAUAUUCAUAAAUGACUUAUAUCAUUCACAAUUUUCCUAUACAUACACAAUAAGUNNNNNNNNNNNNNNNNNNNNNNNNNNNNNNNNNNNNNNNNNNNNNNNNNNNNNNNNNNNNNNNNNNNNNNNNNNNNNNNNNNNNNNNNNNNNNNNNNNNNNNNNNNNNNNNNNNNNNNNNNNNNNNNNNNNNNNNNNNNNNNNNNNNNNNNNNNNNNNNNNNNNNNNNNNNNNNNNNNNNNNNNNNNNNNNNNNNNNNNNNNNNNNNNNNNNNNNNNNNNNNNNNNNNNNNNNNNNNNNNNNNNNNNNNNNNNNNNNNNNNNNNNNNNNNNNNNNNNNNNNNNNNNNNNNNNNNNNNNNNNNNNNNNNNNNNNNNNNNNNNNNNNNNNNNNNNNNNNNNNNNNNNNNNNNNNNNNNNNNNNNNNNNNNNNNNNNNNNNNNNNNNNNNNNNNNNNNNNNNNNNNNNNNNNNNNNNNNNNNNNNNNNNNNNNNNNNNNNNNNNNNNNNNNNNNNNNNNNNNNNNNNNNNNNNNNNNNNNNNNNNNNNNNNNNNNNNNNNNNNNNNNNNNNNNNNNNNNNNNNNNNNNNNNNNNNNNNNNNNNNNNNNNNNNNNNNNNNNNNNNNNNNNNNNNNNNNNNNNNNNNNNNNNNNNNNNNNNNNNNNNNNNNNNNNNNNNNNNNNNNNNNNNNNNNNNNNNNNNNNNNNNNNNNNNNNNNNNNNNNNNNNNNNNNNNNNNNNNNNNNNNNNNNNNNNNNNNNNNNNNNNNNNNNNNNNNNNNNGGUUCUGAGAUUUUCCUAAGUGCUAAUUAUAUAGCAAAGGCAUUGGUCCCGGUUCGUGGCAAAACCCGGGACUAAUGCACCCCUUUAGUCCCGGUUGGAGCCACCAACCAGGACGAAAGGCCUCUUUUCAGCAGCCCAGAGGGCGGGAAGCAGAGGGCUUUGGUCCCGGUUGGGGGCACCAACCGGGACUAAAGGGGGGGGGCAUUGGUACCGGUUGGUGCCACGAACUAGUACCAAUGCACCACUUUAGUCCCGGUUGGUGCCGCCAACUGGGACUAAAGGCCGUGUGCCGCCCGCGUCGUAACACGAAAGUUUAGUCCCACCUCGCUAGCUGAGGGAGCUCGAGAGUGGUUUAUAAGCCCCAGUCUCGCUGCCCUCUCGAGCUCCUCUCAAAUGCAGGCUUACGGGCCUAAACGCACGAUAUGUGCCUGUGGGCCUAUUGGGCCUAUUGCGGGCCUGAAUCCUGGCCCAUUGUUGAGUUUCUAGUUGCAUUCAGGCCGUGGUAGCCCUUUAGGUGGCACUUUUUUUUGCUUUGAAUUAUUUAUUUUCUUCUUAUUUUUAUUAUUUUUAUUUUUUUUCUUUUAGCUCAGAUUAAUUAUAAUCUUUCUGUUACUCCAUUAGUUUCCAAAUUUGAAUAAUUAGUUUCCACCAACCGGUACCAAUGCACCCGUCUAAUUACUUAUUUAUUUUCUUUUAUGAUAAUUCUUUUUGCAAUUAAAGUUUGUAACAAAAUUCUAAUUACUUAUUUAUGUUCUUUUAUGAUAAUUCUUUUUGUUUUUAAUGUUUUGAACAGAAUUCUAAUUAUUUAUUUAUUUUCUUUUAUGAUAGUUCUUUUUGCUAUUAAAGUUUGUAACAAAAUUCUAAUUACUUAUUUAUUUUCUUUUAUGAUAAUUCUUUUUGCUUUUAAUGUUUUGAACAGAAUUCUAAUUACUUAUUUAUUUUCUUUUAUGAUAAUUCUUUUUGCUUUUAAUGUUUUGAACAGAAUUCUAAUUACUUAUUUAUUUUCUGUUAUGAUAAUUCUUUUUGCUAUUAAAGUUUGUAACAAAAUUCUAUAUAAUUUUAGUUUCAAUAAUACUAGAGGUUUAUAAGAGCUUUCUAGUUGAUUCCUUCAGUACCAGAUCUAAGGCUGUUACAAAGGCAUUUUAUUUGGUACAGGUUUUAAGGCUGGUGCCCCAAGAGCACCUUUUAGUACCGGUUCGUGGCAUGAACCGGUAAAAUAGUUUUUUAGUUGAUUCUUUCUGCAGCUGUUUUUUAGUCCCACCUCGCCAAGCGAGAGGCACUCGCAGCAGUUUAUAAGCCCCGAGUGCAGAGACGAUGCAGAAGAGGCUUAAUGCUAACCUGCACGUUUCUUAGCUUUAAGCCUUGAGGAAUAGGGUAGACUGCACGGAGCUAUGUGCAGUGUAGUUUACACUAUUCUGAAAGGCUUGAAGCUAAUUAGCGAGCAUUGCGUCUCUUUUCUAUAUUUAAUGACUUAUUACAACUCAGAAAAAAAUAGAAAAAAAAUAAAUAUAGCAGAAAAGAAAAAAAACUAUAUAAAAACUACUCAGAAAUAAAUAGAAUAAAAAAUAGUUGUGAUUAACUUUACUAAAAAAAUGAGCAUAGAUGCGCUUAUAGAGAAAACUCAACCUAAAUUUAUAAUAAAUUUCUACUAACUUCAGAGAAAUUCAAUAUGAAUUUAGGUCAAAUUCCGUGUAUAAGGGCAUCUAUUUUCACUUUGAGAGGAGCUCAACAAGGUAGAGAGGGAGGGGCUUAUAAACGGGUGUGAGCGCCCUUCGGUUGGUGAGGUGGGACUAAACUCUGACCGCAACGAGGACCAACCCUUUAGUCCCGGUUCGUGCCACCAACCGGGACUAAUGGGUUGCCUUUGGUCCCAGUUUGUCCCACCAACCGGGACUAAUGGUGGUGGGCCAGGAGAGAGGCUCAUUGGUCCCGGAUCGUCCCACCAACCGGGACCAAAAGGUCUAGACGAACCGGGACCAAUGACCCACCCGGCAGGCCCCCGGGGCUCACGAACCGGGUCCAAUGUCACCAUUGGUCCCGGUUCUGGACUGAACCGGGACUAAUGGGCUGAUCCGACCUGGACCAUUGCCACUUUUUCUACUAGUGACAUCAUCAUGAAUGACAGCAAAUUGUGUAUCAUCACGGGAGCCAAACAACUAGGGACGAUCAUAUCGCGAGAAUAAUUAUUCAUGUCUUAUAUUAAGGGUCACUUGUAAAACACUAUUCUCUUGUUAAUUAAUAGAUGAGGAAGAUUUUAUGCCUUCGUUUUGAAAAGAAAAAAAAUGACGCCGGUAAAAAGAAACAUCGACGUAGUUAGGCGAACGCCCUGGAGCUCAUGGCAGCACUGCAGCAGAGUAGGAGUACAUGAAGGGUGCAUGACCGAUAAUUCUUUCUCGUGCAUGCGUCGAGCUGAUCGUCCGUUUGGUAGCCAUCUGUGUCGUUGCCUGUUUUGGGUGUUUACUAUGGACCGCCGUGCAAUUUCUGCGAUUGGCGAAGAAAGUAUGGUUCCAGCAACUACCAAACGAAAUUCCCUUCCCCCCACCCCCGAGCCACUCCUGCGAGCGUCCUCGGGGGAAACCCUAGCGCGCCGCCACUAGUCUCCCCUCGUCGAUCUCUCCCCCCGCCGCCGCCACAAGGCGUCACUGGGCAAAGCCCGACUGGUGUGGGUGGCGGCGGGGGCCUAAUCCCCUUCUCGCGGUUGCCUACUGACGCGGGACGGCACAACGCAAGUAGGCGUCGGGCUGUGCGGGGCCCGACGGCGCGGCUUCGGGUGUGCUGGGUGGCGGCGGUGCAGCAGCGACCUAGGGUCCUGACGGUGUGCGGCGGCUGUGGUGUGGCUGCUUCUGGUGGUGAAGCACGGGAUUGCCCCGGCUAGAUUUGGCGGAUUUGGCUCUGGCGGCUCGUCGUGCGGCGAGGGCAGCAUGCUGCCUGGGCCACGGGCGUCUGGCUCUGCCAUGGUCGCGGUUGGUGGAGCAGGAGGCGUGGCAGUGGCGGUGGAUGGAGCGCAUCGAGGCGGGCGGGUGGCGGCUUGCUCGCUUGCUCUGCCCUGAGAUGGCGCGGGCCGCGGGCGGCUUCGGCCGCAGGCUGCCGGCGUUGCCGUGCUUAGGGGUGCGAUGCUGGUGUCGUGGUUGCGGUGUUGGCGGUGUGUACGCGGCCUGGGGUCCGGCUGGGCCUCCAUCCCGGCAUAGGCGACGGCGUGUGGUGUGGGUGGACCGUCAGUGGGUCCUCCCUGGGCUGCGGUGGCGGCGGUCCUUCUCCCUAUCUUCGCCGUACGGGCGGCCGUCGGUGGCCUCUCACCGGUCUGUGCCAGCGGCAGUGGUGAGGCGAAGCCGAGUGCUUCGAGUGGGAAGGCCAGUAGGAGGGAUGGGGGCUUCGAUCCCCCGUCUUCGGCACAAGCAUGUGCUGCUCCUCCCUUCUUGCUUCCUCAUCCCGGUGCUUGCUGGUCGCUGACUCAGCGUUGCCUGAGGUGGGAUGGUCGUUGCUACUUCCGACGGUGGUUGGGGUUUGUGCUGGUCAAAGCCUGCUCCUUUGAGGUUCCUGGGACUGUCUGGAUGUAGGGUGGCGGCCUUGGCGGUGGGAGACGUGCUGAUCUUGGGCGGAUUGCGCGGCUCGGGUGCGCGCGGGCAGGCAUGGUCGCUCGGGCGGCAUGGUUGCGGAGGGUUGUCGGAGCUGGGUUACGUCAGAGGGAUCGGUGCACUGGGGUACAUCACCUGCCUAGUCCUUGUACUGGCCGACAGUGGCGGCAUCUGUGGACGUCGUUUCCUCCUUGCAGACUCCCUUCAGGUUAUCCGGGUGAAAAUUUGAUCUGCGUGAUCGGACGGUGGCGGCUAUGGUCGUGCCCUUCUUGAAGGCACCAUUUUGGAGUCCUUGCUCUGUCGUUGGCCUCUCACCUCUCCUAGUCGGCUCGAGGCGGUGCUCCUUUGUUCAUUCUUUGUGUACCUUGUAGUCGUUGGAGAGGUGUGUGGGUGCCCGGCGCCCUUGUAUAUAGCCUUGGGUUUGUGUUGUGUGCGGUGUUGGGUGGUGUGUGUUUGUACCGUUCUCUCGGUUGUACUGUGAUGUUGCUUUAUUUAUAAAGCGGGGGGAAACCCUUUUUCUUAAAAGUAUGGUGCCUGCUUUGGUCGUGCGUCCUUGAUCUCCCUCUUCUUCCCAAUGAAAGGAAUUUGAAGGUUAGACAGCCGACAUUGCACCGGCAUGUGUCGUUUGUUUUUUGGAUGGAGUUUUGCUUUGGUAUAAGGGCAUCUCCAGCACUGACCCUCAAACGUCCCGCAUACAUUCGGACCAUGCUGUCCGGACCAUGGAAACCAUCCAACACGGGCCUCUAUCGAUCUUCGGCGCGGUUAGGACGCAAUUCUUCCGCAAACCAGAAACAUCCGUCGAGAAGGUUUGCGGGAGUCCAGACCAUUGUCACGCCAGCUUCUGACCGCCCUGACCCACAAAAAACCCCUCUCCCUCCUGCAUGUUUUUGGUCAGUGCCGCUCCAGAGCGUCGGUGCCCGCAUUCACGCCCGUCCAGAGCGGACACGACCGCUCAUAGGCAUUGGCAUUGAAGCGGCGGGCCGGCCGAGAGAGCGUCACCUGCGCCACUUCCCGGUCCAUGCGACUGCCGCGUGUUCAAAUGGCACAAUGGCCGCCCAUCUGUCCAUCUGCCGCCCAUAUUGAUGGCACGCGGUUGCUGAGGCGUCUCCUCUGGCGCCACCCGUCCGUCCCUCUCCCGCCCAUCAUUGCUAUAAAAACUGGUGCCCCGGCCCGGCCAUAGCCGCAAUCAUCCAAUUCCGAUCCCUCUCUGCGCCACUCCCACCAUGGAUCCCUCCCCCACCAAAGCUCUCUAGGACGGGAUGACGUCGGACCAGAAGAAGGACGUGGCUGCAAUUGCUGCUGGCUGGCUGGCCAGCGGGCAGCCGAAGGACGAUGCUACACACAACAAACCGACACCACCCUCCUUCUCCGCGCCACCCUCCUCCUCCGCGCCAACCUUGCUGGUGCAUUGGACCUUAACCAUCAGCGAGGACCAUGCCUAUCAUAUGGACCUGGUGCAGGAGGACCGAGAGGAGUAGUUCCGAGAGGUGCAUCCCAACACCUCCUACAACCACCACCUCCUGCAGGACCAUGUGCAGGCGGAUGAGGAGCUCGCCGUUGGCAGGGCUGUCAUGCCGGACGUAGACCUGGCGGAGCAGCAGACACUGCUCGAGUCCUAUCGUCCGCUUGUGAGAUCCGCCUCGGUCGGUGGCGGUACCGCCAGCGGGUGGCAAGGUGGCGGCCGCCUACAAGGAGAGCUACGACACGGGCGAGGCAGUGUUCGGCGAGACCGGCGACGAAGAGGAUAUCAUCGAGUCCACUCCCCGCAACAGCAACCACGAAGUCGGCACGUCCGUGGGCACCACCGCAGUGAGGAAGAAUAGUGCACGGUAGGUCACCGCCGUUCGUGGCCCAGGAAGGCCACCGGUCCUUCCCUCCCGUCGAUGCCAAGCUUGGUGGGCUCACAAUCACUACUAGGGAAAACCUUAUGCACAGAACUUUAGUAGUAGCGCGGGUCAAAAUAGCACGCUGGUGCUAAGUAGAAAUAGCGCGCUUGUGUCAACGGUCCUACAGAUAAAGUUCUAGCAGUAGCGCGCCUGGUUUUAAACGCGCUACUACUAAAAUUCCCACGGCUUAGCCGAUAGACUACGCAUACUAGUAGCGAUCUAUAUCGAACCGCGCUACCGCUAUUUGCUUUGUAGCAUCGCGUUUACGCUGAAAGGCGCUACUGCUAAAGGAUAUAGAAUUAAAUGGAAAGCAAAUAGAAAAGUAAAUGAAAAUGAAAGAAAUAGAAGAAGGUGAAAGUAAAAAAAUGUAAAGAAAAAUAAAUGAAAAAGGAAAAAAAGAAAGGAGUAGCAGUAGCGCGUGGAACACGCUGUAGCUAACUUAGCAGUAGCGUGCUUUCGGGAACGCGCUACUGCUAUUUCUGACUUAACCGCGGGGUUCGUCCUUCCCCACGGCCACAUCCCCCAAAUUCAACUCCUCCGCUCUCGCCGCCGCCGUCGCCCGUCGGCCGCCGCGCGGUCUCCGCACACCCUUGGCGCCGCCCCCGACCCCGGAUUCGACGCCGCCCCUGCCCCCGACCUCGACGCCGCCCAGGACGCCGCCCCCGACCCCGACCUCGACGCCGCCCUCCGCCGCGGGCCCGAGCCCCGACCCCGACCUCGACGCCACCUGCCCCUCCCUCACUGCAGGCACCCGAGGUGAGCACGCCUACUCCUCCCUCUCCCCUACCUCUACCUAGGGUUCUUCAAAUUUUAGUUGCAUCAAAUUAGUUACGGUUCAUGUAAGGGUGGAAACGAAUCGGAUGCGAAUGUUAUCAAAUACGGAUGCGGCUCAAAUUAGUUAGGGUUAAUGUAAGGGUGGAAACGAAUCAAAUUUCUAAGAUUAAUCAUAAAACGAGUAAAAUUUGACCACUUAUUUCACUUUUAAGUUGGAUAAUAGGAAUAUCCGCUACCACUUUCCACCCCUAGGUUCAUCAAAUCAGAUGGUAAUUAGGGCAGUAGUUCCUAGGUACUAAUUAGUUAGUAAGAACUAGGUACUAAUUAGGUACUAGUUUAUUUUUGUUUAUAGUAAGUUUAUUUUUAGUAAGAACUAGUUGAAUUAAUAGAACUAGUUUAAGAUGUCACAUUUGUUGUUGUUUUUUUAGUUAAAGCAAUUUUUCCCGCAUCGACGUCGACGAUGCCUAUCCCACAUCCUCAUCGUCGACUCGGUGGAGGAUGCCUGCUUGACCAGAUGGGCCAUGUCCAGGACUGGGCUCCGCCGGGCUGGUACUUGGAGGCGCUACCUAACGGGGGGCGCAACUUGGUGAGGAGUCAGCCCGUCGUUGACCCGAACCUUCUUUGGCGGCGGUCGCGUGGGCCAGUGACGGUCGAUAGGCUUGAGGACCCCGCGGAGGUGGUACGUCACCGUGUUAGCGAGGAGGAUGUGCACGUCCGUCGCUACUUGUUUGCGCUGGAGCACAGGUUCUCCAAUACCUGGCAGGUUCUCCAGGGAUCUCACUGGAGCUAUGAUCCUGUGAUGGUUCCUUCUCUUUGGGUGUGCACCGCCCGCGCCGAUACCCGUCAUUCGCUAGGGUUUUAGUUGUAUUAGUGAUGUUAUAUGUAUGAUACUAUUCGAGAUGUAUUAGUGAUAAUAUUCGACGAUGUACGGAUGCAAGAGAUGAUUUAAUUUUGCUUAUUGAAUGCAUGCUAAUUGAAUACUUCUUCAUUUUAUGAUUUGGUUUCCUUAUUGAAUGCUCAUGUAAAUAUGAGUCCUAUAAGAUAUUUUGAAAUGUAUAUCUUGUGUUGCUCAAAUAGGAUAUGUGCUUGCCCAAGUGGCCGGUCAUGUUUGUAGGUUACACCUCCAAGUGGCCUAUGUUUUGCCGGAGUGUAGAUUUAUUUCAGUUCUGGCAAAUUUUAGGCGCUCGAUAUGUCCUAUUUUAGCAAAGGUCAUGCCGGAUUUUUCCGUGAAUUUUUGCAUGACUUGUGCCAGAAUAUGUAGGAAAUAUCGAGUGCCCCGAAUUUGUGUGCUGAGUAUCCUGGUAGUUGUCUUCGAUCGAUUUUCAAUUAAUGUUUCAACUAUGAACAUAGGAAAUGUCUGACGACGAAAAGGUUUUCGGUAUUUGCAAAUACUGUGAAGACGAGCGCGGCUUGUGCGACAGAAUCUUCCUAGCUGAUGAUAGGCGCUUCAGCAUCAAGCUGGACGGGAACUUCGAAGUGGAUACAGUAAGUCACAAUGACAAGUCUUUUUUCGUAAUUAAGCAUGACAUCUGCUUCAUUUGCUUCAACUUAUAAUUUAAUUUUUUAGUAUUCUACUAGCGUAUCCCCUGCCAUGCAAGAGUUUUUGUCUUGGAUAAGAUAGGUUUCAGUCCUAUGAAAACUACUAUGGUGGUGAAGAGAAUUACUUGAAGACCGAGCAUGGUUGUACUUUCCACGCAAAAUUAUACAACGCAGACACCUACACCUAUUUUGGAUGCAAAACUUGGCAAGCACUAUGCAAGACUUAUGCAUUUGAGCCUAAUAUGGUUAUCACCUUUGAUAUUCGUCCGAAAGAUGAUAUUGAAGGUAAUAUCGACAUCUGGGUCGAUGUGCAGACGCCUCCAGUUAUACCAUUAUGUGAGUUUCUCAACCAUAUUUAUGUCUUUGAUAUUGUUUAUUCAAAAAUAGUUGACAACUAAUUUCUAUUGAGAACUUAUUUCCAAUCAAGCAAACAUGUCCAGCGCUUGGUAGAUAGGACCUAUUACUGUCCCGGGGCUGAACUAAACUACGAGGAGAUAAGUCAUUAUGUUUCAUGGCUUGAGGAUCUUCAUAUUGUCAAGACAAAUUAUUUUUCUGGACUUGAAAAUCUUAGUACUCAAAACGUGCGACCAAUAGUGUUUGUACUUAACUACGGUCACAUAUAUUUAAGAAAGAUGGUAAGAUUUUUACUAUUUGUCCUCAGUGCAUCUUUUGCAUACAUUAGUUUUUAAGCUAAACUUCAUUGCUAUGUAUGUUACUAUAGGAUGUUCUUCAACAGGGGCUCCCGAUUAAUGUUGUGCCUCAUUGAAUGGAGACUAAAGGUCGCAUGAGAAUUGUUAGCUUACGGCCAAGAUAUCCUACAAUGCACUUUAGUGCAUACACAACUGGAAUUAGCUUAUUUGCCGUCUACCAACUCUUUGUCGUCCGCUGGCGGAUGGCAAAGAAGGUCUUUGCCGUCAGCCACAUGAAAACGGACGGCAAAGAAGUGGUUGAUGGCAAACAAGGUCUUUGCCAUCAGCGAACUCUUUGCCAUCAGCCAACUCUUUGCCAUCGGCUGGCUGACGGCAAAGAAGCUAUGUCGUCCGCUAGCAGACAACUAUGAGGUUGGUGGGUCUAGUUAUUGUGUAACCAACCCAAGCCCACCGGCCCUACCUCUUUGUCGUCUGCAAGCGUACGACAAAGAAUAUUUUCCUACUGUUGGCGGAUGGCAAAGAGGCGGGUGCGUUAAUGGCCAUCCCGCCCCCGUCCUCUGUCUCUUCUCUCCACUCACUCUUGCUCGUUCCCUCCACACCCACAACCGCGCCGCCGCCGACCCCGUCUGCCGUAGCCGGCCGCCCCACUGCCGCGCACCCCUCCCCUGCGACGCCCCGACCUCCACCACACCCCCGCCACCCCUUCCAUGUCCCCCCUGCCACCUCCCCUCCGUCGCCAUCCCCCACCCACACCGAGCCGCGCCGCCGCCGCCGACCCUGUCCGGCGUAGCNNNNNNNNNNNNNNNNNNNNNNNNNNNNNNNNNNNNNNNNNNNNNNNNNNNNNNNNNNNNNNNNNNNNNNNNNNNNNNNNNNNNNNNNNNNNNNNNNNNNNNNNNNNNNNNNNNNNNNNNNNNNNNNNNNNNNNNNNNNNNNNNNNNNNNNNNNNNNNNNNNNNNNNNNNNNNNNNNNNNNNNNNNNNNNNNNNNNNNNNNNNNNNNNNNNNNNNNNNNNNNNNNNNNNNNNNNNNNNNNNNNNNNNNNNNNNNNNNNNNNNNNNNNNNNNNNNNNNNNNNNNNNNNNNNNNNNNNNNNNNNNNNNNNNNNNNNNNNNNNNNNNNNNNNNNNNNNNNNNNNNNNNNNNNNNNNNNNNNNNNNNNNNNNNNNNNNNNNNNNNNNNNNNNNNNNNNNNNNNNNNNNNNNNNNNNNNNNNNNNNNNNNNNNNNNNNNNNNNNNNNNNNNNNNNNNNNNNNNNNNNNNNNNNNNNNNNNNNNNNNNNNNNNNNNNNNNNNNNNNNNNNNNNNNNNNNNNNNNNNNNNNNNNNNNNNNNNNNNNNNNNNNNNNNNNNNNNNNNNNNNNNNNNNNNNNNNNNNNNNNNNNNNNNNNNNNNNNNNNNNNNNNNNNNNNNNNNNNNNNNNNNNNNNNNNNNNNNNNNNNNNNNNNNNNNNNNNNNNNNNNNNNNNNNNNNNNNNNNNNNNNNNNNNNNNNNNNNNNNNNNNNNNNNNNNNNNNNNNNNNNNNNNNNNNNNNNNNNNNNNNNNNNNNNNNNNNNNNNNNNNNNNNNNNNNNNNNNNNNNNNNNNNNNNNNNNNNNNNNNNNNNNNNNNNNNNNNNNNNNNNNNNNNNNNNNNNNNNNNNNNNNNNNNNNNNNNNNNNNNNNNNNNNNNNNNNNNNNNNNNNNNNNNNNNNNNNNNNNNNNNNNNNNNNNNNNNNNNNNNNNNNNNNNNNNNNNNNNNNNNNNNNNNNNNNNNNNNNNNNNNNNNNNNNNNNNNNNNNNNNNNNNNNNNNNNNNNNNNNNNNNNNNNNNNNNNNNNNNNNNNNNNNNNNNNNNNNNNNNNNNNNNNNNNNNNNNNNNNNNNNNNNNNNNNNNNNNNNNNNNNNNNNNNNNNNNNNNNNNNNNNNNNNNNNNNNNNNNNNNNNNNNNNNNNNNNNNNNNNNNNNNNNNNNNNNNNNNNNNNNNNNNNNNNNNNNNNNNNNNNNNNNNNNNNNNNNNNNNNNNNNNNNNNNNNNNNNNNNNNNNNNNNNNNNNNNNNNNNNNNNNNNNNNNNNNNNNNNNNNNNNNNNNNNNNNNNNNNNNNNNNNNNNNNNNNNNNNNNNNNNNNCACACCUUGCACCCUGACACCCCGAUCGACCCUGGACAUGAUGAUGAUACAAAAUCAUCAUAUAUAUUUGUGUUGAUCGGGUGCAUUUUUAUUAUGUUCAUGAUGAUGAUACACUUAAAUUAUAUACAUAUUAUUAUGUUCAUGUCAGGUAUCCAAUUUUUUAUGUUGUACUAAUUUCGUUUACUUUUUGUCAUUGCAGGUGUUGACAGGAUGGUGGGCAAGGGUCCAGAGUGCCCCGAGCCUCCUGCGAGUGCUACUAUGAAGGUGGUUCCAUUAUUGCACCCCAUCCCCUCCGGAGAGCGCUGCUAGAUAGUAUGCAGACAACUGUGGCAGACGCUUCUACUUCGACUGGGAGAGGUCGGGGGAGGACAAAGAAGGCUGGUAGAGCUGGACGUGGCAGCGGGAGAGCUAGGAAGGCUGCUACCCCUUCCUCGCCGCCACCCUCAGCUGAUUCACCCGACCACAGGACUGCUUCGUCUGACGUGGACCCGUCUCAGACUCUGGUCCAUGAUCCUUUGGUUGCUGAUCCUUCGCCCAUGUGAGUCCGGUCCUAGAUUCUUCGUCCCAGAAGACUCCGGUCAUGGGGUCUUCGUCCCAGAAGACUUCGGUCACGGGGUCUUCGUCCUAGAAGACUCCAGUCCCUCCAUCUUCUUCCCACGAGACUCCGGUCCCGCCGUCUUCUUCCCACAAGACCCAGGAGGCUAGUGUCCCAGAGGAUGGUAGCGAGGACACCUUUUCAGAUGAUAGCUACAGCAACGACGAGCUGGUUGAGAAGGGCAAGAAGGUCUACAAGCGUGGCAGUACAAAGCUCCCGCCCAUGCCGACGACCCCCGACCAGAGGUGGUUGAUUGCGCCUAAAGGGUUGAAGUAAGUGCAUUUACUAUUUUUAACCUUUUGCCUUCAUAUUCCUUCAAAUUAAUAUCUAAUGCGUUGGCCUUGUCAUACUGCAGGGGCCGGGUAUACCCCCGUGACCGUGGUGUCCGCAGGACCAACCAGGUCCUUGGCACGCUUUGCCGGCAACACUUCCCUGGGUGUGUCACGAUGCCCGGUGAGGGUCAAGUUCCACAGCUAGCACCGAGCUGGUAACUGUACUCUGUUGCCCCGGCCCCUCUAGGGAUGGUCGCCGGUGUCGUGUGCGAGACGGUGGCCGACAUUGUGUUCCGUCGGUUUUGGGUAAUUUCUUCUUUACAGAAUUAAAAAUGAACACUACCUACCUGGUGAUUGUACUAAUCAUUGUUGUCUUCUUUGAUUGCAGACCUUCUACAGGGUUUCAGAGGGAGAACAGGAGGCCGUGGCUAUGGUUGUCGAAGCCGAGUGCAAGCGCCUACUUCAGAACUUACGGCACGAGGCUCGGGUGCAGGCCGUUCGAGACUACUACGCCUCGCAGGGUAUUAGGAGGGACCAGAAGAAGUGUCACAUCAAGUUUCUGAGUAGGGAGAAGUACUUGUCGGUAAUUAUACCUAUUCUUAAGGCCUUGAACUUAGUUUUCUUGAUUUGAUUCGUAGCACUGAAAUUUCUCUUGACUCACUUAGGUGCCCCCGAGAUGGUGUCUCGAUAAGAUGGACUAUUGGGAGGCGUUGGUGGAUGCGUGGUGCUCUCCCAAAUGGCGGCUCGAACACCAAAGGGCCAAGGAUAAGCGCGACCAAAUGGAAGGUGUGCCACACCAUCAAGUGAGCUCCAACCUGUUUGAGUACGGGCAUAACUGGGUAUGUGGUUUGCCACAUGAUUCAUGCAAUUUCAUUCUUCAUGGUAGCAUUUAUCCUUUCCAAAAUGACUUAAUAUGCUUAGUUAGUUAAAAAAGGCAUAACUACCUUGGAUAGUUCAUUUAUGACAUAUUUAGCUCUAAAAUGACAUAAUAACCUUUAGAUAGCUCUAGAAAAUGACUUAAUAUGCAUUAGUUAGUUAAAAAAAUGGCAUAACUACCUUCGAUAGCUCAAUAACGACCUAAACUAAUCUUAGCUAGUUCCUUCAUGAUAUAAUUAGCUCUAAAAUGUCAUAAUAACCUUAGAUAGCUCUAUAGCAUGCCUAAAUAUGUUAUAGUUAGCUAAAAAUAGCAUAACUACCUUGGAUAGCUCAAUAAUGACAUAAUUAGCAUACUUUGGUCAAAAAUGGCAUAAUAAUCUUUCUUAGCUCUGAAAUGACCUAAACUUAGCUUAUUUUCCUCAAAAAAUGACAUAAUAACCUUUCUUUGCUCCAAAAUGACCUAUUUACAUAGCAAUAUCAUUCUUAAUGCUAGCUUGAGCCCUUAACUAAUAUUUUGUUCCUCUCUCUCAGGCGCAGUACAACAAGAAGCCUGUGCCAAGUCUGUUCGACCUCUAUGGCAUGGCCCAUAUGGCCUCGUACAAGAAGGCCAAGGCAUUCACGGAGUCUGACCUAGAUAAUCCAGAGAGCUUCACCAACAUCUCCUCCCACCACAAGCUUGUGAAGUACAAAGACGAGGGGAAGACGAGGAAAGGGGAGGACUUUAACCCGAACCAGGAUCCUUUAGAUACAGAGGUAGUGAUGAUAUCUGGUGGCGGGAGGUCCCAUGGCUCUCAAGCCAUUGCUGAUGGACUGAUACGUUGUCCUAAGACUCUCCCGCGGAUCAAGAAGUGCCUGAGUAGCUCUAAUCCUGAGAUAAUGCCUCGUGCACGGCCCGCGGAGCUCGCCGUGGCGGUUAGUUAUACGGACUCUCUGACCUUUCCUCCAUACAUUGUGUGUGCGUCCGUCAGUGAUUACAAUGCUAACGAGGAGUGCUAUGUUGCAGGCAGCGGUUGACAAAGAGAGAUUGAAGACCCAGGCGCUUUUGGAGGAGGCAAAAAGGGAGGCGGCGGAGAGGGAGAGGGAGAGGGGGGAGAGGACGGCAAAGCUGUUGUACGAGGAGAGGAACCAUAACGAUGCGUCUCACCGGGGCCUAUACGAGCUCGUCGUGGUACGUUUCUCGUGCAUAUUAGCCCAAGCAUGCACAUAAUUUCGCAUUACUAACUAAUAUGACUGACUAAGAACCAAAUGUGCAGACCAUGUGCGAGAAAAAUGGUCAGGCCCCUCCGCUGAUGCCCCAGAUUGCUCCGGCGACCACGAUGAGUUUGUUUUGAGUGGUCCUUAGUUACUACUAUUCACAUUUCAAUUUGCAUCAUGCUAGCGAGACAUUAUUGGAAAUGAUCUUUGGUUAAGCUUCGCUCCCAACAAGCAUCGACCAAUCCUUCCGCGUCUGCCAAUGCUGGAACCCCGACCAGUCCGUCACCUCCGUCUGCCACUUGUGCAGCCCCGACCAUUCCUACACCUCCGUGAUAACAUUAUUUUUCUUCUUAUUUAGCAUGUUUAGUCCAUUUAUGACAUAAUUUAGCCUAUUAAGUCCACAAAUGACAUAAUAAGAUGAAGAAAAUCAAGAAAGAGGAAGAAAAGAAGGAAUAUGAAUAAAAGAAGAAGAAGAAGAAGAAGAAGAAUAAGUAGGUUUCUUCUUCUUCUUCUUCUUCUUAUUUUCCUCCUCUUACUUGUUUUUAUUCGUAAAUGGCAUCAUAACCUUGCUAACCUCAUAAAUGUCAUAUACUUAGCUUGUUGUCCUCUAAAAUGACACAAUAAGCUUAGUUAGGUCAAAAAUGGCAUAAUUUGCUACGUUAGCUCAAAAUGGCAUUUUUCUUCUUAUUUAGCCUAUUUAGUCCAUUUAUGACAUAAUUUAGCCUAUUUAGUCCACAAAUGACAUAAUAAGAUGAAGAAAAUCAAGGAAGAGGAAGAAAAGAAGAAGAAGAAGAAGCUUCUUCUUCUUCUUCUUCUUCUUCUAGUCUUGUUCUCCUUCUUCUAGUCUUCUUCUCUUUCUUCUUCUUCUUCUAGUUUUCUUCCUCUUCUUCUUCUAACUUUCUUAUUUCCCAUUUAAUUCACUAUGGAAGCUUGCAUGGAUGGAGUGCUUGUUUCUCUAUUCUUCUUUUUGUUUUUCUUGAAGAAUAAUGUGGAACUUGUUAUAUGGAUGCAUGGAACAAUGUGUUGGAUGAAUAUUGUGGUAGUAGUGUAAGAUGUAUGGAUGAUAAUGUGUUUCUUAUGUAUGUAUAUAUGUUGUCAUGGAUGGAGCUAUGUGUUUCAUAGAUCAUAUGUCUGCUGUGCCUGUGAAAAAAAAUGUAUAUAUGUGUGUGAAUUCCAGUGAAAUUAAAUGGAUAUAAAUGUAAACAGGGGAUAUAUAUAGCCUCUUUGCCGUCUGCUAGCGGACGGCAAAGCUCUUUGCCAUCCGCUAGCAGACGGCAAAGAGUACAUGUGGCAGUUUCCUGUAGACACUGGGAACACUGGCUGCCUAUUUGGUCAGCAAUGCCGUCUGCUGGCGGACGGCAAAGACCUUUGAAUCUUUGCCGUGUACUGGCGGACGGCAUAGUUGGACACGUGGCAGUUUCCCAGUGUUGUCCUAACUGAUCUCUUUGCCGUCCGCUGGCGGACGGCAAAGACCUUUGAAUCUUUGUCGUCCGUUGGCGGAUGGCAAAGAGCACCGUUAACGCCCUAACGGAUCUGACGCCACCCCACUGCCGUCCGUUGUCUUUGCCGUCUGCUGGCCUCAGACGGCGGACGUCACAAUCUUUAGCCGUCCGUUUCGUGGAAGCGGACGACAAAGAAGGCCUUUGCUGGCACCUGCUCAGACGAACAGUUUGCCGUCUGCUGGCGGACGACAAAGAUGUUUGCCGUCCGGGAUCUAUAUCUUUGCCGUCUGCCAUGGCGGACGGCAAAGAAAUUGUUUCCAGUAGUGAUACAGGAUUUCUAAUAGCGAGGAAUGCUUAAUAGUGAAAGAUUGGAGUAAAAUUGUGAACGAGCACAUAGAAAUACUAGGGGGCAGCAAUCAGAAGCGCAACCCAUGAUUAGGAGACAGGUUCAUCUGCAUGCUCCAAGUUUAUGAAGAAGGAGUGUUACACAUGUUUUAUGUUAUUUUACCUGAGAGAGAGCAAGCUAUAAAUGAGUUUGAAGAUGAUGAUGUGCUACACAAUGACUAUUGUGAUUACAUAGCUAGUGUUGGUGGUAAUGACUAUGAUGAUUAUUAUUAGCUAGUGUUGGUGGUGAUUAGAUAGCUACCCCAGCUAGUGUUGGUGGUGAUUAGCUAGCUAGAAUGAGUUUGAAGAUGUUGAUGUGCUACACUAUGACUAUGAUGAUUAAAUCACUAUUGUUGGUGGUAAUGACUAUGAUGAUGAAUACAUAGCUUGUGCAGGCGGAUUAGAUUCAAGUGGAGGCAACAUGUGGUGCACAUCAAAAGUACUACCAGUCUAAACAAGAUCAAGUUUGGAUUAGUAGUAUACUUUUGACAUGCACCACAUAUUGCCUCCACUUGAACCUAAUCCACAUUUAUUUGACACACUGUUAUGGACAUAAUGAUAUAAACCUCAUAAUUGGUAUUGUACCAAAAUUUUUAUAACGGCGUAUAAAUACACUCAAAAUAAAAAGAAUAAAAAAAUAAUACUAGUAGCGAUGGACAGGAAACACGCUGCUACUAGCUAGAUUAGCAGUAAUGCAUUAUAGAACAAACGCUGCGGCUAUGAGUCUUAGAAGUAGCGCACGUGGUAAGCGCUACUGCUAAGUAAUAGCUGUAGUGCCUUAUUAGUAGCACGGUUACCCGCGCUACUACUAGGGUUUUCCCUAGUAGUGAAUCUUUGGCCGGUUAGUCACUUGGCAGUGAUGUGGAGGCGGAAAGCUUCACUUCCCGGGCCUCCAGAGGCGGAGGUUACGGAGGCGGAGCUUGAGAGUGCCGAGGUGAAAGUGGAGAAGGUGAAGCUUCAGUUCUCAAGGCUGAUGGCCGGACACGGGGAACGGGCACCGACGACCAUUUAGAUUAGGUAUUAAUUAUAUCUUUAGAGCCGAACUAGCACAACUUUGAUGUAAAUGUAAUGAAAUUCAUCAUGUUUAUAUGACAUUCGGGCGUGUUUAUAUGAAAUUUGGUCUUGUUUGCAUGAAUUUUAUGCGGUUUGUUGAAAAAGAGUUUGAAAUAUAUGCGGCUACGGUUGGAUGGCUACCCCCACAGCCAUGUUCAUGAAAGGAUGUGAAAAGAAAUUUGUGGGUUACUAUUGGAGAUGCCCUAACCCCCUUAGAAAAGUUUACAUAUUUUGAUGUAGAUUAUAGAUGAAAAUUAGAAGUUACCUCUUUAAUGAAAAAAUAAUAGAUUGUUUUGAUCUCUUGUUAGAUCAAUUGAAAAAAAUGAAAUUAGAAUUAAUCCUUUUGGAUAUACGAGAAUACUGUUUUAAAUAACUUUCAGAUUUGUGUAACUUUUAAGAGGAUGUUGAAAGUGCAACUAUCCCUGGGUGGUUUUGGUAAUUCCUAACAACAUAUAGCUCAUUGAGCUAAUGCUAUUUCAAGAUAAAUAUUUCAGGAAAGCUCAAUGAUUGGCAUGGCAUGGAUGAGAAAAGUGGAUCCCUCAAAAUGCUAAGGACAAAAGUAUUGGCUCAAGCUCAAAGCACAAGACUCUACAUUUUCUAUUUCAGUGAUCCAAGAUCACAAUGAGUCUAUAGGAAAAGCCAAUACUAUCAAGGAGGGAUGAGGUGUUUCUUAAUGAGGUUCAUACUCAACAUGCUUAGUGAUAUGCUCCAAAGCCCUCAACUACUUUCUCAUAUCCACAUAUGACCCAAACCAAAAGUCAAACUCGGCCCCACAGAUUCUUUCUAUCCGGCGUCACCGAGUUCAGAUGUCAUAGCCACUGCCACAAACCCUAGUCUUUUCGGUCUCACCGAUAGGGAUAUCGAUCUCACCGAGAUGGGAUUGUAAUCUUUCUGUUUCCCUUCGUAACGUUUCGGUCCAACCGAGAUGAGCGAUCGGUCCCACCGAGAUUGCAAUGCAAACUCCCUGUUUCCCUUUUGUAACGUUUCGGUCUAACCGAGAUGAGAGAAUCGGUCCCACCGAGUUUGCCGGACCAACUCUCUGGUUAGAUUAUUACCAAAAUCGGUCCCACCGAGUUUGUGUAAUCGGUCUCACCGAGAUUACGUUAUGCCCUAACCCUAACCUCAUCGGUCCCACCGAGUUGACAUGUCGGUCCCAUCGAAAAUCGUAACGGUCACAUUAUUUGCUAAAUCGGUCCGACCGAGUUUCAUGAUUUGGUUCCACCGAGAUUGGUAAGUUGUUUGUAACGGUUAGAUUUUGUGUGGAGGCUAUAUAUACCCCUCCACCCACUCUUCAUUCGUGGAGAGAUCUAUUAGAACAUGCCUACACUUUCAACAUACAUUUUCUGAGGGAGAACCACCUACACUUGUGUUGAGGUCAAGAUAUUCCAUUCCUAUCAUAUGAAUCUUGAUCUCUAGCCUUCCCCAAGUUGUUUUCCACUUAAAUCCUAUUUCCACCAAAUCCAAAUCCUGUGAGAGAGAGUUGAGUGUUGGGGAGACUAUCAUUUUAAGCACAAGAGCAAGGAGUUCAUCAACAACACACCAUUUGUUACUUCUUGAAGAGUGGUGUCUCCUAGAUUGGCUAGGUUUCACUUGGGAGCCUUCGACAAGAUUGUGGAGUUGAACCAAGGAGUUUGUAAGGGCAAGGAGAUAGCCUACUUCAUGAAGAUCUACCCUAGUGAGGCAAGUCCUUCGUGGGCGACGGCCAUGGUGGGAUAGAAAAGGUUGCUUCUUCAUCGACCCUUCAUGGGUGGAGCCCUCCGUGGACUCGCGCAGCUUUUACCCUUUAUGGGUUGAAGUCUCUAUCAACGUGGAUGUACGAUAGCACCACCUAUCAGAACCACGACAAAAACAUCCGUGUCUCAAAUUGCGUUUGCCUCCUCAAACUCCUCCCCCUUACCUUCAUAUGCAAUUUUUUACAUUCCGCUGCUAUACUCUUAGAAUUGCAUGUGUAGGUUGAUAGCUUGAAUAGUGCUAAGUUGCUAAAAUCUGCCAAGAACUAAAAUUGGAAAAAGGCAAGUUUUUUAUUUGGUUAAGUAGUCUAAUCACCCCCCCUCUAGACAUACUUUCGAUCCUACAAAUGUACCUAAACAAAACUCGGACAGACGACCGAUUUAAACGCACCAUGGUGCCUCUUGUGCGGGCAAACGAACAAACUGGAGUAUAAAUCGUCAAGCUCUUGCAGAUUCAUUUUUUUAGUUUCCCGCAAAAAAAGAUUCAUUUUUUCAGUACAUGCAAAACAAAGAUUCAUUCUUUUUUAUAUAUUAAAUCCAUUCUUCCAUGUAGACUCGCACUGGUAUAUUAAUAACGGAUUCGUGUGGUCUCUUGUCCAUGGGCCUGGUUCAGUUGGGCUAGCAGACAGUACAAGAUCAAUCGUGUGUGUACACGUAUGUGGAGAAAAUGAGCUAAGCAGAAAGUACCAUUCUUCUUCCAGCUCAAAUGAGCUCGGUGAACAGUGAAAUAAAAAAAUAAAAAAAAUCCAAAUUUUUUGAGCGAAACAUUGACAAAAUUCUAUGUGCUUGCAAAAUUUUGUCAUGGAAUCACAUUCCUGUAAGGUGUGGCAAAAAAACUAAUUCAGUGCUUCAAAAUGCUUUUGGAAGUAGCAUUUUCAGAGUACCGAUUUUGUUAUUUUUGCCCCGCCUUCUAAAAAUGUGUUUUCAAUACGAAUUUUUGCAAGCACUUAAAACUUUUGCCAAUAUUUCAUAAAAAGAUUAGAAUUUUUUGAAUUUUGUUUCGAUCUUACUGUUUGAGCUCGGAUGCAGAAACUCUGCGUCAAGCUAAGGACACUUUAGAUCUAUCUUUAGGACGUCUUCUUAAUCCUCCAGAUAUAAACUGUAUUUUCAUGUAUUUGAACAUUGAUCAAGGUGUUUAGACUAAAAAAAGAAAACCGUACGUGGACAAAAUCAUGGCUAUGUUGCAGCUAUGCCAGCGGUCGCUGAACCGGAGACCUCGGGGUGGUGGACUAGGCCCCGUGAGAGAAAGUGAGACCAAUAAUUGAUUGAUUUCCCCCCACGAGGCCAUCAGUACAUCACUCACUACUCGGGGUGGUGGUGUGAUUUUCCGCUGCAUAUUCGGCCUCCAAAAAACAGAUGGGCUGCGAGCAUGCAUAUGGACUCGCCGUCAACGGAGCGACGAUAGGUCAAGUCCCGAGGACCAGCUGGAUUUUUGGGCGUGGCAUGAGGAAGACCGAGGUAUCUUCACCGUCUGGUCGGCAUAUCGGAUGAUCUUGAGGACAAAGUUGAGAAGGGAACGUUGGCUAUACGAAGAGGAAGGUCCAUCAGCAAGGGAGAGUGAGAAGUGGUUUGCGAUUUGGCACAUACAGGUCCCUUCAAAGCUUCGGAUGUUUGUUUGGAGGCUAGCUAGACAGUGGAUGCCAACCGGCGACAUGCUAAAUCAUAGGAACAUGGCUGGUCAUGAUACAUGCAGAAUCUGUGGAGCUCGAGAUACAUGGAGACAUGCGCUUAUGACAUGCUCUAUGCCGAGAAGCAUAUGGGCCGUUGCCCCUGAGGACUUUGUGGAGAAAUUCAUUGCUAGCCAAGAGGAGGAUCCGAAGGCAUGGAUGUUUGCUUUACAUGAAAUAUUGGAUGUGGAGGAUUUCACUCGUUUGGUGGUUACGGCCUGGGCCGUAUGGGGUGCACGGAGGAAAGCCGUGUAUGAGGAUAUUUUCCAAUCACCUUUCGCCAACAACAGCUUCAUAACAAAAUACUUAUCAGAAUUAAAGCAAGUGAGCUGUCGAACUCAACGGCCUAUGACGGUGCCUAUUUCAAGACCGUCAACCUGGCUUCCUCCUCCUUAGGGUUGUGCAAAGUUAAAUGCAGAUGCUGCUAUCUCAGUGCGAAGCAGGUAUGGCGCUAUUGCGUCAGUAUGUAGAGAUCAGCAGGGGGAUUUCUUGGUGCGUCGGCCAUUGUGGUGAAGCAUAUCAUCGAUCUAGCAACACUUGAAGCGAUGGCAGUAAGGGAAGCUUUGUCCCUCGCGGCAGAUCUUUAUGUCCAAGAUAUCCAUGUCGCAUCGGAUUGCAAGAUGGUGGUAGAUGACGUGAGCAAGGGCACGUCCGCGGCGUAUGGGUCGGUGAUCAAAGAAAUUAUAGACAUAUCUUCAGAGUUUCAUUUUUGUAACGUAGUUCAUGAAUUUAGGAGCUCCAAUUUUGAAGCUCACAACAUCGCAAAGCAUGCACUUACUCUCCAGGUUGGCUGCCAUGUUUCGUUAGGUCAACCGGGAAAUCUUUCUUUCAUCCAUGUAAAUAUUGUGACGGGAUAAUAAAGGCUUUGCAAGUUUGUCUCAAAAGAAGCUGGACCAGACUAAGGGCCCCCUAAAAGUUGCUUAAACUAGACAGGUCAACUGUGAAACAGCGUAAUCUCAUAGCACAUACUAUCUCUAAAAUGCCCCCGUGUCCGAGCGUACCACCUUAGCCGAAGUUAUUCGUUGGGACUGAUCGACACCUCUCAUAUUAUUUUUAUAUCUCGAGCGAAUAUAGAAACGGCGUGCCCGACAUAUUGGACCAGAUAGAGUGAACCCAUCCAAAUUCUACCAAAUUAAUCAGGUCAGCUAAAUCGACCGUCGUACUCUCCCAUCCGCCCUCCAUUUCCCACAUCCGAGCCGUCACCGUCCUCCUCCGUCUGUCCUCCAUUUCCUGUGUCCUAGCCACUGCCGUCCCCUACCCUUUCCACAGGCCAUCCGCGUCACCGACAUCAUAGACGUCAUCGCCGAGUACCCCUUCCACCACCUCUAGCAUGGAUGAUGUUUCUACAGAGUCAAUAGGGUCCCGCCCAUGGCGCGCAACUGCAAUGCGGAGAAUGUCACCCAAAGGGAGCGGACCCAACCUACAUUGCGCUAGACAAGUGAUUCAUUAUUUUGGCCACACGCGGCCCAGAAGUUAAAUUUCAUUUUGGCAUUGUUUGAAUUGUUGAUUUGUGUUUUUUUUGCUUUGUUGCACUAUUUAUUCAUGUUUAAAUCGUGUUAUAUGAUUGACGGUCUAUGAAUUUGAGGGUUUCGAUAUGAAGAGUGUGGUUGUCAGGUAGGUGAUACAUCCCAACGUAUCUAUAAUUUUUUAUUGUUCCAGGCUAUUAUAUUAUCUGUUUUGAAUGUUUUAUAUGCAUUAAUAUGCUAUUUUAUAUUAUUUUUGGGACUAACCUAUUAACCUAGAGCCCAGUGCAAGUUCAUGUUUUUUCCUUGUUUUUGAGUUUCACAGAAAAGGGAUACCAAACGGAGUCCAAACGGAAUAAAACCUUCGUGACGAUUUUUCUUGGACCAGAAGACAACCAGGAGACUUGGAGAUGAAGUCGGAGGAGACACGAGGCGGCCACAAGGACGGAGGGUGUGCCUAGGGGGGUAGGAUGUGCCCCCACCCUUGUGGGCCCCCCGUGACCCUCCUGACCUAAUUCUUUCGCCUAUAUAUUCCCAUAUAUCCCCAAACCACCAGAGGCAUCCACGAAAACACUUUUCCGCCACCGCAACCUUUUGUACCUGUGAGAUCCCAUCUAGGGACCUUUUCCGGUACCCUGCCGGAGGGGAAUUCGAUCACGAAGGGCUUCCACAUCAACUCUAUUGCCCUUCCGAUGAUGCGUCAGUAGUUUACCAGAGACCUAUGGCUCCAUAUCUAGUAGCUAGAUGGCUUCUUCUCUCUCUCUUCGAUUCCCAAUACCAUGUACUCCCCGAUGUUCUUAGAGAUCUAUUCGAUGUAAUACUUUUUCCCGGUGUGUUUGCCGAGAUCCGAUGAAUUGUGGAUUUAUGAUCACCAUAUCUAUGAAUAUUAUUUGAAUCUUCUCUGAAUUGUUAUAUGCAUGAUUCGAUAUCUUUGUAAUUAUCUUCGAACUAUCGGUUUGGUUUGGCCAACUAGAUCGGUUUUUCUUGCAAUGGAGAAGUGCUUAGCUUUGGGUUGAAUCUUGCGGUGUCCUUUCCCAGUGACAGUAGGGGCAGCAAGGCACGUAUUGUAUUGUUGCCAUCGAGGAUAAAAAGAUGGGGUUUUCAUCAUAUUGCUUGAGUUAAUUCCUCUACAUCAUGUCAUCUUACUUAAUGUGUUGCUCAGUUCUUCAUGAAUUUAACACUCCUGAUGCAGGAAGGAGUCGGUCGAUGUGUGGAGUAAUAGUAGUAGAUGCAGAAUCAUUUCAGUCUACUUGACACGGAAGUGAUGCCUAUAUUCAUGAUCAUUGCCUUAGAUAUUGUCAUAACUUUGCGCUUUUUUAUCAAUUGCUCGGCAGUAAUUUUUUCACCCACUAUAUUAUUUGCUAUCUUGUGAGAAGCCUCUAGUGAAACAUAUAGCCCCCGGGUCUAUUUUCCAUCAUAUUAGUUUCCGAUCUACUAUUUUGCAAUUUUUUACUUUCCGAUCUAUAAACCAAAAAUAUCAAAAAUAUUUACUUUAUAGUUUAUCUAUCUCUAUCACAUCUCACUUUUCCAAGUAACCGCGAAGGGAUUGAAAACCCCUUUAUCGCCUUGGGUGCAGGUUGUUUGAUUGUUUGUGUAGGUAUUUGGUGAUUUGUGUGUUGUCUCCUACUGGAAUGAUACCUUCGCUCUCAAACUAAGGGAAAUACUUAUCUCUACUUUGCUGCAUCACCCUUUCCUCUUCAAGGAAAAACCCAAGACAAGCUCAAGAAGUAGUAGGAAGAAUUUCUGGCACCGUUGCCGGGGAGAUCUAUGCCAAGUCCAGACAUACCAAGUACCCAUCAUAAACUCUCAUCUCGUGCAUUAUGUUAUUCGCCAUUCGCCUCUCAUUUUUCCCUCCCCCACUUCUAAAACUAUUUUCGAAAAGAUUUUCCUUUUUAUUCGCCUUCUUUCUGUAUGUCUUUUUGUUUUUUGUUUCCAUGUGCCUUCUAUUUGCCUGCAUCUUUGCUUGCUAAAAAUCUAUUGAUAUGGAUCCACUUAAAUUUUUCUACUUGGAUCAUCUACGAUCUAUAUAUGCUUGUGCUGAAACCCCAACUAGUUUAGUUGAUGGAAAAUCUUGAGAUGAGCAUGCUCAUUUUGUGUGUCACCGUUUGUCUGAAAAAGGGAGACUCUUAUGGAAUCAAAUAAACUGUUUGCUCGGUUAUGCUUGGAAUCUUUGUGAAAUUUAUGAUUUUACUUGUUGCUCUAAGAACCCUAAAAAAACCUUCCCUACCUAUGUGAAUUUAAUAAUAAUGAAAUCUUAUCUUCUUAUGAAAAGGUUGUUUAUAGUUACUAUGAUAUCGAACAAAUUGAAGAAUUUGUUUCUUUUAAGGGUGCUCAUGAAGUUGCUUUUUUGACUGAAAAGUAUGAUAUUACUCUCUACAAAUCUAAAAAUUCCGACAUACUUAAAUAUUGCAAUGAAAACUAUGCUCAUAAUGCUUAUGUUGAGGAGUUUAUUGAGAGAGUGACCGUUGCUUUGGAAGAAAAUAAUGAUAUGCAUGAAUCUAUAGAUAAUUAUGAUUCCGGUGAUUUGAUUGAAAUAUCCCUUGAUGAACAUGAUGCUUGCUAUUCUUUUCGCCAUGAAGCCAAUAUUUAUGGAGAUCAAUUUGCUAUAGUUCCUUAUGUUAAACAUGAGAUGGUUGCUAUUGCACCCAUACUUGAUAGUUCCUUGAAUCAAAAGCAUGACUGCAAUGAUGUUAUUAUAAAUUCUAUUAAUGUGAAUUAUGCUAAAAAUAUGCAAAACCCUAAGCUUGGGGAUGCUAGUUUUGCUAUGUCCACUACUCGUUGCAAUGAUCAUGAUUGGGGUGAUUCUUCUUAUGAUCUUGAAAAUUUAUUUAAGCCCCAUGGUGAAUAUGAGAUUGAUAAUAAUGCUUGCAAUAAUAUUGAAAGUGUGUUUGAAAGAGUGUCAACUUUAGAUCUCACAUAUUUUGAGAAUGUUCAAUCUUAUAGAAUUUUUGAUAAAAGUGGGUUUGGAGAGGUCAUGACUUUAGUGAAUGUUAAUCCCACUAUUUUGAAAGAGUGUCAACUUCGCAUGCAUGUGGAUCUUUUUGAGAAUAUGUCUUGUGAUAGCUAUAUUGUUGAAUUUUCUUACGAUCCUACAUGUGAUUAUUACGAGAGAGCAAAAUAUGGUUGUAGAAAUUUUCAUGUUACUAAAUUACCUCUCAUCAUGUUGAGAUCACUAUUGUCUCUUUCUUCUUCCUUGCAUAUCCUAGUUUUUGCUUGCCUUGAUAAUUUGUUUGUUUAUAAAAUGACUAUGCAUAGGAAGUAUGUUAUACUUAGAUGUGUUUGUCACGUGUUUUAUGAUGCUCUCUUUGUACCUCAAUUCUUCUCUUUUAUGUGAGCAUCAUUGAAAUUAUCAAUGCCUAGCUAAAAGGCUUUAAAGAAAAGUGUUGGUUGGGAGACAACCCAAUUUUUUUCUUGUCGUUUUCCAAUAAAUAAUUCAUCUAGCCUCUGUUUAGAUGUGGUUUUGUGUUUUAAUUAGUGUUUGUGCCAAGUAAGACCUUUGAGAUAGCUUACGGUGAUAGUUGUUUUGAUCUUGCUGAGAAACAGAAACUUGUGUGCCCAGGAAAAUAAUUUUUCAUAAUUUACAGAAGUGUGAUUUUGAUCUGAUUCUUCUUGCACUGGAUUUGUACACAAAUUGCCCAGGUUGCUCUAAUUUUUCAGAAUAUUUGGAGUUACAGAAGUAUACGAAGUUCUCUGAUUACUACCGACUAUUCUGUUUUUUGACAGAUUCUGUUUUCUAUGUGAUGUUUGCUUAUUUUGAUGAAUCUGUGGGUAGUGUAGGGGGGUAUGAACCAUGGAAAAGUUGGAAUAAAGUAGAUAUUACACCAAUAUAAAUAAAGAAUGAGUUCACAACAUUACCAAAAGUGGUGAUUUAUUUUCUUAUACUAUAGGAGCUUAUGAGAUUUUUUGUUGAGUUUUGUGUUGUGAAGUUUUCAAGUUUUGGGUAAGGAUUUGAUGGACUAUGGAAUAAGGAGGGGCAACAGCCUAGUCUUGGGAAUGCCCAAGACACCCCAAGGUAAUAUUCAAGGACAACCAAGAGCCUAAGCUUGGGGAUACCCCGGAAGGCAUCCCCUCUUUCGUCUUCGUGUAUUGGUAACUUUACUUGAGGUUAUAUCUUUAUUCACCACAUGAUGUGUGUUUUGCUUGGAGCGUCUUGUGUGAUUUGAGUAUUUGCUUUUUAGUUUGCCACAAUCAUUCUUGCUGUACACACCUUUUGAGAGGGAUACACAUGAAUCAUUAUUUAUUAGAAUACUCUUUGUGCUUCACUUAUAUCUUUUGAGCUGUCAAUUUUGCUCUAGUACUUCACUUAUAUCUUUUUAGAGCACGGCGGUGGUUUUAUAUUAUAGAAAUUGAUGAACUCUCAUACUUCACUUAUAUUAUUUUGAGAGUCUUUAAGCAGCAUGGUAAUUUGCUUUGGUUAUAAAUUUAGUCCUAAUAUGAUAGGCAUCCAAGAGGGAUAUAAUAAAAACUUUCCUAUAAAGUGCACUCAAUACUAUGAGAACUUUCAUUCCUUAUGACUGUUUUGAGAUAUGAAGAUGGUGAUAUUAUAGUCAUGCUAGUGAGUAACUGUGAAUUUGAGAAAUACUUGUGUUAAGGUUUGUGAGUCCCGUAGCAUGCACAUAUGGUGAACCAUUAUGUAACGAAGUUGGAGCAUGAGAUAUUUUUUGAUUGUCUUAUGAGUGGCGGUCGGGGAUGAGCGAUGAUCUUUGCCUACCAAUCUAUCCCCCUAGGAGCAUGCGCGUAGUACUUCGUUUUGAUAGCUAAUAGAUUUUUGCAAUAAGUAUGUGAGUUCUUUAUGACUAAUGUUGAGUCCAUGGAUUAUACGCACUCUCACCCUUCCACCAUAGCUAGCCGCUCUAGUACCGCGCAACUUCCGCCGGUACCAUACACCCACCAUAAACCUUCCUCAAAACAGCCACUAUAGCUACCUAUUAUGGCAUUUCCAUAGCCAUUCCGAGAUAUAUUGCCAUGCAACUGUCCAUCGUUCCGUUUAUUAUAACACGCAUCAUCAUUGUCAUAUUGCUUUGCAUGAUCAUGUACUUGACAUCGUAUUUGUGGCAAAGCCACCAUUAAUAAUUCUUUCAUACUUGUCACUCUGGAUUCAUUGCACAUCCCGGUACACCGCCGGAGGCAUUCAUAUAGAGUCAUAUUUUGUUCUACUAUUGAGUUGUAAGUAAAUAAAAGUGUGAUGAUCUUCGUUAUUAGAGCAAUGUUCCAUGUGAGGAAAUUAAAACAAGAGAAGGCCCAAAAAAUGAGAGAAAAAGAGAGAAGGGGCAAUGUUACUAUCAUUUUUCCACACUUGUGCUUCAAAGUAGCACCAUGAUCUUCAUGAUAGAGAGUCUCCUAUAUUUUCACUUUCAUAUGCUAGUGGGAAUUUUUCAUUAUAGAACUUGGCUUGUAUAUUCCAACGACGGGCUUCCUCAAAUUGUCCUAGGUCUUCAUGAUCAAGCAAGUUGGAUGCACAUCCACUUAGUUUUAUUUUUGAGCUUUCAUAAACUUAUUGCUCUAGUGCACCCGUUGCAUGGCAAUCCCUACUCACUCACAUUGAUAUCUAUUAAUGGGCAUCUCCAUAGCCCGUUGAAUGCCUAGUUGAUGUGAGACUAUCUCCUUUUUUUGUCUUCUCCACAACCACCAUAUUCUAUUCCACCUAUAGUGCUAUGUCCAUGGCUCAAGCUCGUGUAUUGCGUGAAAGUUGAAAAGGUUUGAGAACAUCAAAAGUAUGAAACAAUUGCUUGGCUUGUCAUCGGGGUUGUGCAUGAUUUGAAUAUUUUUUGUGAUGAAUAUGGAGCAUAGCCAGACUAUAUGAUUUUGUAAGGAUAAGCUUUCUUUGGUUAAGUUAUUUUGAGAAGGCAUAAUUGCCUUGUUAGUAUGCUUGAAGUAUUAUUGUUUUUAUGUCAAUAUUAAACUUUUGUUUUGAAUCUUAUGGAUCUGAAGAUUCAUGCCACCAUAAAGAAAAUUACAUGGAUAAAUAUGUUAGGUAGCAUUCCACAUCAAAAAUUCUGUUUUAUCAUUUACCUACUCGAGGACGAGUAGGAAUUAAGCUUGGGGAUGCUUGAUACGUCUCCAACGCCACUACUACAAAAAGGGCUAUGGAUGGAAUGGCCACUAAUGGCGCACCUAUCAUGUGGUGCGCCAUUACUAUAUUCUAAUGGCGCACCAUGUCUCAGUGCGCCAUUAGUAUUACUAAUGGCGCACCUGGUGCCUCGUGCGCCAUUAGUAGUUUCGAAAAAAACAUAAAAAAAAAUUGUUACUAAUGGCGCACCGUUGUAUAGUGCCCUAUUACUAGUUGACAUCGUAAUGGCGCACCACAUCCGCCGUGCGCCAUUAGUAGUUUUGAAAAAAAGUAAAAAAAUAAAUAAAAAAAUAUUUGUUACUAAUGGCGCACCAUGUCUCGGUGCGCCAUUACUAGUUUAAACUAGUAAUGGCGCACUGUCCACUGGUGCGCCAGUACUAAGUUUUUUUCAAAAAAAAUUCAAAAAAAAUAUCAAUUUUUGUUUAUUUUUCAUUUAAAACUAGUAAUGGUGCACCGUGAGUGUGGUGCGCCAUUACUAGUUUAACUAGUAAUGGCACACCACCCCACGGUGCGCCAUUACUAACUUGCCCCAACACCGAAUGCACCCCCCAGUGGAUCGCCUUUUCAGUUUUAAAAAAUAAAAGAAAAUGAUGGAAAUGUCAAAAAAAAAGUUUCCCAUGUGAUAUGUGGUCUAGUUGUUGGGAAAAUUUACAAAUAUGAAUUUCGACUUUAUUUGCAGAAUCUCUCUGGAAAUUUGUAAAAUGGGCAUAACUUUUGCAUACGAACUUGGAUGAAAAAGUUUUUAUAUGAAAAAUCAUCUACUCGAAAAGUUACAUUCAAAUUUAAUCGGGGGAACCCCGUUAAACAUUUUCAAAAUUCCCAAAAACCUAACAGAAAAAAAGUUACGGGGCUUUCAAGAUCUAGAGGCAAAAAAAUUCAAAAAAAUCAAACUUACUAGUGGCGCACCGUGGAUGUGGUGCGCCACUAGUAACAAAAAAAUUGGUUUCGAAUUUUUUUUUGUAUUUUUUUUCAAAAAAUGAUACAUAAUAUGACCGGGAAGUUUGAAAUAUUUUUCAAAAUUUCAUCAUAGUCAUGAACAUGAACAAAGUCCUAGACGUCAACAAGGUAUAAUAGGAUUGAAAUGCUAGAUAUAUCAACAAGUGCCUGUGAAGUGAGCUGUUGCUGGGGUUGGAUAGAACUCUAAAGUUAAGCGUGCUUUGGCUUAGUAGUGUGAGGAUGGGUGACCCUUCGGGAAGUUUUACCACGGAGUGCGAUUUGACCUGAGAUUAAGCAUAUUGACCCGAGAUUAAGCCAUAGUGAACUGAGAUUAAGAAAAAAAAUGAAAAAAAUUUAAAAAAAACUUUUGAAAAAAACAAUUUAAAAAAAUUGAAAAAAAAUUGUUACUAAUGGCGCACUCCUAUGUGGUGCGCCAUUACCCUGGGAGGAAUUCUAAUGGCGCACCAUGGGCAAUUCUAAUGGCGCACUACAUGGUGCGCCAUUAGAACACCAGAUACUAAUGGUGCACUAGUGGUGCGCCAUUAGAAUUUAAUUCUAAUGGCGUGAUGCUAGUGGCGCACCAGUAGUGCGCCAUUAGAAGGCAACACUGGUGCGCCACUAGCAUGCCUUUUCCUAGUAGUGUCAAACGACAACCACCCUGCUAGCCCAGGAUGCCGACCCGGAACCUAUCCCCUGGUCAAAGAAGCAGAAGAAGAACUCAACGCAAGCAAGCAUCGCUCUCGCGUCAUGAUCACCGCAUAACUUGUACCUGCAACUGUUGUUGUAGUAAUCUGUGAGCCACGAGGACUCAGCAAUCCCAUUACCAUGGGUAUCAAGACUAGCAAAGCUUAAAGGGAAAGGAAGGGGUAAAGUGGUGAGGCUGCAGCAGCGACUAAGCAUAAUAAGAGCGAGAAGAGAGCAAAGGAACGGUCGUGAAGCUAGCAAUGAUCAAGAAGUGAUCCUGAACUCCUACUUACGUCAAACAUAACCCAGAAACCGUGUUCACUUCCCGGACUCCGCCGAGAAGAGACCAUCACGGCUACACACGCGGUUGAUGCGUUUUAAUUUGGAUCUGGUGUCAAGUUGUCUACAACCGGACAUUAACAAAUUCCCAUCUGCCUAUAACCGCAGGCACGGCUUUCGAAAGAUUAUACCAUGCAGGGGUGUCCCAACUUAGCCCAUGAUAAGCUCUCGCGAUCAACGAAGGAUAUACCUUCUCCCAGGAAGACCCGAUCAGACUCGGAAUCCCGGUUUACAGGACAUUUUGACAAUGGUAAAACAAGACCAGCAAGACCGCCCGCUGUGCCGACAAAUCCCGAUAGGAGCUGCACAUAUCUCGUUCUCAGGGCACACCGGAUGAGCCAAGCAUACAGGAACCGACGUAACCCAAGUUGCCAAGGGAUGGCCCCGCACGNNNNNNNNNNNNNNNNNNNNNNNNNNNNNNNNNNNNNNNNNNNNNNNNNNNNNNNNNNNNNNNNNNNNNNNNNNNNNNNNNNNNNNNNNNNNNNNNNNNNNNNNNNNNNNNNNNNNNNNNNNNNNNNNNNNNNNNNNNNNNNNNNNNNNNNNNNNNNNNNNNNNNNNNNNNNNNNNNNNNNNNNNNNNNNNNNNAAAUGGUAAAACCAAUGUUGGGCCUUGCUGGAGGAGUUUUAUUCAAAGCGAACUGUCAAGGGGGUCCCAUAAAUCACCCGACCGCGUAAGGAACGCAAAAUCCGGGAACAUAACACCGGUAUGAUGGAAACUAGGGCGGCAAGAGUGGAACAAAACACCAGGCAUAAGGCCGAGCCUUCCACCCUUUACCAAAUAUAUAGAUGCAUUAAUAAUAUAAGAGAUAUUGUGAUAUCCCAACAUAAUCCUGUCCACCAUGGAGCAAUCUUCAACUUCACCUUCAACUAACAACGCUAUAAGAGGGUCUGAGCGAAAGCGGUAACAUAGCCAAGCAAUGGUUUGCUAGGAAGGGUGUCAAAGGUUAGAGGUUCAUGGCAAUUUGGGAGGCUUGAUGAGCAAAAGAUAGGUAACGCAGCAAAGCGAUAGAACGAAGCAACUAGCAUAGCAAUGAUAGUAGUGAGAUCCAGGGUAGCGGUCAUCUUUCCUGAAAUCCUGCAAGGAAGAAGAACGAGUCCGUGAAGAAGACGAACGGAUUAAGCCACGAAGACGAACCAAGCGUAGACGAACGAAUCCUCAUGAUCGCAACGAAACGGGAACUAUCGAGAAGAAGCACACAACAUGGUGAACACACCACACAAGAACAAGACAUGAUGCUCACCCAAGCAUGAUGCAUGACAAGGCUACAUGAAGCUACUCAUGGCAAGAGAUGAUGCAAACAAGAGCAACACAUCAAGGCAAGUUUAAAUGAGGCCGGGAACAACAUAUAACAAUUCCGGUAAGUCCUCAUAUGCAAGUUUCGAAAUUGGUCCAGAUCUGAAUAAACCUUAUGUUCAAGUUGUUAAAAAGCAAGUUAAGAUGCACCAAGAUGAUCUACAUGAGAUUCUAGUCAAGUUACAUAUAAAGUUCAUUUAGUCCGGAGCUACGGCCUAGAAGAUAUGAGCAAAACAAGUUAAACAUGGCAUUGAUGCAAAAUGCAUUCAAACUUCAAGAAUACACACCAAAACAAGGAUGCAACAUGAUAAUAUGAAGCUACAUGCAAUUCUAAGCAAGUUUCAUAUAGAGCACACUCAAAACGGAGCAACGGUUCAACACACACACACUAUACAAGUUAUAGCAACAAUCUGCCCAAAACAGCAACUAGGCAUAUUGCAAGCACAAAAACAACAUGCUACAGCAUCUCAACAUGAAAACAAAAGACAUGGACAUGAUGUACAGGUAAUUCAUAACAAAACAUGAACACUGAGCUAUCUCCAGAAAUCACUAGAACAUGCUCAAACACACAUGGUAAGAUUGCAAAUAAUAACAGUUUCAGACUUUGCAGAAAAUAACAUCAGGUUGCAAUGUUUAGAGCUAUCAAACAACAUGUUACAGGAACUUAUAAUGGCAAACAAAGGCAUGGCAUGAAUCUACUAAAUGCAUAGAUCAAAUGUCCUUUAGUGACCAUGAGCAAAAAGGAUCAGAAAAUAUGAUGGCACCCACGUAAACAUGGCAAGUUAUAAUACAGAUUCAAACAUGGCAGGAACAACGAUAAGUAGGCAUGUUGGUGAGCUUGUGCAACUCACUACAGAGCAAAAUAUGGCAUGGAAAGGCAACCAAAAGUAAGAAGGCAUGUUUAUGAAGCUAAGCAUGGCAAUAGCAAGUUCAUAGGGUGCACAGAACACUAACAACAAUCAUGGCAACAACUGAACUUAAUGUUAACAGGCUGACAGCAACAUUAUUAAGCAACUUUGGAGCAAGGAAACAACAAGCUACAGCAGGCUAUAAAUGCAACCAGGGGAAUGAAUGGAUAGAGCAUAACAUGUAGAACAAAACACCAUUAGUGAAUAUCUCCAGAUUAUACAUAGAAUGAUUUGUAGCAGCAGGUUUACAUAGCAUCACCAAAUAACAGAUUCAGGCUAACAAAACAGCAACAGCAAGUGCCCUACUUACCAAGCUCGAUUCACUCAUCACAAAGCAUUGCAUGACAAGAUAAUCAUAGCAUCAGCAAGAAGACAUGUUUAUGAAACAAACCAAGUCAAGAACAAGUUCAUUGCAUGCAAGGAUCAACUACAACAACCUUAGCAAAAUUGAAUAACAUGUAAACAAUCUGCCAGGAAACAUUUUGAAGCAAAAGUAAAGUACGAAAAUGACAUGCUAGACUACUCCAUAAUUACAAGCAGGGGCAUGAAUGGAUAGAUAAUAAUCAUAUGCUCAAAACAUCCUUACUGAAGUAUCUCAAAAUAUGCAUGGGUAUCUCUGUAGCAUCAUGUUUACAUGGCAUCAAAAUAACAGCAGAAUAGGUACUGAAAUCAGCAAUAUCUCGAAGCCUAGUUUGCAUGCUUGUGCUAGUCACCACAUUGAUCACAAAAAUACAUGGUAAGCACCUCUGUAAAGAAGACAUGGAAUAGUUCAAAACACAUGUAGACAUCAACCUCAUAGGAUGCACACAUCAAACAUGGCAAAAAUGACAAAAGAGCAAGUUCUGUUAACAGACAGCAGACAACAUCAUGAAGCACUCUUGCAACGAUGAUUCAGGCAUCAAGAUGACCUCAAAUGAAAAUAAUGCAAUGGAAUGAAAUGAAGUACUCGUUGAGACGAACAAUUUGACAUAUUACACACGCAAAAUGGAGCUACGGAUGCAGAGUUAUGAUGUGUUGAACACGGCAUGAUAAUGUCAAAAUAUUUCGGGACUUAGUCCUUUACUGAAAAAAAUAGGCGAGCGCAGUAUGACUAAAUGUCGCCCCGGCAAGGGAUAGGGCUGGCGGGGCGCUCACCUAGUGGGCUGCAAGCCCAGGUCGGUGGAGGUGAGGUAGGCCGGAUGGGGAAGCCGGGCUGGGCCGAGGAGGGGUCGCGGGCCCAUGUGGUUGGCGGCCUGUCGUCGUUCUCCUCGUGCCUAAGGCGCACGAGCAAGAUGCAGGGGGCGGCGGCGCCCAAAGUCAAUGGAGGGGCAGCAGCAUCUCCGGCAGGUGAGGGCAGCGAGAAGGACCGGAGAGGAUGGAUCCGGGCGGAUCUGGCCCCAACAAAUCCAUUCCCGGCGGCGGAUCCGAGCGCGGUGGAGCUCCAUGGGGGCCAUGGCGCACUGCAGCAGUGGGAGGGAGAGGUUAGAGGAGGAAGGAGAUGAGAGGAAUGGAGAGCGGGGCGGCGCUGGCCUGGGGGUCGGCGGCGGAGGAACCUACCGGCGGCGGGGCACGACAAGUGGCGGCGGGGUGCUGGCUGGGCACGAAUUUCGAGAGGAGGUGGGAGGCGGCUGGCUGAUGAUUGGGAGGCACGAAUUCGAGGAGGAGGGGGGAGAAGGCCAAAAUGGCAUGUGGGGGGUGUUUAAAUAGGCAGGGGUCUAGGGUUAGGGGGAUUUGCUCCGUUUUCGGACCGUUCGAUCGCCAUCGGAUGGCUCCGGAGCGGAGAGGGUCUAGGUGAGUGGAGUGGGCUGUGAAGAGUAGUUGGGAUGAGAGGAGAGAAGAUAAAUGCAGCCCGGCAACUGUUUCUGGAUACCGAAAACGUCCGGCGGUUACACCGGCUAUAUUGCGGCUGUAGGUUUAACGGUUGGGCUAUCAAAUGGACUCCGAAUGCGACAAAACUUGGCAGGCGGUCUGUCUACACUAUAAUAAGACCGCACGACAAGUUGCAACCCAUUCUGAGAACAUUUUUAUGCCACUUAUAAAAUAAUAUUUCGGAGGUGUCGCGGGCGCGUGCGAGUGUGUCUGGCUCAGAACGGACAACGGAGAGAACCGGCAGAACCCGAACGGAUGCAAGUUUUGAAAAAACAUGCAUAUGAAAUGCAGAUGAUGACAUGGCAAAAUGCAACACGAAAGCAAAUGAUAUGGCAACGGCGGCGAAUAACUGGCAGACACCUGGCGCAUCGAAUCCGGGGCGUUACAAGUACGUAUCUAUACUUUUUUAUUGUUCAUGCUAUUAUAUUAUCUGUUUUGUAUGUUUUAUAUACAUUAAUAUGCUAUUUUAUAUUAUUUUUGGGACUAACCUAUUAACCUAGAGCCUAGUGCAAGUUCCUGUUUUUUACUUGUUUUUGAGUUUCACGAAAAAGGAAUACUAAACGGAAUAAAACUUUCAUGAUGAUUUUUCUUGGAUCAGAAGACAACCAGGAGACUUGGAGAUGAAGUCAGAGGAGCCACGAGGCGGCCAUGAAGGGUGAGGGGUGCGCCUGGGGGGUAGGGUGCGUUCCCCACCCUUGUGGUCCUCCCGUGACCCCCCCUGACCUAAUUCUUUCGCCUAUAUAUUUCCAUAUAUCCCCAAACCACCAGAGGCAUCCACGAAAACACUUUUCCGCCGCCGCAACCUUCUGUACCCGUGAGAUCCCAUCUAGGGACCUUUUUUGGCACCUUGCUGGAGGGGGAUUUGAUCACGGAGGGCUUCUACAUCAACUCUAUUGCCCUCCCAAUGAAGCGUGAGCAGUUUACCAUAGACCUACGAGGCCAUAGCUAGUAGCUAGAUGGCUUCUUGUCUCUCUUUGAUUCUCAAUACCAUGUUCUCCUCGAUGUUCUUGGAGACCUAUUCGAUGUAAUACUUUUUUCGGUGUGUUUGCCGAGAUCCGAUGAAUUAUGGAUUUAUGAUCAGCUUUUCUAUGAAUAUUAUUUGAAUCUCCUCUGAAUUCUUAUAUGCAUGAUUUGAUAUCUUUGUAAUUCUAUUCGAACUAUCGGUUUGGUUUGGCAGACUAGAUUGGUUUUUCUUGCAAUGGGAGAAGUGCUCAGCUUUGGGUUCAAUCUUGUGGUGUCCUUUCCCAGUAACAGUAGGGACAUCAAUGCACGUAUUGUAUUGUUGCCAUCGAGGAUAAAAAGAUGGGGUUUUCAUCAUAUUGCUUUAGUUAAUUCCUCUACAUCGUGUCAUCUUACUUGAUGCGUUACUCUGUUCUUCAUGAACUUAAUACUCUAGAUGCAUGCAGGAGUCGGUCGAUGUGUUGAGUAAUAGUAGUAGAUGCAGAAUCGUUUCGGUCUACUUGACACGGACGUGAUGCCUAUAUUCAUGAUCAUUGCCUUAGAUAUCGUCAUAACUUUGUGAUACAUCUCCAACUUAUCUAUAAUUUUUUAUUGUUCCAUGGUAUUAUAUUAUCUGUUUUGGAUGUUUAAUAGGCAUUUAUAUGCUAUUAUAUAUAUAUAUAUAUAUUUUGGAAUAAUCUAUUAACCGAGAGCCCAGUGCUAGUUUCUGUUUUUUUGCCUAUUUUAGAGUUUCGCAGAAAAGGAAUACCAAACGGAGUCCAAACGGAAUGAAACUUUCAUGAUCAUCUUUCUUGGACCAGAAGGAAACAAGAAGACUUGGAUAUGAAGUCGGAGACGCAGCAAGGUGUCCACGAGCAGGAGGGCGCGCCCCAUGGGGUAGGGCGCGCCCCUACCUCGUGGGCCCCUUGUGGGUCUCCUGACCUAGCUCCUUCGCAUAUAUAUACACUCUUAUACCCUGAAAACAUCUAGGGGAGCCACGAAACCACUUUUCCACCGCCGCAACCUUCUGUACCCGUGAGAUCCUAUCUAGGGACCUUUUUCGGCGACCCGUCGGAGGGGGAUUCGAUCACUGAGGGCUUCUUCAUCAACACCAUUGCCUCUCCAAUGAUGCGUGAUUAGUUUACCAUAGACCUACGGGUCAAUAUCUAGUAGCUAGAUGGCUUCUUCUCUCUCCUUGAUUCCCAAUACCAUGUUCUCCUUGAUGUGCUUGGAGAUCUAUUCGAUCUAAUAUUCUUUUGCGGUGUGUUUGCGGAGAUCCGAUGAAUUGUGGAUCUAUGAUCAGAUUAUCUAUGAAUAUUUGGUUCUUCUCUGAAUUAUUAUAGGCAUGAUUUGAUAUCUUUGCAAGUCUCUUCGAAUUAUUGGUUUAGUUUGGCCUACUAGAUUGAUCUUUCUUGCAAUGGGAGAAGUGCUUAGCUUUGGGUUCAAUCUUGCGGUGUCCUUUCCCAGUGACAGUAGGGGCAGCAAGGCACGUAUUGUAUUGUUGCCAUCGGGGAUUAAAAGAUGGGGUUUUCAUCAUAUUGCUUGAGUUACUUCCUCUACAUCAUGUCAUCUUACUUAAUGCGUUACUCUGUUUUUUAUGGACUUAAUACUCUAGAUGCAGGCAGGAGUCGGUCGAUGUGUGGAGUAAUAGUAGUAAAUGCAGAAUCAUUUUGGUCUACUUGACACAGACGUGAUGCCUAUGUUCAUGAUCAGUGCCUAAGAUAUCGUCAUAACUUUGUAAUUUUCUACCAAUUGCUCGGCAAUAAUUUGUUCACCCACCGUAAUAUUUGCUAUCUUGAGAGAAGCCACUAGUGAAACCUAUGGCCCCCGGGUCUCUUUUCCAUUAUAUUGAAUCUCUUUUACAUCAUACUAGUUUCUGAUCUACUAUUUUGCAAUCUUUUACUUUCCGAUCAAUAAACCAAAAAUACCAAAAAAUAUUUACUUUAUCAUUUAUCUAUCUCUAUCAUAACUCACUUUUGCAAGUAACCGUGAAGGGAUUGACAACCCCUUUAUCGCUUUGGGUGCAAGUUGUUUGAUUGUUUGUGCAGGUAUUUGGUGAUUUGUGCGUUGUCUCCUAUUGGAUUGAUACCUUGGUUCUCAAACUAAGGGAAAUACAUAUCUCUACUUUACUACAUCAUCCUUUCCUAGUCAAGGGAAAACCAACGCAAGCUCAAGAAGUAGCAGUAGGACUUUUGAGGCACCGUCCGAGGUUGUCAUAGGUCUCGCCCGUAGACAAUUAGGCGGCCUGAUUUGCCAAGUUAGGUUGUAGAUGCUCUAAUAGGAUACUCAUAUUUUUCCCAAAACUCAAAAAUUGUUGGUAGGGAUAUUUAGCACGUAACAAACUCCCACUAAUCAUACAAAUCUAAAUGGGUGCCCAUAAAAUUUGGCGGACACCCAAAUGUUGCUAUCCAAUACCCUGAUAUGGGUUUUUUAUAGUGAUGUCUACUACACAACCUUCUUCUUAUAGACGUUGUUGGGCCUGCAAGUGCACAGGUUUGUAGGACAGUAGCAAAUUUCCCUCAAGUGGAUUACCUAAGGUUUAUCAAUAACAAAGAGUCUCUUGUGUCCCCAACACACCCAAUACAAUGGUAAAUUGUAUAGGUGCACUAGUUCGGAGAAGAGAUGGUGAUAUAAGUGCAAAAUAGAUGGUAGAUAAAGGUAUUUGUAAUCUGAAAUUAUAAAAAUAGCAAGGUAGCUAAUGAUAAAAGUGAGCAUAAACAGUAUUGCAGUUAUAGGAAACAAGGCCUAGGGUUCAUACUUUCACUAGUGCAAGUACUCUCAACAAUAAUAACAUAGAUAGAUCAUAUAACAAGCCCUCAACAUGCAACAAAGAGUCACUCCAAAGCCACUAAUAGCGGAGAACAAACGUAGAGAUUAUGGUAGGGUACGAAACCACCUCAAAGUUAUCCUUUCUGUUCUAUCUAUUCAAGAGUUCGUAGUAAAAUAACAUAAAGCUAUUCUUUCCGCUGAAUCCAUCAUAGAGUUCAUACUAGAAUAACACCUUAAGACACAAAUCAACCAAAACCCUAAUGUCACCUAGAUACUCCAUUGUCACCUCAAGUAUCCAUGGGCAUGAUUAUACGAUAUGCGUCACACAAUCUCAGAUUCAUCCAACCAACAUAAAAGUACUUCAAAGAGUGCCCCAAAGCUACUACCAGAGGGUCAAGAACGUGUGCCAACCCCUAUGCAUAGGUUCCCAAUGUCACAAAACCCACAAGUUGAUCACCAAAACAUACAUCAAGUGGAUCGCAAGACAUACAUCAAGUGUUCUCAAAAAGACUCAAUCCGAUAAGAUAACUUCAAAGGGGAAACUCUAUUCAUCACAAGAGAGUAGAGGGGGAGAAACAUCAUAAGAUCCAACUACAAUAGCAAAGAUCGGGAUACAUCAAGAUCGUGCCAUAGAGGGAACACGAGAGAGAACACGAGAGAGAGAGAGAGAGAGAUCAAACACAUAGCUACUGGUACAUACCCUCAACCCCGAGGGUGAACUACUCCCUCCUCGUCAUGGAUAGCACCGGGAUGAUGAAGAUGGCCUCCGGUGAUGGGAUCCCCCUCCGGCAGGGUGCCAGAACAGGGUCCCAAUUGGUUUUUGGUGGCUACAGAGGCUUGUGGUGGCGGAACUCCUGAUCUAUCUUCUCCGUGGAAGUUUUUAGGGUACGUAGGUAUAUAUGGGUGAAAGAAGUACGUCGGUGGAGCUUCGGGGGCCCCACGAGGCAGGGGGCGCGCCCAGGGGGUGGGCACGCCCCCCACCCUCGUGAGCACCUCCCUUGGCUCCUGACGUGGGGUCCAAGUCCAUCCGGUAGCUUUCCUUCCAAAAAUAACUUCUCCAGUUGAUUUCGUUCCGUUUUGACUCCGUCUGAUAUUCCUUUUCCUCGAAACACUGAAAUAGGCAUAAAAGAGCAAAUCUGGGCUGGGCCUCCGGUUAAUAGGUUAGUCCCAAAAAUAAUAUAAAAGUGGAUAAUAAAGCCCAAUAUUGCCUAAAACAGUAGAUAAAGUAGCAUGGAGCAAUCAAAAAUUAUAGAUACGUUGGAGACGUAUCAAGCAUCCCCAAGCUUAAUUCUUGCUCGUCCUCGAGUAGGUAAAUGAUAAAAAAGAAUUUUUGAUGUGGAGUGAUACUUUAGCAUAAUUUCAAUGUAAAUCUUCUUAAUUGUGGUAUGAAUAUUCAGAUCCGAAAAUUCAAGACAAAAGUUCAUAUUGACAUAAAAGUAAUAAUACUUCAAGCAUAUUAGUUAACGCAAUCAUGUCUUCUCAAAAUAGCAUGUCCAAAGAAAGUUAUCCCUACAAAAUCAUAUAGUCUGGCUAAGCUCUAUCUUCAUCACACAAAGUAUUUAAUCAUGCACAACCCCGAUGACGAGCCAAGCAAUUGUUUCAUAGUUUAAUAAUCUCAAACUUUUUCAACUUUCACGCAAUACAUGAGCGUGAGCCAUGGACAUAGCACUAUAGGUGGAAUAGAAUGGUGGUUGUGGAGAAGACAAAAAGGAGAAGAUAGUCUCACAUCAACUAGGCGUAUCAACGGGCUAUGGAGAUGCCCAUCAAUAGAUAUCAAUGUGAGCGAGUAGGGAUUUCCAUGCAACGGAUGCACUAGAGCUAUAAGUAUAUGAAAACUCUACAAAAGAAACUAAGUGGGUGUGCAUCCAACUUGCUUGCUCUCGAAGACCUAGGGCACUUUUGAGGAAGCCCAUUAUUGGAAUAUACAAGCCAAGUUCUAUAAUGAAAAAUUCCCACUAGUAUAUGAAAGUGACAACAUAUGAGACUCUCUAUCAUGAAGAUCAUGGUGCUACUUUGAAGCACAAGUGUGGUAAAAGGAUAGUAGCAUUGUCCCUUCUCUCUUUUUCUCUCAUAUUUUUUUAUUUGGCCUUUCAUCUCUUUUUUUAUGGCCACUAUUUUUUUCGUCCGGAGUCUCAUCCCAACUUAUGGGGGAAUCAUAGUCUCCAUCAUCCUUUCCUCACUGGGACAAUGCUCUAAUAAUGAUGAUCAUCACACUUUUAUUUUUCUUACAACUCAACAAUUACAACUCGAUACUUAGAACAAGAUAUGACUCUAUAUGAAUGCCUCCGGCGGUGUACCGGGAUAUGCAAUGAAUCAAGAGCGACAUGUAUGAAAAUUAUGAAGGUGGCCUUUCCACAAAUACAAUGUCAACUACAUGUUAAUGCAAAAAGCAAUAUGACAAAAGUAAUGUGUGUCAUAUGAACGGAACGGUGGAAAGUUGCAUGGCAAUAUAUCUCGGAAUGGCUAUGGAAAUGCCAUGAUAGGUAGGUAUGGUGGCUGUUUUGAGGAAGGUAUAUGGUGGGUGUAUGGUACCGGCGAAUGUUGCGCGGCACAAGAGAGAGAGAGAGAGAGAGAGAGAGAGACAUAAUAUUGAUGAAGUCACAGCUAGACGUUUGGAUGGCAGAGAGAGGGAGAGGGAGAAUAGGUAUAUACUCCCCCUCCUCCUCCCGCGUCGCUCUUGUGAGCGACCAGGAGGCCAAAUCCUAGGCGCCGCCGAGUUCCCUCACCACCUUCCCUUCCCCUCUCUGCCGCUGGUGGGCGUGGCCAAGCGAAGCUUGGUUGGCACAGGGGGUGACGGGGUUCCCUUCGUCCUCUCGCGUGGGAGAUCAGGCACAAGACGUAUCUGUUAGCCUGGGCGCCUCGCUGGGGGGCGGGAGCGGCUGCGCAUGGGGGCAGUCAGCGACAACUCCCUGGCGAUUGGUGGUGGUCAUGUGUUCAAUGUUGGAUCUACAUCGAGGGGACCUUUGGCGGUGCGAGCUGUAGGCUGUCGGCCCCUACAGUGGUCACAGGCUGGUGGGGGUAUGACACAAUAGGGGUGGUCGACUUCCCCCAUCUAUUGUUUGGCUGGAGGCGGCGGCUGGUGGUGACCUUUGGCUGGUGUUCAAGCUCGGUGCGAGCGUGGCGUCAUUGUGGCUUGGUGGUGACAGGGGUGACCCGGGGAGGGUGGCGGGGGUGCCUCCUAGCUCAUUCGAUGCCGAGAUCUGGAGGAGCCAGAUGGGUCAUAUUGGCGGCCCGGGGCCCAGGUGGCGGUGGGGCAGCUGCGGCCUGGCCAGUGGUUGCGGGCCUUCAGGGAGUCCUGGACUAAGGGGUCCUCGGACAGCCCAACUAUAUACUUGGGCCGGAUUGUUGGGCUAUGAAGAUCCAAGAUAGAAGACUUCUUCCCAUCUCCGGAUGGGACUCUCCUUUGCGUGGAUGGCAAGCUUGGUGAUUCGGAUAUGUAGAUUCCUUUUUCUAUAACCGACUUUGUGUAACCCUAGCCCCCUCCGGUGUCUAUAUAAACUGGAGGGUUUAGUCCGUAGGAUAACAAUCAUAAUCUCAUAGGCUAGACUUCUAGGGUUUAGCCAUUACGAUCUCAUGGUAGAUCAACUCUUGUGAUACUCUUAUUCAUCAAGAUCAAUCAAGCAGGAAAUAGGGUAUUACCUCCAUAGAGAGGGCCCGAACCUGGGUAAACAUUGUGUCCCCCGCCUCUUGUUACCAUUAGCCUUAGACGCACAGUUCGGGAGCCCCUACCCGAGAUCCGCUGGUUUUGACACCGAUGGUCCUUCCCCUUCCUUGAUCAGGCCGCUGGAUCUAUGCCCGGCCAUGGGCCAUGGCCUAGUUUUGGUGUAGGAAGGUGAGACCUUCUACCCUUCACCAUUCGUGAUUGUCUCCUGUGUUGGUGGCGUUGGUGGGGUGGAAGCGGAUGCCGGGUGGCAUCCUUGGUGGUGGAAGCCAUGUUGCUCUUGGACGGGGCACAUGGCCGUGCGGGCGGCAUGGUCGUCACUGCUUGGCGGAUGAGGGUGGUUUAGGAGGUGGAGAACAUGCUGGGGAGUAACUCCUACCUAGUUUGUACAGGCCAACGGCAGCGGCGUUCGUGGACAUGUUCAUCUUCAUGAAGGCGCUGUUGCGGCUCUCUCCUUUUUCCGAUUGCUCCAGGUGAAAACCUCGAUCCUUUUGGAACCGGUGGUGUGGGUGCUCCGUGUUGGGAAACGUUGCAUGGAAAUUUAUACGCACAUGCAAGAUCUAUCCAUGGACUUGCAUAGCAACAUGAGGGGAGAGUGUGUCUACGUACCCUCGUAGACCAUAAGUGGAAGCUUUUGUUAACGCGGUCCUUGGGGGCUACAUAGUUGUAGUAUUUCUUAUCAAUGUGUCGGUUCAUCUUAAAGAGACAAAACGGCCCUUGGGGGCUACACUGGAGUUGAUAUGAAGAAAAAGGAAGAAAAAAUUAAGAAAUGUUUGAACAUGAAUUACCUCAUAGCGCUCCUUCAUCAAGUUGACUAAACUGGCCUCAUAAUCACGACUUGUAUACAAGCGGUUUAGAUAUCCAGAGUGGAGUUCCUGAGCAUUGAGAUGAGCACAGCUGGAUAAAUCUGUUUUCCAUUUGCCUUUGUCCACAACAGAGAAUUCUUCCUUGGCACUGUGCUUUGACUAAGCGACAUGAUUGCCAGGAGCAGUGUGACCAAAACCGGUGAUCACAACAUCAUUUGUGGUGUCAUCAACAGUCUUUGGUGGGCUUGAUGGUUUAUCAGAUGGUCUGGCCGGGCUUGGUGGAUCAAUAGUUGGGCUUGGCGGAUCAGCAUGAUGACUUGUUGGAUUAACUUCUGGCGGAUCAAUGAUACGUCUCCAAUGAAUCUAUAAUUUUUGAUUGUUCCAUGCUAUUAUAUUACCUGUUUUGAAUGAUUAUGGGCUUUAUUAUACACUUUUAUAUUACAUUUGGGACUAAGGUACUAACUAGAGGCCCAACUCAUAUUGUUGUUUUAUUGCCUGUUUUAGUAUUUCGAAGAAAAGGAAUAUCAAAUGGAGUCCAAACAGAAUGAAACCUUCGGCAGCGUGAUUUUUGGGAAGAAUAUCACCCAGGAGACUUGGAGUUCACGUCAGAAGAGCCUCGAGGAGGCCACGAGAUAGGAGGGUGCGCGCCCCACCCCCUACUGGGCACGCCCCCUGUCUCGUGGACCCCUCAAGCACCCCCCGACCGACUUCUUUCGCCUAUAUAAGCCUACAUACCCUAAAACCAUUGAAUAUAAAGAUAGAUCGGGAGUUCCGCCGCCGCAAGCCUCUGUAGCCACCAAAAACCUCUCGGGAGCCCGUUCCGGCACCCUGCCGGAUUCACCGGUGGCCAUCUUCAUCAUCCCGGCGCUCUCCAUGACGAGGAGGGAGUAGUUCACCCUCGGGGCUGAGGGUAUGUACCAGUAGCUAUGUGUUUGAUCUCUCUCUCUCUCUCUCGUGUUCUCUCUCGUGUUCCCUCUAUGGCACGAUCUUGAUGUAUCUCGAGCUUUGCUAUUGUAGUUGGAUCUUAUGAUGUUUCUCCCCCUCUACUCUCUUGUGGUGAAAUGAGUUUCCCUUUGAAGUUAUCUUAUCAGAUUGAGUCUUUUAUGAGAACACUUGAUGUAUGUCUUGCUAUGCUUAUCUGUGGUGACAAUGGGAUAUCAUGUGCCACUUGAUGUAUGUUUUGGUGACCAACUUGCAGGUUCUGUCCAUGAACCUAUGCAUAUGGGUUGGCACACGUUCUUGACUCUCCGGUAGAAAUUUUGGGGCACUCUUUGAAGUACUUUGUGUUGGUUGGAUGAAUCUGAGAUUGUGUGAUGCAUAUCAUAUAAUCAUGCCCACGGAUACUUGAGGUGACAAUGGAGUAUCUAGGUGACAUUAGGGUUUUGGUUGAUUUGUGUCUUAAGGUGUUAUUCUAGUACGAACUCUUGAAUAGAUCAAUUCAAAAGAAUAACUUUGAGGUGGUUUUGUACCCUACCAUAAUCUCUUCGUUUGUUCUCCGCUAUUAGUGGCUUUGGAGUGACUCUUUGUUGCAUGUUGAGGGAUUUUUAUAUGAUCUAUCUAUGUUAUUAUUGUUGAGAGAACUUGCACUAGGGAAAGUAUGAACCCUAGGCCUUGUUUCCUAUCAUUGCAAUACCGUUUACGCUCACUUUUAUCGCUCGCUACCUUGCUGUUUUUAUAAUUUCAGAUUACAAAUACCUUUAUCUACCAUCUAUUUUCCACUUCUAUCACCAUCUCUUCGCCGAACUAGUGCACCUAUACAAUUUACCAUUGUAUUGGGUGUGUUGGGGACAGAAGAGACUCUUUGUUAUCUGGUUGCAGGGUUGUUUGAGAGAGACCAUCUUCAUCCUACGCCUCCCACGGAUUGAUAAACCUUAGGUCAUCCACUUGAGGGAAAUUUGCUACUGUCCUACAAACCUGUGCACUUGCAAGCCCAACAACAUCUACAAGAAGAAGGUUGUGUAGUAGACAUCAAGCUCUUUUCUGGCGCCGUUGCCGGGGAGGCUAGGUAAAGGGCACUCACUCACACCCCGUCAACUAAGCUCUUUUCUGGCACCGUUGCCGGGGAGGUGAGUGCUUGAAGGUAUAUCUUUAGAUCUUGUAAUCGAAUCUUUUUGUUUCUUGUUUUAUCACUAGUUUAGUUUAUAAAAGAAAACUACAAAAAAAUGGAUUUGAGUUUGUCUCUUACGCUUCGUCUUUUUAAUAUCUUUCGUGAGUAUGAUGAAAAGGAAAAUUGUGCUCAAGUGCUAGAAGAAGAAAUCUAUAAAAUGCUUGGUACUAAAUCUUUGAAUAAUGAGCAUGAUUGCAAUGUUGUUAGUAUGAACUCCUUGAAUAUCCAUAGUACUAAUGAUGAUUGCUCUAGUCAUGAUGAAAAUGUCUCUUAUAAGCAUGUUGAAUUUUGUGGAGUGCAUGUUUGCAUGAACACACCAACUAGAGAAGAUAUAUAUUUCAAGAAGCAUAAGUAUUUAGAAACUAAGAGGUUGCAAGAAAGGCUAGAUAAGAGUGCGGAGAAUUUAAGAUAUCUUUCCCGUUGUGAAUUUUGCAAUGAACAAGAUCAUUUACAUCUCCAAUGCAAAUUGUUUCAUGAUCGGAUCUUGUCCAAAAAUUGUGAUGAUUUGAUCUCCCUUUCUCAUUACAAUGAACUCAGAUUGCUUUUGGGUUAUGAAGAAUUGAAACGUGCAACUAAGCUUAUUCCAAAAUUUUAUGUUGAGCAUUUCCUUGAUAUUGAUCUAGAAAAGAAUUAUAUGUUUUGUGCGGAGAAUUGCAUUGAAAAUCCUUAUAUUGCCAAUUACCUAAAGAAAAUAAAGCAAAUGGAAGAUGAUGAGAAUACUAAUGAAAGGGAAGAGACUUCCAAAUAUCCUCCUAUUAUUUCUUAUGAUGAAUCAGGUAACGAGGAGGAGCUUUCUAUUCAACCAAUCUCAUCAAUAAGGAGCUCAAAGAGGAAGGUUGAACCUACACAUAAUGUGAAGAAGAAAAAGAAAAGAAGGAGCAACAAAGGUAGAAAGGUAUCCCUCCCCAAUGAUGUUGCUCCUACUACUCAUUGUGAUGAUGAUAAUUGCUUUACUAUUGGUGCUAUCCAUAUUUUUAAUGAUGAGAGUGAUUAUGCUUAUGAUAUGAAAGGGCCCAAGCUUGUGGAAGCUAUGUUUGAUGAGUAUGAAAUAUUUGAGAAUAUAUUUGCUGAAAUUAAUGUUUGUCCCAAGCUUGGGGAUGCUAUGUUUAAUGAAGAUGAUAUUUUUUGUCCCCCAAGUUUUGAUGAGCAAAGUUGUUAUGAUGAUAUCAUGCCUUGUACCUAUGAUGAUUAUAUUGAUGAAAGUGGGUUUGGAAGAGUGUCAACUUUAUAUAGUGAUGAUUCCACUAUCUUGGGAGAGGUUUCAAUCGAUUAUGAUGAGAACAAAGUUGCUACUUAUGAUGAUUAUUGUGAUUAAACUUAUGCUAUAAAAAGUAGUGAUGAUUAUAUUUACAAAACUUGUCAUGAUUAUGAUUACCUUUUUUCUGAACAUUACUCUUUUAAUGUCGAAACAAUUUUUAGUGUUCAAGUCUUUUAUGAUACUCUCACUAUUCCGAAUGAGAAGAAUUUUGCUUAUGUGGAGAGUAAUGAAAUUUCUAUGCAAGUAGAUCAUGAAAAGAAUGCUUUAGGUGCUGGUUAUAUUGUUGAAUUCAUUCAUGAUGCUACUGAAAAUUAUUAUGAGGGAGGAACAUAUGCUUGUAGGAAUUGCAAUAAUAUCAAGUUUCCUCUCUAUGUGCUUAAAGUGUUGAAGUUAUGCUUGUGUUACCUUCCUAUGCUAGUUGAUUAUUGUUCCCAUAAGUUGUUUUGUCACAAAGUACCUAUGCAUAGGAAGUGGUUUAGACUUAAAUGUGCUAGUCAUAUGCUUCAUGAUGCUCCCGUUAUGUUUCAAUUCUUAUCUUUUAUGUGAGCAUCAUUGCCAUCAUCAUGCCUAGCUAAAAAGGCAUUAAAGAAAAGUGCUUGUUGGGAGACAACCCAAUAUUUACCCUUACUGUUUUUGUGUGUUCACAUGCUUAUGCUACUGUAGUAAUCAUGUUUUAUAGCUUUUGUUUCAAUAAAGUGCCAAGUAGGACCUUUGGGAAGACCUGGGUGAAGUUUAUGUGAUCUUGCUGUGAAAAACAGAAACUUUAGCGCUCACGAGAAUAGCUGCCAUGUUUUACUGGAGAGUGAUUUUAGGUUGAUUCUUUUUGAAUAUGAUUAAUAGACAAAUCCCUCAGGUCCAGCAAUUUAUUUCAGAAUUUUUGGUGUUCCAGAGUUAUACGUUUGAUACAGAUUACUACAGAACUGUUCUGUUUUUGACAGAUUCUGUUUUCAUUGUGUUGUUUGCUUAUUUUGAUGAAUCUAUGGGUUGUAUCGGAGCGUAUGUGUCACAGCCCCAGAUCAUCCCUUGUUUGUUUUUGCUUUAGCAUCCAUGCAACAUGUUUAAAUUUUAUGAAAUUUGAAAUGGGGAUGACCAAGCCCUAGCACCAAAGCAUUGCAAAUAGGUUCAACUUCAAAAUAUUUUCAAAGAACCCAAAUUGGUUUGCAAAAAUGUUCAUGAUUACUGGAAAAGGGUGAAAACCAUAUCCAGAGAUGAUGGAUAUUUUUCCAAGCCAUUUUUGGAUUUUUGAAUAAACCAUAUUGUAUUUGAAAUUGGGGCAUUUAAAUACUGUUAAUAUUUUUAAAUGCUCCAACAAUUCUGAAAAUAGUUGAGGGCCUCUGUAAUAAUUCAGUUAAUGUCCACAAUUAUUCUCAGGAUUUAUAAAAAAUGAUUUAGUGUCUAAAACUAAAUCAAAACAAACUACAGAAAAUAGAAAUAGAAAAGAGGAAAUAAAAGAAAGGGAGAGAAGGCCACCUGGGCCACCUACCUGGCGCCCACUUACCUGGCCCAGCUCCCCCAACGGCCCAGCCCACCGCCACCCCCCCCCUCCCCUGUCGUCUUCCUCCCUGCCAGGAGGACGGACACCGCGACGCCGCCGCGCGCGCCACCUCCACCCUGCUCGGCCACCUCCUGCUUCCCCUGGCCACCUCCUGCUUCCUCCCCGGCCUCCCUAGCGACGCCCCGGACGACGCCACGCAGCCCCGACCGCUCUCUCACUCUCUCCCGAACUCUUCCCCCUCUUCUGCUCCCUCUCCCUCUCGAGCCCGAGCGCAGCCGCAGCCGCGCCACCGUAACACCGUGUCCACCGUCUCCCCCUCGACCCCUCGCUGUGCCUGCGAGCUCCGUCUCGACGUCCCCGACCUCCUCGACAAGCCACGACGCCACGGACGCGCUGCAACGCCGCCAUCACCACCAUCUUCAUCGCCACGGCCGGCGAUCGUCUCCGUUCGAUUCGCAGCACCAAAGACGCCCCCGAGCUCGCUGACCACCUCAUCGUUCUCCCUGUGAGCUCCUGCUGCCUCCUCUUUGCUCGCUUCCCCUGUUUCCGUCCCCUAGCUCCAUCUUCCACCACGGCCGAAGCUCGCCGCCGCCGUGCCUCGUCGCCGUCGUGGCCAGAGCCACUGUGGCUCGAAGCUGGGCACACCACCUUGCUCCACACCUCACCAGGAGCACGUAGCACGCACCAACGCCUCCCCUAGCGCCCUGCAUCGCCUAACCCGCCGUUGGCCGAACUCCGGCGCCGCCACGAGCUCGUUUCCGGCGAGCUCUGGCCACCACAGCCGCUGCCGCUCGCCCAGUUGGAUGCGGCGCAUCUUCAGCUAACCGUAGGAGCAAACCACACGUCGAAUGGUGCUCCGUAGCGAGCAUACGUUGCAUCUCCGUCGUUGGCCAUGUUCGUCGCCGGCGAAACUCCGGCGGGAGCUGACGUGGCUCCGUCAUUAGGAGCUAACCCAACUAACUAAUCAACCUACAGUCACUGAUAGUAGGCCCCACCGCUGGUCAAACCCCAGUCAGCGCUGGGUUUGACCGGGAUUAGUUCCUGAGUCACUGACCAGUGGGCCCCACUGGUCAAGUUUGACCUGGACCUGGCGUGUUGACCCUGCUGACGUCAUGCUUACUCAAUGCUGACGCAAUAAUGUUUUCUGGAUUUAUUUUUAUUCAAAAAAUUCCAGAAAAUGCCUAAAACUUCUAAAAUUCAUAGAAAUUCAACCGUAACUCCAAAUUAAAUAAAUUAUAUAUGAAAAAUUAUCAGAAAAAUUCAAGGAAUCCAUCUGUACCAUUUUCAUACAUGUUAGAACAACUUAUAGAUGCUCUUUAGCACAAAUCAUAUUAAUGGCAUUUAAAUAUCCACAUAUGGAGUUUGAGUUUGAAUCUUGGAUUCAAACCAACUUCAUUUAAUCUGGUUUUAGUUGCAUUAGCACAAAACACAGCAUAUUGCCAUGUCACAUUCAUGCAUCAUAUUGUGCAUUGCAUUGAUUGUGUUUUUCUUCAGUUGCCGGUGAUUGCCCCCUUUUGAUAGACGUGAUAUCGACGAUGUGAUCGAUGACACCGAUGAAGAGCUAUAUUAUCUUCAGAAGUGCCAGGCAAGCAAAACCCCCUUGUUCAUUCCGAUAAAAUCCCACUCUCUCGCUCCUGCUCUCUUUUAAUGCAUUAGGACAACACCGAUUCAUCUGUCACUUGCUGCGGUAGCUGAACCCCUUUAUCCUUUGCAUGACCUGUCAUUGCCACAGUAAAUAGAUGAAACCCACUAGCAUGAGUAGGAGUUGUUUGAGCCUUGUUGUGCCUACUCAUUCAUGCUUGUUUGUCAUACCUGCUACUGCUUAGAGUUGAGUCAGGUCUGAUUCAUCGGGGAUGAAUCAGAGGUGUGUGAACAUGUCCUACUGUGUGUGAGCUAAGUGUGUGAAUACGAUUUGGUAAAGGUAGCGGUGAGAGGCCAUGUAGGAGUACAUGGUGGGUUGUCUCAUUGCAGCCGUCCUCAGGAACUGAGUUCUGUGUUUGUGAUCCAUGAUUCAGCUACUACCAUACAUUGGGCCCUGAAAUAUGACCCCGCUCGACUUCUUAUUCACCCGCGUCCUCUGUCCAGGAGUUGCAAGUAGUUUCUGGUGUUUGUAGUAUGCUGGAGGCCGUGGACAGCGCUGACCGGAGGGGUGGGCUGUGAUGCGGUAGGCACGUGGUCGGGUAUACCGGGCGCCCGUUUGGUGUCACGGAACCCUGUUCACAUCGUUUGGGGCUGUGAGCGAAACUCCGGCCGGAUCUCCUCAUGGAUGGAACCCGAAUAGGCGAUAAACCUGGACUAGAGACUUGAGUGUUUAGGUAGGUCAUGGUCUACACCCACGUCGGCUUUCGCUUGAAGUCUGCCGAGCACAUGUCGUGUGCAGACGCUAAGUGGUGGAAACAUGUAUGAAGAAGUACACCCCUGCAGGGUUAAUAUCAUCUAUUCGAAUAGCCGUGUCCGCGGUAAAGGACUUCUGGGUUGCUUAUAUCAGUUCAUAGACAAGUGAAAGUGGAUACUCUAAAAUACGCAAGAUAAGCGUGAGUGCUAUGGAUGGCGUUCUCGUAGGGAGACGGGAGCGGAUCCAUAGUGGUGUAUUGAUAUGGUGAAUAUGUGGACUCGAGUGCGCCACCUCAAAGAGUUACUUGCAGUCGUAGUUUAGGAUAGCCACCGAGUCAAAGCUGGCUUGCUGCAGUUAAACCCCACCACCCCCUUUGUUGAUAAUGAUGCAUAUGUAGUUAGUUCUGAUGUAAGUCUUGUUGGGUACAUUUGUACUCACGUUUGCCUAUUUUAUGUUUUUGCAGAGACACUUCGGUCUCACUAGUAGUUUCGCGUGGACUUCGACGUUUAGCUUGUUACCUCAGCUACGAUCUUGUGCCCUCGGCAGGAUCUGGUAGAUAGUCAGGCUUUCAGCCUUUUUCAUUUAUAGAUGUCUGUACUCAGACAUGAUAGCUUCCGCUUGUGCUUUGACUUGUAUGCUCUGAGUGUUGGGUCAUGAGACCCAUGUUUGUAAUAUCUCGCUCCUCGGAGCCUAUUGAAUAAUUACUUGAGUUGUAGAGUCAUGUUGUGAUGCCAUGUUGUAUCUGCACAUAUCGAGCAUAUUGUGUGUAUGUUGUUGAAAUGCUUGGUAUGUGUGGGAUCUGACUAUCUAGUUGUUUAUCUUUAGUAGCCUCUCUUACCGGGAAAUGUCUCCUAGUGUUUCCACCGAGCCAUGGUAGCUCGCUACUGCUCCGGAACAUUUAGGCUGGCCGGCAUGUGUCCUUCUUCGUUCCUGUGUCUGUCCCUUCGGGGAAAUGUCACGCGAUGAAUACCGGAGUCCUGUUAGCCCGCUAUAGCCCGGUUCACCGGAAUCCUGCUAGCCCAGUGCUACAGCCUGGAUUCAUUCGCUGAUGACCGACACGUUCGAUGCUGGGUCAUGGAUGCCUGUCCCUGUAAGUUUGUGCCACUUUGGGUUUACGACUAGCCAUGUCAGCCCGGGCUCCUUAUCAUAUGGAUGCUAGCGACACUGUCAUAUACGUGUGCCAAAAGGCGCAAACGGUCCCGGGCAAAGGUAAGGAGACACCCGUGGGAAUACCGUGCGUGAGGCCGCAAAGUGAUAUGAGGUGUUACAUGCUAGAUCGAUGUGGCAUUGAGUCGGGGUCCUGACAGUAUGAACCAUAGAUAAGUUGGAAUACAGUAGAUAUUACACCAAUAUGAAUUUAGAAUGAGUUCAUUACAGUACCUAAAUGGUGGUUUUAUUUUCUUAUACUAACGGAGCUUAUGAGUUUUGUUUUGAGUUUUGUGUGGUUGAAGUUUUCAAGUUUUGGGUAAAGAUUCGAUGGACUAUGGAAUAAGGAGUGGAAAGAGCCUAAGCUUGGGGAUGCACAAGGCUCCCCAAGGUAAUCUUCAAGGACAACCAAGAGCCUAAGCUUGGGGAUGCCCCGGAAGGCUUCCCCUCUUUCAUCUUCGUUCAUCGGUAACUUUACUUGGAGCUAUAUUUUUAUUCACCAUACGAUAUGUGUUUUGCUUGGAGCGUCAUUUUAUUUUGUUAGUAUUUGCUUGAUGUUAGUUAGAAUAAUGUUUUGCAUCUUUAGUUUCAAUAAAAAUGUCAAGGAUAGCCUUUGCCAUGCUUAUUUUUCUAGUAUACAUGUUGCUGUUUGAAAAUAGAAAGUUUACUGCUGUUGCAAAAAUCCCCUAGAAAAGUCAGAGAAUGGUAUAAUGUUGAAUCUUUUUUUCAUAUUGAGCUCUGAUAAAUUUACAGUGGGAAUUUUCUCUCAUAAUUUUUGGAGUUAGGUAAGUAUUGAUACUCUUACAUUCUUUACAGACUAUACUGUUUUGGCAGAUUGUUGUUAUGUUUGCAUUAUUUGCAUAUGUUUGCUUGUUUAAUGAUUCUAUUUGAGGAUAGGAGUAUUAAAUAUGCAGAGGCAUUUAGUAUGCAAUGUUGAAUAAUAAUUUAAGUGAUUUGUUACAGUAUAAAAUUAUAAGGUUUUGCAUUGGUUUAUACUAACCUAUCUCACGAGUUCUUGUUCAGUUUGUUGUGAAUGAAGCUUUUGAUAAAAAGAAACCAUGAUAUGAGAGGAAUUAAGGAGACACAAAAGCUCAAGCUUGGGGAUGCCCAAGGUACCCCAAGAUAAUAUUUCAAGAAGUCUCAAGCAUCUAAACUUGGGGAUGCCCCGGUAGGCAUCCCACCUUUCUUCUUCAACAACUAUCGGUUAGUUUUGGUUGAGCCUAAGUUUUUUGCUUCUUCACAUGAGUUGUGCUAUCCUUGCAAUGUCAUUUUAUUUUGUUUUGCCUGCUGUUUGAUUACAAUACCAAGAUCUGAAAUUCUUUAUUGAGAGAGAGUCUUCGCAUAGUUGCAUAAUUAUUUAGCUACUCAUUGAUCUUCACUUAUAUCUUGUUGGAGUAGUUUGUCGUUUGCUCUCAUGCUUCACUUAUAUUAUUUUGAGAGUCUUAAACGGCAUGGUUAUUUGAAUGAAAACUAUCAUAGGAAGUGAAUUGGAUGCUAUUAUCAAUUUCAUACUUGAUAAUUGUUUUGAUAUAUGGAGGUAGUGAUAUUAAAGUCAUGCUAGUUGGGUGAUUAUGAAUUUAAAGAAUGCUUGUGUUGAAGUUAGAAAGUCCCGUAGCAUGCACGUAUGGUUAAAGUUGUGUAACAAAUUUGAAACAUGCCGUGUACCUGGCUUCUGCAUCCUUAUGAGUGGCGGUCGGGGACGAGCGAUGGUCUUUUCCUACCAAUCUACCCCCCUAGGAGCAUGCGCGUAGUGCUUGAUUUUUGAUGAAUUCUAAGUUUUUGCAAUAAGUAUAUGAGUUCUUUUGACUAAUGUUGAGUCCAUGGAUUAUACGCACUUUUACCUUUCGACCAUUGCUAGCCUCUUCGGUACCGUGCAUUGCCCUUUCUCACCUUGAGAGUUGGUGAAAACUUCGCCGGUGCAUCCAAACCCCGUGAUAUGAUACUCUAUCACACAUAAACCUCCUUAUAUCUUCCUCAAAACAGCUACCAUACCUACCUAUUAUGGCAUUUCCAUAGCCAUUCCGAGAAAUAUUGCCAUGCAACUUUCCACCGUUCCGCUUAUUAUCAUUAUGACACGCAUUACUUUUGUCAUAUUGCCAUUGCAUGAUCAUGUAGUUGACAUUGUAUUUGUGGCAAAGCCACCAUGCAUUAUUUUUCAUACAUGUCACUCUUGAUUCAUUGCACCAUCCCGGUACACCGCCGGAGGCAUUCAUAUAGAGUCAUAUCUUGUUCUAGUUUCGAGUUGUAAUUCAUAUGUUGUAAUCAAUAGAAGUGUGAUUUUCAUUAUUAGAGCAUUGCCCAAAGAAAAAAAAGAAAAAAAAAGAAAGGCCAAAAGAAAAAAAAGAAAGGCCCAAAAAAAGAAGAAAAAGAAAAAAAAGAAAAAAAAGAAAAAAAAGAAAAAUAAUAAUAAAAGGGGCAAUGCUACUAUAUCCUUUUCCACACUUGUGCUUCAAAGUAGCACCUUGUUCUUCAUGUAGUGAGUCUCAUAUAUUGUGCUUCAAAGUAGCACCAUGUUUUCCAUAUAGUGAGUCUCAUAGGUUGUAUUUUUCAUACUAGUGGGAAUUUUUCAUUAUAGAACUUGGCUUGUGUAUUCCUAUAAUGGGCUUCCUCAAAUGCCCUAGGUCUUCGUGAGCAAGCAAGUUGGAUGCACACCCACUAGUUUUCUUUUGUUGAGCAUUCAUUUGUAGCUCUAGUGCAUCCGUUGCAUGGCAAUCCCUACUCCUCAUGUUGACAUCAAUUGAUGGGCAUCUCCAUAGCCCGUUGAUUAUCCUCGUCAAUGUGAGACUUUCUCCCUUUUUGUCUUCUCCACACAAUCCCCAUCAUCAUAUUCUAUUCCACCCAUAGUGCUAUAUCCAUGGCUCAUGCUCAUGUAUUGCCUGAAGGUUGAAAAAGUUUGAGAUUAUUUAAGUAUGAAACAAUUGCUUGGCUUGUCAUCGGGGGUAUAGAAGUUGGGAACAUCUUUGUGCGACAAAAAUAAAGCAUAGCCUAACUAUAUGAUUUUGUAGGGAUGAACUUUCUUUUGACAUGUUAUUUUGAGAAGACAUGAUUGCUUUGAUUAGUAUGCUUGAAGUGUUACUAUUUCUUUUGUCAAUAUGAACUUUUAUUUUGAAUCAUUUGGAUCUGAACAUUCAUGCCACAAUAAAGAGAAAUUACAUUGAGAAUCAUGCUAGGUAGCAUUCCACAUCAAAAAUUCUGUUUUUAUCAUUUACCAACUCGAGGACGAGUGGGAAUUAAGAUUGGGGAUGCUUGAUACGUCUCCAACGUAUCUAUAAUUUUUGAUUGUUCCAUGCUAUUAUAUUACCUGUUUGGAAUGAUUAUGGGCUUUAUUAUACACUUUUAUAUUACUUUUGGGACUAACCUACUAACCGGAGGCCCAGCCCAUAUUGAUGUUUUAUUGCAUGUUUCAGUAUUUCGAAGAAAAGGAAUAUCAAACGGAGUCCAAACGGAAUGAAACCUUCGGCAGCAUGAUUUUUGGGAAGAAUAUCACCCAGGAGACUUGGAGUUCACGUCAGAAGAGCCUCGAGGAGGCCACAAGAUAGGAGGGCACCCCCCCUACUGGGCGCACCCCCUGUCUCGUNNNNNNNNNNNNNNNNNNNNNNNNNNNNNNNNNNNNNNNNNNNNNNNNNNNNNNNNNNNNNNNNNNNNNNNNNNNNNNNNNNNNNNNNNNNNNNNNNNNNNNNNNNNNNNNNNNNNNNNNNNNNNNNNNNNNNNNNNNNNNNNNNNNNNNNNNNNNNNNNNNNNNNNNNNNNNNNNNNNNNNNNNNNNNNNNNNNNNNNNNNNNNNNNNNNNNNNNNNNNNNNNNNNCCGACUUCUUUCGCCUAUAUAAGCCUACGUACCCUAAAACCAUUGAAUAUAAAGAUAGAUCGGGAGUUCCGCCGCCGCAAGCCUCUGUAGCCACCAAAAACCUCUCGGGAGCCCGUUCCGGCACCCUACCGGAGGGGGGAUCCUUCACCGGUGGCCAUCUUCAUCAUCCCGACGCUCUCCAUGACAAGGAGGGAGUAUUUCACCCUCGGGGCUGAGGGUAUGUACCAGUAGCUAUGUGUUUGAUCUCUCUCUCUCUCUCGUGUUCUCUCUCGUGUUCCCUCUAUGGCACGAUCUUCAUGUAUCCCGAGCUUUGCUAUUGUAGUUGGAUCUUAUGAUGUUUCUCCCCCUCUACUCUCUUAUGAUGAACUGAGUUUCCCCUUUGAAGUUAUCUUAUCGGAUUGAGUCUUUUAUGAGAACACUUGAUGUAUGUCUUGCCGUGCUUAUCUGUGGUGACAAUGGGGUAUCAUGUGCCACUUGAUGUAUGUUUUGGUGACCAACUUGCGGGUUCCGCCCACGAACCUAUGCAUAGGGGUUGGCACACAUUCUUGACUCUCUGGUAGAAAUUUUGGGGCACUCUUUGAAGUACUUUGUGUUGGUUGGAUGAAUCUGAGAUUCUGUGAUGCAUAUCGUAUAAUCAUGCCCACGAAUACUUGAGGUGACAAUGGAGUAUCUAGGUGACAUUAGGGCUUUGGUCGAUUUGUGUCUUAAAGUGUUAUUCUAGUACGAACCCUUGAAUAGAUCGAUCCGAAAGAAUAACUUUGAGGUGGUUUCGUACCCAACCAUAAUCUCUUUGUUUGUUCUCCGCUAUUAUUGGCUUUGGAGUGACUCUUUGUUGCAUGUUGAGGGCUUUUUAUAUGAUAUAUCUAUGUUAUUAUUGUUGAGAGAACUUGUACUAGUGAAAGUAUGAACCCUAGGCCUUGUUUCCUAUCAUUGCAAUACCGUUUACGCUCACUUUUAUCGCUCGCUACCUUGCUGUUUUUAUAGUUUCAGAUUACAAAUACCUUUAUCUACCAUCUAUUUUGCACUUGUAUCACCAUCUCUUCACCGAACUAGUGCACCUAUACAAUUUACCAUUGUAUUGGGUGUGUUGGGGACACAAGAUACUCUUUGUUAUUUGGUUGCAGGGUUAUUUAAGAGAGACCAUCUUCAUCCUAUGCCUCCCACGGAUUGAUAAACCUUAGGUCAUCCACUUGAGGGAAAUUUGCUACUGUCCUACAAACCUGUGCACUUGCAGGUCCAACAACGUCUACAAGAAGAAGGUUGUGUAGUAGACAUCAAUCAACGAAAGUAUCCUGACCCUAUGGAACCGGAUCAUCCAGAGCAAUGUCAGCAUCUUGAUCGACAGCUUCUGAGGUUCUCUCCGGUUCAGUAGCCGGAUUAUCGUCAGUUGGUGUAGCCAGCUUUGCUUUGUUGCUAAGUCUAGCUUUGGCACUGAAAAGAACAAGGUACAGAUAUUAGUACAGUAAAAACCGGAGCAAGGUAUAAAAAUAAAGUCUACUAUGCUUACCCAGGUCUUGAGCGGAGGCAUCUGUGUGGUUGAGGAAUCGCCGGAGGAUGAAUUGGAAGUUCCCUGAUAAUUUGAAUCAGACGGAUUAAGAGGGUAUCGCAAGGAACCUGCGUUGGGAUAAGAUGUAUUAGAAGUACAAGAGAGCUCUAGAAGACGUUUUCGAACCGGGGUGUCCGGUAAACCGGAGGAGGUAACUUGUUGGCCACUAUGCCGGGUUGUGCGACGAGCUUCAUGUUGCUAUGUCGUUAUGUUCUCCGCUUAAUGUUUCCUUGUACUAACAAUGCAGCUGAGUACUAGGCCUUUCUCCACGGUCUUCGAGUGGCUAAGGAAAUGAUCUUAAGCUGGGUACGAUGCUUUGGGGACUCUAAUCUGGUGGCUCAGCAAGUUUCAGGUACUUGGGAUUCUAAGGAUCCACUCAUGGCAGCUUACCGACAAGAGGUGGAUAUUGUCGCUGGUCACUUCAAGGAUUAUCAGGUUGAGCACAUUGAUCGGCGCAAAAAUGAAGCGACAGAUGCUUUAAGCCGGCUGGGAUCUCAACGUAAACCGGUGCCGCCCAAUACCUUCCUGGAUUUCUUGCAUAAACCGUCAGUUAAGUUGCCCCACAGAGGAGGACCUAGCUGUUCCUGAUCCGGAGGCACAGUUGGUGGCCGCUCUACAUAUUAUUCCGGAUUGGACGGUUCCAUAUUUGGCAUAUAUGAACCAGGGCGAGUUACCAGAAGAUGAAGUUUUGGCCAGGCAGAUAAUCCGGUGAUCCAAGUCCAUGGUUAUUCACAAUGGCGAGUUACACCACUUCAAUGUCUCGGGUGUGUUCCAGCGCUGUGUUUCCCCUGAAGAAGGCCGUGAGAUUCUGUGUGAGAUCCACGAAGGAGACUGUGGUCACCACGCCGGUUCAAAAUCCUUGGUUGCUAAAGCUUUUCGUCAUGGCUUCUAUUGGCUGACGGCUCAUGCUGAUGCUGAGGACUUGGUGAGGCGGUGCGACGGUUGUCAGAAUUCCUCACGCCGAGCUCAUGUUCCGGCUCAGGAGCUAAGGAUGAUUCCAAUCACUUGGUUGUUUGCUACUUGGGGGCUUGAUAUGGUAGGACCUUUUAAGCGGUCCAAAGAUAAGGAGACCCACCUGUUGGUGGCGAUUGACAACUUCACUAAAUGGGUGGAGGUGGAGCCAGUAAGCAAGUGUGAUGCAGUCACGGCGGUUCAGUUCAUUAAGAAGGUGAUCUUCCGUUUUGGUUUUCCACACAGCAUCAUCACAGAUAAUGGCACAAACCUUUCCAAAAGUGAGAUGGAGGAUUUCUGUCAAAGAGAGCACAUCCGGCUUGAUGUGUCAUUAGUGGCCCACCCCCAGUCUAAUGGUCAAGCUGAGAGAAAUAAUCAGGAAAUCUUGAAGGGUAUCAAGCCCCGGCUUAUGGUUCCUUUGAAGAGGACGCCGGGUUGUUGGGUGGAGGAAUUACCUUUUGUGUUAUGGAGCAUAAACACCACCCCCAAUAGAUCUAUGGGUUAUACACCUUUCUUCAUGGUUUAUGGGGUAGAGGCGGUACUCCCAAGUGAUAUUCAUCACGACUCGCCCCGGGUUGCCAAUUAUGUUGAAGCGGAUAACGAGCAAGCGCAUCAAGAAGCACUGGACCUCUUAGAUGAAAAAUGGGACAUGGCAUUGGCUCAUUCGGCGGUUUAUCAGCAAGACCUGCGGCGUUAUCAUAGCCGCCGGAUUAAAACAAGAACCUUUCAAGAAGGCGACUUAGUGUUCCGGCUCAUCCAGGAUCAGACCGAUAUGCACAAGUUAUCCCCGCCUUGGGGAGGGCCCUUUGUGGUCAACAAGAAUCUGCACAACGAAUCAUACUACCUCAUCGAUGUUUGAGAGCACAAAGACUCAUGCAAAUCGGAGGAGGAGACCAGUCGGCCGUGGAACAUCGCUCAUCUUUGGCCUUACCUGAGCCAUAGGCUCCUCUUAUGUACAUAUUUUGACAAUGUAUAUAUUAUGAUCAAUAUAAUAAACCGGCAGGGCCUCUGCCGUUCUUCCAAUAUUUCUUGGUUACAAGGGGGCUUCUGCUUAUAAAGCGACGUCCUAUUUGUCCAUUAAACCGGCUUUCAUGCCACAACAAAGCUUGGGAGCUUCACACCCAAGGGGCCAAAGAGAGUCUUGUUGCUAAGCAUAGCUCAAACAUAGGCACCCAUUGAGCACAGCUCACAAAGUUACUUGGGGGCUCUUUGUGCAAAGCAAGAAAUAGUUUGAAAGGACCCUUGUAAUAGGCUAUCGAGCCAAGCUUGGAAGCCAGGUGUAUUCACCUAAAACCCCGGGUUAACCUGCCUUCAACAAGUAAGCCACUCCGUCCAGGUAAUCCUGGUAUGACCCACUGAACGUUUGACAAGUCAAUCUUAUACAAACCCUGAACUUGUCAAAGUUAAAACGAUGAUUGGUUAAUUGGAGGCCCAUCUUAAAAGGUUUUGCCAAAUGGUUUAACUCAGUGGCCUGGCAGCCCAUGAAAAGCCUCAAAUUUGGGCCUGGCAGCCCUUGUAAAGCCUCGACUACAUGUUUUUUAUUUGAUUUUGUUUUUGCAAGUUUUCUCUCCUUUGAUAAGGUUUUGAGAUAAAUGGGCGUCUAUUGACCUGGCCUGACUAUAAGUUAUUACAUCAACCCGGUGUUUCUUAACCCGACAUCAUUUUCAACUAUCAGUUGUUAAUCACAUAAUCAAUUAUGAACCGGUGUUUUUAACCCGGUCUGGCAUUGACUAUAAGUCGCCAGGAUGAUCAUCCGGUGUUUAUCAUAACCCAGCAUGGCUUAUUACACACCAGCACAGCAUGAUGGGAGUUAUCAAUGCUCAAGAUUUGGGUCAUCACCCUUACUACAAAAGUUGGUAAAUCAACAAUGUGAUUCAGUACCACAGGUAUGAUGUAUUUCAUAUUUCAUUGUUUUACAACCUUGGUUAUCAAACUCUGGCUCUAUAUUGGGUAUCAUAACCCGUCCGACGGUAAACCGCCAAGGCAAUUUUAAGUUUCUCAAAUGCAGAAAACAGGAUUGCAUGAAAUUACUAAGGCACAUAAGCAAGCAUAGCAACAAUCAUAACGGAUUAAACAGUGUCAUGCAGUAGUGCAUGAUGGUAGCAGAUCAAAGUAUUUCAACUAGCCUGUUACAAGGCUGAAAGCACAAGUGCUCCCUGGGUGAUUUUGGUAAUUAAUGUCAACAUAUCUCUUGUUGGACUAACACUUUUCCCUAGUAUGUUUCAGAUAAGUUCAACAAUGAAGUGGCGUGGACUAGAGGAUGUGGAACCCCUUCAAGAUGCUAAGGACAAAGGAUUGGCUCAAGCUCAAAGCACAAGACUCUACAUUUUCUAUUUUAGUGAUCCAAGAUCACAUUGAGUCUAUAGGAAAAGCCAAUACUAUCAAGAGGGGAUGAGGUGUUUCUUAAUGGCUUGCUUGCUCAAAGUGCUUAGUGAUAUGCUCCAAAACCCUCAACUACCUUCUCACAUCCACAUAUGACCUAAACCAAAAGUCCAACUCGGCCUCACCGAUUCUUCCUAUCUGGCGCCACCGAGUUCAUAUGUCAUAGCCACUGCCACAAACCCUAGGCAAAUCGGUCUCACCGAUAGGGAUCUCGGUCUCACCGAGAUGGGUUUGUAAUCUCUCUGUGUAUGUCCAUUACGAAAAUCGGUCUCACCGAGUUUGUGUAACCGGUCCUACCGAGAUUGCAAUGUAAACUCUUUGGUUCCUUUUCUUAACAUUUUGGUGUCACCGAGAUGAGAGAAUCGGUCCCACCGAGUUUGCCUGACCAACUCUCUGGUUAGCUUAUUACCAAAAUCAAUCCCACCGAUUUUGUGUAAUCGGUCUCACCGAGAUUACAUUAUGCCCUAACCCUAACCAUAUCGGUCCUACCAAGUUGCAUGUCGGUCCCACCGAAAAUCCUAACGGUCACUAGAUUUGCUAAAUCGGUCCGACCAAGUUUCUCAAUUCGGUCCCAUCGAGAUUGGCAAGUUGUGUGUAACGGUUAGAUUUUGUGUGGAGGCUAUAUAUACCCCUCCACCUCCUCUUCAAUCGUGGAGAGAGCCAUCAGAACGAACCUACACUUCCAACUUACAUUUUAUGAGAGAAAACCACGUACACUUGUGUUGAGGCCAAGAUAUUCCAUUCCUACCAUAUGAAUCUUGAUCUCUAGCCUUCCCCAAGUUGCUUUCCACUCAAAUCUUCUUUCCACCAAAUCCAAAUCCUGUGAGAGAGAGUUGAGUGUUGGGGAGACUAUCAUUUGAAGCACAAGAGCAAGGAGUUCAUCAUCAACACACCAUUUGUUACUUCUUGGAGAGUGGUGUCUCCUAGAUUGGCUAGGUGUCACUUGGGAGCCUCCGACAAGAUUGUGGAGUUGGACCAAGGAGUUUGUAAGGGCAAGGAGAUCACCUACUUCGUGAAGAUCUACCGCUAGUGAGGCAAGUACUUCGUGGGCGACAGCCAUCGUGGGAUAGACAAGGUUGCUUCUUCAUGGACCCUUCUUGGGUGGAGCCCUUCAUGGACUCGCGCAGCCGUUACCGUUCAUGGGUUGAAGUCUCCAUCAACGUGGAUGUACGAUAGCACCACCUAUCAGAACCACGACAAAAACAUUCGUGUCUCCAAUUGCGUUUGAAUUCUCCAAUCCCAUCCCUUUACAUGCUUGCAAGCUGCAUGCUAUACUUUCGUUGCUCAUAUACUCUUUGCAUGCUUGCUUGUUAUCUAUUGUGAUUGUUGAACUUGUGCCAAAACUCCACUUAAACUCAAAGAAAUUAAGAACUGCUACUUUUAGCACCUAGUGUCUAAUCACCCCCCCUCUAGACACCUCUUCUUGAUCCUUUCAAUUGGUAUCAGAGCAUUGGUCACCAUUGCUUUGGUUUAAUCACCAUUGGAGGAAUAUGGAUGAGUCUACUUUGGGGAGUCUUAGACAUAGAGUACCUAUACAUGACGGAGAGUAUUUUCAUGAGUGAAAAAAUGAGAUGCUUGUGAUUUUCAAUCAAUAUCAUUUGAACAAGUACAUUGCUAGCCCUUGUGCACCUCAUGUUGAUCCUAUUCAUUCUACCGUUGAUGAGUCAAUUGACAUGAUUAGAAAUCUUAGAACUGUUAAUCUUAUCACUAGAGGCUUGCCUAGAAACUUGAUUGGAAACUUGCCUACUCUUGAGUGUGCCUACACUAUAUGGAAAUUUCUUGAGGAACGAUUUCCGAAUUAUUCCUUGAAGAAUCUAGAUGAAAUUCUCCAUAAGUCUAUUGCCUUGAGUAAGAUGAAUUCCAAUGAUCCUAUGUUUGGUGAUUGUCUAUUCGAACUUACAAAUCUUAUGUGUGCCAAAGGAAAUGUUGGAAUCAUUAGCGAUAUUAUUUCCGAAGCUAUUAAAAUUCAUAAAGAAGAUCAUUGUCAAACUCACUCUAACGAAUCACCCUCUCUAGGAUUUGAUCCACAACAUGACGAUGUUGAACAUGGACACUAUGACGAGGAUGAUGAUAGUGACUUUGAUCUUGAUGAUGCAAUGAGACACUUUGGUCUUAUGGCAAAUCUUCGGGGAUAUAUGGUAGGAGGAAAGGAAUGGGUUCUUGAUAGUGGGUGUACCGAUCACAUGACCGGAGAUAAAGAUAUGUUUCGUGAGCUCGCUGAACACGAUGGUCCUCGAAAGUAUGUCACUUUCGGUGACAACUCAAAGGGUAAGGUGGUUGGCCUCGGUAAGGUGGCCAUCUCACAUGAUAGCUCUAUACAAAAUGUCAUGCUUGUUGAAUCCCUUGGCUACAACUUACUUUUAGUAUCUAGACUUGCUGAUUUUGGUUUCAAUGUCCUAUUUACUGAAGUAGAUUGCCAAGUGUUUCGUAGAGAUAAUCAUAAAAUGGUCUUUACCGGUAUACGUAGAGGUGAUCUUUACAUUGUUGAUUUCACUAAAUAGGCUCAACCUAGAACUUGCUUUAUUGCUAAAUCUUAUAAAGGUUGGUUAUGGCAUAGACGAUUAGGUCAUGUUGUCAUGCGAAACCUUGACAAGCUUAUUAAAGGAAAUCAUAUCCUUGGCGUUAACGAUGUCAUAUUUGAUAAGGAUAAACUUUGCAGCGCUUGUCAAGUAGGUAAACAGGUUGGAGGAAGGCAUCCCAUGAAGAACAUCAUGACCACAAGGAGGCCACUCGAGCUACUUCACAUGGAUCUUUUUGGUCCAAACGCCUACAAAAGUCUCGGUGGAAAUUAUUUUGGUCUAGUUAUAGUUGAUGAUUUUUCAAGAUUUACGUGGGUGUUCUUUCUAGAUGCUAAAUCGCAGGUCCAAAAGAUCUUAAAAAACUUCUCUAGGAAGGCCCAAAAUCAAUUUGAAGUGAAGAUCAAGAAGGUUCGCAGCGACAACGGAACGGAGUUUAAGAACGCAAAUGUGGACACCUUUCUUGAUGAAGAAGGGAUUUCACAUGAGUUCUCGGCUACGUACACAUCUCAACAAAAUGGAGUUGUUGAGAGGAAGAACUGGACGCUCAUCGAAAUGGCGAGAACGAUGCUUGAUGAGUACAAGACACCGAAGCACUUUUGGGCAGAAGCGGUUGAGACAGCUUGUCAUGCAACAAAUCGCGUGUACCUUCACAAGCUACUCGGCAAGACGGUAUACGAGCUCCUCACCGGUAAAAAACCACAAGUUGGAUACUUUCGAGUAUUCGGCUCAAAUUGCUACAUUCUUGAUAAGCAUCGUCAUUCUAAAUUUGCUCCUAAGUCUCAUGAAGGUUUCCUACUUGGUUAUGGCUCAAACUCUCACACUUACUGUGUCUACAAUAAUUUCACCUGAAAGGUUGGAGAUAUGGUAGAUGUGAAGUUUGAUGAAUCUAACGGCUCGCAAGUAGAGCAAUUGCCAAUUGAUGUAGGAGACAAAGACCCCUCAAAAGCAAUCCAAGACUUGUCUAUUGGCAAGAUUCGUCCAACGGAGGUGAAGGAGAGUACCUCGUCCGUCCAAGUGGAAGCUUCUACCUCACGACAAGGUGAACCAAGAGUUGAUACGGAAGCAUCCACAAGUGGGACACACCAAGAUGAAGAAAACAAGGAAGUACACCAAGAACGUCAACAACCUCCUUCUCCACUACGACAAGAGAACGACAACACCAACAAUGAAGAAGGCCAAGAAGAAGAACAAGAUGCAGAAGAUGUUCAACCAAGAACCAAGCAAAAGCUUUCACGAAUUCGAGCAAGAAUUGAUAAAGACCAUCCUGUCGAGCAAAUCUACAAUGAUAUCCAAACCGGGAGAAUCACUCGCUCAAAAAUUCGUUUAGCUAACUUUUGUGAACACUAUUCAUUCAUCUCUAGCAUUGAACCUAUGAAUGUUGAAGAAGCAAUGGAAGAUCCGGAUUGGAUAAACGCUAUGCAUGAAGAGCUACACAACUUUGAGAGAAAUCAAGUUUGGACAUUAGUUGAGAAGCUCGAUAACAACCACAACAUCAUCGGUACCAAAUGGGUGUUUCGCAACAAGCAAGAUAAAGAUGGACAAGUAGUUCGCAACAAAGCACGUCUCGUCGCCCAAGGCUACACACAAGUCGAAGAUAUGGACUAUGAUGAGACAUAUGUGAUAUGUCUCCGUCGUAUCUAUAAUUUUUGAUUGUUUCAUGCCAAUAUUCUUCAACUUUCAUAUACUUUUGGCAACUUUUCAUACUAUUUUUGGUACUAACAUAUUGAUCCAGUACCCAAUGCCAGUUCCUGUCUAUUGCAUGUUUUAUGUUUCGCAGAAAACCAAUAUCAAACGGAAUCCAAAUGGGAUAAAAACGGAUGGAGAAUUAUUUUGGAAUACUUGGGAUUUUCCGGAGGAAGAAUCAAUGCGAAACGGUGUCCGGGGUGGCCACGAGACAGGGGGGCGCGCCCUCCCCCUGGGCACGCCCUGGGCUCUCGUGGGCCACCCGUAAGGCGGUUGACGCUCUACUUUUUCUGCAAGAAAGCUAAUUUUAUGAGAAAAAUCUGGGCGGAAGAUUCACCCCAAUUGGAGUUAGGGAUCUCCAGAUAUAAAGGAAACGGUGAAGGGGCAGAAACAGGGAACACAGAAACAGAGAGAUAGAUCCAAUCUUGGAGGGGCUCUCGCCCCUCCCACGCCAUGGGAGCCAAGGACCAGACGGGAAACCCUUCUCCCAUCUAGGGAGGAGGUCAAGGAAGAAGAAGAAGAAGGGGGGAUCUCUCCCCCUUGCUUCCGGUGGCGCCGGAACGCCAGCGGGGGCCAUCAUCAUCACCGCGAUCUUCACCAACGCCUCUGCCAUCUUCACCAACAUCUCCAUCACUUUCCCCCCUCUAUCUACAACGGUCCACUCUCCCGCAACCCGAUGUACCCUCUAUUUGAACAUGGUGCUUUAUGCUUCAUAUUAUUUUCCAAUAAUGUGUUGCCAUCCUAUGAUGUCUGAGUAGAUUUUUAUUGUCCUAUUGGCGGUUGAUGAAUUGCUAUGAUUGAUUUAAUUUGCUUGUGGUUAUGUUGCUGUCCUAUGGUGCCCAUUAUAUGAGCGCGCGCGUGGAUCACACCAUAGGUUUAGUUGUAUGUUGAUAGGACUAUGUAUUGGAGGGCUAGAGUGAUAGAAGCUUCCACCUAGCAUAGAAAUUGAUGCAUACGGGAUUGAAGGGGGACCAAUAUAUCUUAAUGCUAUGGUUGGGUUUUACCUUAAUGAAUGUUAGUAGUUGCGGAUGCUUGCUAAUAGUUCCAAUCAUAAGUGCAUAGAAUUCCAAGUCAGGGACGACAUGCUAGCAGUGGCCUCUCCCACAUAAAACUUGCUAUCGGUCUAGUAAAGUAGUCAAUGGCUUAGGGACAAUUCCACAACUCCUACCACCACUUUUCCAUACUCGCUAUAUUUACUUUAUUGCAUCUUUAUCUAAACAGCCCCUACUUUUUAUUUACGUGUUCUUUAUUAUCUUGCAAACCUAUCCUUUCACACCUACAAAGUACUUCUAGUUUCAUACUUGUUCUAGGUAAAGCGAACGUCAAGCAUGCGUAGAGUCGUAUCAGUGGCCGAUAGGACUUGAGAGAGUAUUUGUUCUACCUUUAGCUCCUCGUUGGGUUCGACAUUCUUACUUAUCGAAAGAGUCUACAACUAUCCCGUAUACUUGCGGGUUAUCAAGACCUUUUUCUGGCGCCGUUGCCGGGGAGUCAUAGCGUGGGGUGAAUAUUCUCGUGUGUGCUUGUUUUCUUUAUCACUAAGUAAUUUUUAUUUUCCGUUAUUAGUUGUUCUCUAUCUUUAGGUAUGGAUAUGGAACGCAAAAUACCAAAAAAUGAGAGGUACUUGCUACUCAUGUAGAUGGGGUAACUCCUAAAAACCCCGAUGCUCAUUAUGUGAGAGAUAUUAUGUACUACUUUGAUAAUCCUGAGAAAACCCCAUUCAGCUUUAUAAUGGGAGACACGUUGGAUCAACGUGAAUACUUUAGGGAUUAUCGCUCGACACAAAAAGGGAAACUAUUAUGGGAUCAAUUCAUUAUGUUGCGUUGGUAUGCCUGGAAUCUAUGCUUGAGAUAUGAUAUUACUUGUUGCUCUAGGAUGGAGGCUCCACACCUUCUCUUUUCAUGCAAAUUUAAUGAUAAUGAGACCUUAGCUUCUUAUGCUAAAGGUAUAUAUGACUACUAUGAUGUGGAACAAAUAGAAGAAUUUGUUGCUUUUAAGGCUGCUUAUAAAAUUGAAGCUUUGUUUGAAAAGUAUGAAGCUUUUGAUGAUGAUGGUUAUAGGCCUGAAAAUAUUGCUAUGCUUAGAUAUUUCUAUGAAAAUUAUGAAUGAAAUUAGUAUAUUAAUGCAUUUAUGAAGAAAGUCUCAGCUGUCCAAGAAGAGACUAAUAUUUUGCAGGAACCUAUGGAAGAUGAAAUUGAUGAAACUGUGAGCUCAUUGGAUGAAAAAGAUGAUGAGGAGAGCGAAGAACAGAAGGAGGAAGAGCGGAUUAGCUACCCAUGCCCACCUUCUAAUGAGAGUAACUCUUCAACUCAUACAUUGUUUAAUUCCCCUUUGUGCUUACCGAAGGAUGAUUGCUAUGAUCCCUUGAAUUUGUUUGAAAUAUCGCUUUUUGAUGAUUCUUGCUAUGCUUGUGGCCAAGAUGCCAAUAUGAAUUAUGCUUAUAGAGAUGAACUUGCUAUAGUUCCUUAUGUUAAACAUGAAAUUGUUGCUAUUGCACCCACGCAUGAUAGUCCUAUUAUAUUUCUGAAUUCUCCCUACUACACUAUAUCGGAGAAGUUUGUGCUUAUUAAGGAUUAUAUUGAUGGGUUGCCUUUUACCAUUGCACAUGAUGAUUUUGAUGAAUGUAAUAUGCAUGUGCUUGAUUCUCCUACUUGCAAUUAUUAUGAGAGAGGAACUACAUCUCCACCUCUCUCUGUUUCCAACACGAUAGAAUUGCAAGAACCUGCUUAUACUAUGCAUUGGCCUUUACUAUGUGUGCAUGAAUUGUUCUUUUAUGACAUGCCGAUGCAUAGGAAGAGAGUUAGACUUCGUUGUUGCAUGAUUUAUGUUACUUUGUGCUCACUACUAAAUUACAAAUCAUUGUUAAUUAAAAUUGGGUUUGAUAUACCUUGGGAUCCGGGUGGAUUCAUUACUUGAGCACUAAAUGCCUAGCUUAAUGGCUUUAAAGAAAGUGCUGCCAGGGAGACAACCCGGAAGUUUUAGAGAGUCAUUUUAUUCCUGUUGAGUGCUUUUAUGUAGUCCAAAAACAACAAAAAUAAUGAGGGGAACCCAAAACUUUUCAAAAAGGAAAGUGAAAGUGAGAAAGACAAGCAUUGUUGAAGUGGGAGCUAGCCCUGAACUUUGUUCAUGCUCACGGAAACUUUGUGAAUCUUAAUUACAGAAACUUUUCAACAAUAAUAAUUAUCCCCUUGUACAAUUUCACUGUAUUAUAAAAAUAAUGUGCCAGGGUUUGCCUUUAGGAUGUCUACAAUGCUUGUUGGUUUGUACAGUGCAGGACAGAAACUGUGGCUGUAGUCCGCGAUUUUACAUUUUUAACUGGAACGUCAAACAGUUCUGAUUGCUUUUGCACUGUCUUGCUAUACAACGUUUUUAUGUUUCCUACUUUUGGUCGAAUUUUUGGGGUACCAGAAGUAUCGUGGAUGUUCAGAUUGCUACAGACUGUUCUGUUUUUGACAGAUUCUGUUUUUGAUGCAUAGUUUGCUUGUUUUGAUGAAUCUAUCAAUUUGUAUUAGUGGAUUAAGACAUGGAAAAGCUAUAUUACAGUAGACACAAUGCAAAAAAAAUAUGAAUUUGUUUGCAAUAGUACUUAGAGCGGUGAUUUGCUUUAUUAUACUAACGGAUCUUACCGAGUUUUCUGUUGAAGUUUUGUGUGGAUGUAGUGUCUAAUCGAGGAUGUCUCGAUAUGAGGAAAAGGAAGAGAGGCAAGAGCUCAAGCUUGGGGAUGCCCGAGGAACCCCAAGUAAAUAUUCAAGGAGACUCAAGCGUCUAAGCUUGGGGAUGCCCCGGAAGGCAUCCCCUCUUCUUCAACAAGUAUGGGUAUGUUUUCGAAUUCGUUUCGUUCAUGCAUUAUGUGCAAGUCUUGGAGCGCCUUUUGCAUUUAGUUUUCAUUUUUCUUUUAUGCACCAUGCUGGUAUGAGAUAGUCUUUGGUUGAUUUAUAGAAUGCUCAUUGCACUUCACUUAAAUCUUUUGAGUAUGGCUUUAUAGAAUGCUUCAUGUGCUUCACUUAUAUCAUUUGAAGUUUGGAUUGUCUGUUUCUCUUCAUAUAGACAACCACCAUUUGUAGAAUGCUCUUUUACUUCACUUAUAUUUGUUAAAAUGUGGGCAUAUCUUUUGUAGAAAGAAUUAAACUCUCUUUCUUCACUUAUAUCCUUUUAGAGAGAUGACAGGAAUUGGUCAUUCACAUGGUUAGUCAUAAAAUCCUACAUAAACUUGUAGAUCGCUGAAUAUGAUAUGUUUGAUUCCUUGCAAUGUUUUGCGAUAUAAAGGUGGUGAUAUUAGAGUCGUGCUAGUUGAGUAAUUGUGAAAUUGAGAAAUACUUGUGUUGAGGUUUGCAAGUCCCGUAGCAUGCACGUAUGGUGAACCGUUAUGUAACGAAGUUGGAGCAUGAGGUGCUCUUUGAUUGCUUUCCUUAUGAGUGGCAGUCGGCGACGAGCGAUGGUAUUUUCCUACCAAUCUAUCCCCCUAGGGGCAUGCGUAGUAGUACUUUGCUUCGAGGGCUAAGUAGACUUUUGCAAUAAGUAUAUGAGUUCUUUAUGACUAAUGUGAGUCCAUGGAUAUACGCACACUCACCUUUCCACUUUUGCUAGCCUCUAUUGUGUCGUGCAACUUUCGCCGGUAUCAUGAACCCAUUAUUUAUCUUCCUCAAAACAGCCACCAUACCUACCUAUCAUGGCAUUUCCAUAGCCAUUCCGAGAUACAUUGCCAUGCAACUUCCAUCAUCAUCAUAUACAUGACUUGAGCAUUCCUUGUCAUAUUGCUUUGCAUGAUCAUAGUAAGAUAUCUAGCAUGAUGUUUUCAUGGCUUGUCCGUUUUGAUGUCAUUGCUAUGCUGAUCAUUGCACAUCCCGGUACACCGCCGGAAGCAUUCAUAUAAGAGUCAUAUAUUUGUUCGAGAGUUGUAAUAUUGAGUUGUAAGUAAAUAAAAGUUUGAUGAUCAUUAUUAGAGCAUUGCCCCAAUGAGGAAAGGAUGAAGGAGACUAUGAUUCCCCCACAAGUCGGGAUGAGACUCCGGACUUUAUGAAAAAUAAAAGAGGCCAAAGAAGCCAAAUUAAAAAAAGGCCAAAGAAUCCCACCAAAAAGAAAGAAAGAAAAUAAAAAAAAUGAAAAAUAAAUGAAAAAUAAAAAGAAAAAAAAGAGAGAAAAAGAGAGAAGGGGCAAUGUUACUAUCCUUUUACCACACUUGUGCUUCAGAGUAGCACCAUGUUCUUCAUAGAGAGAGCCUCCUAUGCUUUCACUUUCAUAUACUAGUGGGAAUUUUCAUUAUAGAACUUGGCUUGUAUAUUCCGAUGAUGGGCUUCCUCAAACGCCCAAGGUCUUCAUGAGCAAGCAAGUUGGAUGCACACCCACUUAGUUUCCAGUUUAAGCUUUCAUACACUUAUAGCUCUUAGUGCAUCCGUUGCAUGGCGAUCCCUACUCACUCACAUUGAUAUCUAUUGAUGGGCAUCUCCAUAGCCCGUUGAUACGCCUAGUUGAUGUGACACUAUCUUCUCCCUCUUUUUGUUCUCACAACCACCACCAUAUACCACCAUAGUGCUAUGUCCAUGGCUUGCGCUCAUGUAUUGCGUAAGAGUUGAAAAAGCUGAAGCGCAUUAAAAAGUAUGAACCAAUUGCUCGGCUCGUCAUCGGGGUUGUGCAUGAUGGGAAUAUUUUUUGUGACGAAGAUGGAGCAUAGCCAGACUAUAUGAUUUUGUAGGGAUGAGCUUUCUUUGGCUAUGUUAUUUUGAUAAGACAUAAUUGCUUGGUUGGUAUGCUUGAAGUAUUAUUGUUUUUAUGUCAAAUGAUAGACUAUUGCUUUGAAUCACUCGUAUCUUAAUAUUCAUGCCAUGAUUAGACAUAUGAUCAAGAUUAUGCUAGGUAGCAUUCCACAUCAAAAAUUAUCUUUUUUAUCAUUUACCUACUCGAGGACAAGCAGGAAUUAAGCUUGGGGAUGCUGAUACAUCUACAUCGUAUCUAUAAUUUUUUAUUGUUCCAUGCCAAUAUUCUUCAACUUUCAUAUACUUUUGGCAACUUUUUAUACUAUUUUUGGGACUAACAUAUUGAUCCAGUGCCCAGUGCCAGUUCCUGUCUGUUGCAUGUUUUAUGUUUCGCAGAAAACCAAUAUCAAACGGAAUCCAAACAGGAUAAAAAUGGUCGGAGAAUUAUUUUGGAAUAUUUGGGAUUUUCCGGAGGAAGAAUCAACGCGAAACGAUGUCCGGGGUGCCCACGAGACAGGGGGCGCGCCCUCCUUCCCCCCUGGACGCGCCCUGGGCUCUCGUGGGCCACCCGUAAGGCGGUUGACUCUCUACUUUUUCCGCAAGAAAGCUAAUUUUAUGAGAAAAAUCUGGGCGAAAGAUUCACCCCAAUCGGAGUUACGGAUCUCCAGAUAUAAAGGAAACGGUGAAGGGGCAGAAACAGGGAACGCAGAAACAGAGAGAUAGAUCCAAUCUCGGAGGGGCUCUCGCCCCUCCCACGCCAUGGGAGCCAAGGACCAGAGGGGAAACCCUUCUCCCAUCUAGGGAGGAGGUCAAGGAAGAAGAAGAAGAAGGGGGGCUCUCUCCCCCUUGCUUCUGGUAGCGUCGGAACGCCGCCGGGGGCCAUCAUCAUCACCGCAAUCUUCACCAACACCUCCGCCAUCUUCACCAACAUCUCCAUCACCAUCCCCCCUCUAUCUACAGUGUUCUACUCUCCCGCAACCCGCUGUACCCUCUACUUGAACAUGGUGCUUUAUGCUUCAUAUUAUUUUCCAAUGAUGUGUUGCCAUCCUAUGAUGUCUGAGUAGAUUUUCGUUGCCCUAUUGGCGGUUGAUGAAUUGCUAUGAUUGAUUUAAUUUGCUUGUGGUUAUGUUGCUAUCCUAUGGUACCCAUUAUAUUAGCAUGCGCGUGGAUCACACCAUAGGGUUAGUUGUAUGUUGAUAGGACUAUGUAUUGGAGGGCUAGACUGACAGAAGCUUCCACCUAGCAUAGAAACUGAUGCAUACGGGAUUGAAGGGGGACCAAUAUAUCUUAAUGAUAUGGUUGGGUUUUACCUUAAUGAACAUUAGUAGUGGCGGAUGCUUGCUAAUAGUUCCAAUCAUAAGUGCAUAGAAUUCCAAGUCAGGAAUGACAUGCUAGCAGUGGCCUCUCCCACAUAGAACUUGCUAUCGGUCUAGUAAAGUAGUCAAUUGCUUAGGGACAAUUCCACAACUCCUACCACCACUUUUCCAUGCUCGCUAUAUUUACUUUAUUGAAUCUUUAUCUAAACAGCCCCUACUUUUUAUUUACGUGUUCUUUAUUAUCUUGCAAACCUAUCCUUUCACACCUACAAAGUACUUCUAGUUUCAUACUUGUUCUAGGUAAAGCAAACGUCAAGCAUGCGUAGAGUCGUAUCAGUGGCCGAUAGGACUUGAGAGAGUAUUUGUUCUACCUUUAGCUCCUCGUUGGGUUCGACACUCUUACUUAUCGAAAGAGGCUACAACUAUCCCGUAUACUUGCGGGUUAUCAAUAUGCUCUUGUUGCUAGACUUGAAGCCAUUCGCAUCUUACUUGCCUAUGCUAAUCACCAUGAUAUCACCUUAUACCAAAUGGACAUUAAAAGUGCCUUUUUAAAUGGUGAAAUAGAGGAGGAAGUCUAUGUUAAGCAACCUCCCGGCUUUGUCAAUCCUAAGAAACCUAUUCAUGUUUAUAAUCUUCACAAAGCUCUUUAUGGACUUAAACAAGCUCCUAGAGCAUGGUAUAAAUGUUUGACCAAGUUCCUUAUUGAAAAAGGCUUUGAAAUUGGAAAAAUAGAUUCUACUCUUUUUAGUAAAAGGGUUAAUGGAGAACUAUUUGUAUGCCAAAUUUAUGUCGAUGAUAUUAUAUUUGGAUCAACUAACCCUCAUUUUAGUAAGAAGUUUGGAAAGCUAAUGUCGAAGAAGUUUGAGAUGUCUAUGAUGAGUGAACUCAAAUUCUUUCUUGGUCUGCAAAUCAAGCAAACUAAGGAAGGUACCUUUGUCUCUCAAACGAAGUACACCAAGGAAUUAUACAAGAAGUUCAAUAUGCAAGAAUGCAAAGGUAUGACUACACCCAUGCCUACUAAUGGGCACCUUGAUUUGACCAAAGAUGGUGAACCGGUUGAUCAAAAGGUUUAUCGCUCUAUGAUUGGAUCAUUGUUAUACCUAUGUUCUUCACGUCCCGAUAUUAUGCUAAGUGUGUGCAUGUGUGCUCGAUAUCAAGCUGCUCCUAAAGAAUGUCAUCUUAAGGCCGUGAAAAGGAUAGUGAGAUACGUAAUCCAUACACCAAACUUUGGCAUUUGGUAUCGAAAGAGGGCCUCUUUCGAUCUUGUUGGCUACUCCGACUCGGACUAUGCCGGUGACAAGGUUGACAGAAAGUCCACUACGGGUACUUGUCAAUUUCUUGGUAGAUCUCUUGUAUCUUGGUCUUCCAAGAAACAAAACUUGGUAUCCUUAUCCACUGCCGAAACGGAAUACAUCGCCGCUGGUUCAUGUUGUGCUCAAUUACUUUGGCUGACCCAAACUCUUAAAGAUUAUGGGAUAUAUGUGAAACAUGUUCCAUUACUUUGUGACAAUGAAAGUGAUAUCAAGAUUGCUCACAACCCCAUGCAACAUUCUCAAACUAAGCAUAUUGAAGUUCGUCAUCAUUUCAUUCGAGAUCAUGUUGCCAAAGGGGACAUUAAUCUUAAGCAUGUUCGCACCGAAAAACAAUUAGCGGAUAUUUUCACUAAACCACUUGAUGAGAAAGUGUUUUGCAUGUUAAGAGGUGAAUUGAACAUCAUUGAUGCUUCAAACUUGGAGUAGAACUCCAUUUGAUACAUGCAAGGCAUGAGCCCAUGACUAAUCCUUGAUAUUUCUCUUAUGAUGACUAUCUUAUGUCUUGGAUAUAUUUGCACCUUGCAUGUUAUCUAACCCUUGUAGGAGCUUGGAUGAAUCUAAAUCUAUGAGAUUGCAACUCACUCACAUUUUGAGCAAUCUCUACAUCACCUAGUCUCUACAUAAUGGUGGUUGAAGACAAGGAAGCACGAAACCAUUCACACAUAUCCUUUGAUAAAAUUAUUGUUGAGAUUCCUAAUUGUCAUUUUGGAUACACAAGUGCCCUUCCUUGCAAAACUAACCCAUGUAGGUAGAUGAACUCAAAUUCCAAGUGGUAGUCCCAACUCUUGAUGAGCUACAUCAACCUUUAGCAACCCACAUAAGUACAACUACAUGAUCACGAUCAACACCACCACCCAAGGUAUGUUAUUCCAUCUUAGGGAAGCUUUACUCCGAGACAUGAGUCAAAGCACCUCAAUAAGAUGAGAAUACAUCAAAUGCUUAAACGAAAAAUGGUAACCCCGUUUUGAGCUUAAACGAUGAGUAUGACCUAUGAUCAAGUGAUCUCACUUGACUCCUAAGUCAAUAUACUCUAACAUAGGUGCCUUUGUCGCCGACCAAUUCUAGAAUAAGUUUUCUUAUGUUCUUUUCUCUCCUCUUGCAUUUGUCUCAUGCAUAUUUGUUUCCCCUUUCAAAAAAAACUUCAUCUAGAUUUCUUUUAAGUUUCUUCUCUUUUAUUUUCUAUUCUGCAUUCCCUGCAUCCAAUUCAUUGAAAAUCCUUCAGUUAAUUCCUUGCAAAUCCUUGUGAGAUCUUACUUGUCUAGUGAGCUGAGGUGACAAGUGUUUUCUCUGUGAUGAACUCGGUCCCACCGGUCUCCUAUUUUCGGUCCAACCGAAUCCUUUUGGUACAACCGAAGCAUAAUACUCGGUGCCACCGAUUUCACUACAGGAAAGACAUUUUGCCACUUGUUCCCGCAUCACUUUUGAUCCAGCUCCACUCAAUGAAUCUUGUCCUCAACCAGCAUCACAUUUAACUUGUUGCUUUGUGCUGUGACUCAAGGACCAAACCCAUUCACGACAACUUCCAGAAGACCAUUCUUGGAAAUUGAUGUCAAAGGGGGAGAGAGAGAUCACAUCAAAGCUUAAUCAUAUCUCUAGGGGGAGAGAAUACUCAAGGAGAGAGUAAUCUUCAAGGAUCCCAGAUGCUCCGUGUUCAAGAGGAGAGAUGUUACAUGUCUUCUAGAGGGGGAAGACAUGUUCAUAUGUGCUUAUUUGCAUUAGCUCUAUUCAUUUGUUUCUUUGAGCUCUGAUUUUCUGUUCCCUAUCUUCUCCCAGUAUCCCAUGCUAGAUUCAGGGGGAGCAAGACAUCUAAGGGAAAGAAAUUCUUUGAAUUCUUUGCACAUCUUUACCUUUGGGGACAUGUCUAUAUCCAAUGUGGUACUCAGUACUCACUCUCUACAUGUCAUACCAGUCUUGGUACUCUUGUGGUUUCUUAUGUUUGCUCUGGCUAGUAGGUGCAUCUGUGUUAUCUAACCUUAUUUUCACAGGUUCAUUCCAUCCUAAGCCAACUCAAGACCACAAGGUAAGUAUAUGCAUCACAGUCAUGUGUAUGAGGAUCUCUUGCUAAUGUACAUGCUGUUUGCAAGAAGGACUCAUGAGCAUGAAGGUACAUUUCCCACAUUCACAUCUUUUGCUCUAAUGCAUAUAGCCAAGAUACAUGUAACACAUUGCCUACUCUGUCAUGGUUAUGCACUCACAUGCUUCUAUACUCCAUAUUCACUUGACCGCAUACAUGUAGGGGGAGCCUAUGCAUGUUACAUGUCUGUCCAAAGCUUUACUUGCUAUUCUCUAUAUCUUUAUCUAAAGCGUUGAUGUAUGUUGUCAUCAAUUACCAAAAAGGGGGAGAUUGAAAGCACAAGUGCUCCCUGGGUGAUUUUGGUAAUUAAUGUCAACAUAUCUCUUGUUGGACUAACACUUUUACCUAGUAUGUUUCAGAUAAGUUCAACAAUGAAGUGGCAUGGGCUAGAGGAUGUGGAACCCCUUCAAGAUGCUAAGGACAAAGGAUUGGCUCAAGCUCAAAGCACAAGACUCUACAUUUUAUAUUUUAGUGAUCCAAGAUCACAUUGAGUCUAUAGGAAAAGCCAAUACUAUCAAGAGGGGAUGAGGUGUUGCUUAAUGGCUUGCUUGCUCAAAGUGCUUAGUGAUAUGCUCCAAAGCCCUCAACUACCUUCUCACAUCCACAUAUGACCUAAACCAAAAGUCCAACUCGGCCUCACCGAUUCUUUCUAUCUGGCGCCACCGAGUUCAUAUGUCAUAGCCACUGCCACAAACCCUAGGCAGAUCAGUCUCACCAAUAGAGAUCUCGGUCUCACCGAGAUGGGAUUGUAAUCUCUCUGUGUAUGUCCAUUACCAAAAUUGGUCUCACCGAGUUUGUGUAACCGGUCCUACCGAGAUUGCAAUGUAAACUCUCUGGUUCCUUUUCUUAACAUUUCGGUGUCACCGAGAUGAGAGAAUCGGUCCCACCGAGUUUGCCAGACCAACUCUCUGGUUAGCUUAUUACCAAAAUCGGUCCCACCGAGUUUGUGUAAUCGGUCUCACCGAGAUUACGUUAUGCCCUAACCCUAACCAUAUCGGUCCUACCAAGUUGCAUGUCGGUCCCACCGAAAAUCCUAAUGGUCACUAGAUUUGUUGAAUCAGUCCAACCGAGUUUCUCAAUUCGGUCCCAUCGAGAUUGGCAAGUUGUGUGUAACGGUUAGAUUUUGUGUGGAUGCUAUAUAUACCCCUCCACCUCCUCUUCAUUCGUGGAGAGAGCCAUCAGAAUGAACCUACACUUCCAACUUACAUUUUCUGAGAGAGAACCACCUACACUUGUGUUGAGGCCAAGAUAUUCCAUUCCUACCAUAUGAAUCUUGAUCUCUUGACUUCCCCAAGUUGAUUUCCACUCAAAUCUUCUUUCCACCAAAUCCAAAUCCUGUGAGAGAGAGUUGAGUGUUGGGGAGACUAUCAUUUCACUACUAGGAAAAGGCCUACUAAUGGCGCACCAGUUUUGCCUACUAAUGGCGCACUACUGGUGCGCAAUUAGUAUCACGCCACUAGUAUUUUUUACUAAUGGAGGACCACUUGUGCGCCAUUAGUAUCUGGUAUACUAAUGGCGCACCACGCAGUGCGCCAUUAGUAUAGUACACCAUGCGCCAUUAGUAUGCCUCCCAGGGGGCCAUAUGUAACCAUGUGCUUUGGCAUACUAAUGGCGCACUCUGUAGUGAUGCACCAUUAGUAUCCUUUGGCAUACUAAUGGCGCACCUUGAGGUGAUGCGCCAUUAGUAUGAAUAUUAGGUUUUAUUUUUUUUUACUUUUCUAAUUUUUGCACAGGUUACAAAAUAUAUUAUUGGACAGAAUAUAGACAGCAGCACACAGCAACAGCAGAUUCAUCGAAUACAAUAGAAGAUUAGUCUCCGAAUACAAUUCAUCAUAUUAGUCUCCAAAUUCGAAAGACCGAACAAAGAUAAAACAUUACAAGUCUCGAGACCACGAGUAUCGAGUUUGUCUUCACAUUACAAGUCGAUAUCGAUCAUCUAAACUACCAUCACAUAGAAGAGAGGUGCGGUCAUCACGAUAAGCAUCAUCGCGAUGAAACUGGUCUUCAUCCGGUUCCUCCAACGCUCCCUCCUCUCUCCCGCUAGAUAGCGGGCGUAUCUAGAUUCCGCCUCCGCCCUAGUGGUGUACCCUUUGUAACUGUUACCGCUGAAACGGUGAACCUGUCUCCGACACUCCUCCCAGUCGUCAUAGACUCCGGGAACCUUACCCUUGUACACGACAUACGACGGCAUCUCUAUGCACAAGCCAAACAACAGACAAUACAUAAGCAAUAUAUAAGUAUGCAACAAAAGGAUCGGAAGAGAAAAGCAAGACAUUAAUAGCACGAUUCAUGGUCCUACUAAUAAAUAGCAUCGAUUACAUCUAAGUUGAACGACUAUCCAAACCAAAGAGACAUAUAAUUCAUUAAAGUUUAAUUACAACAUGAGCCAAUCAUUGUUUCAGAACUACACAUCACUACUUUCGACUCGACUCAUGGGACAGGAGCGUGGAUGAAGCCGCCGUCUGUCGUGAUGGUCAUGAAAUCGCGGGCGUUGUCAACCUGCAUUUGUAGCGUUUCGUCUAUCUCACUGUUGGACGGUUGAUAUCUGAGGAAGAACUGCCCUGAGGUAUAAAGGACAUCUUGAUGGAUGAUGUCCGCAAACUCCGACUGGAUGCGAAAGAAUUCUUGUCUGAUGUCCGCGUCCUAGAUUGCCGACAAGCUCGCGGCCCAAUCUUUGAGAUUAUAUGGUAGCAGAAGGUGAUGAUGGUCCCUUACGAUCGCCCGCAUGUGAUGGAGGGUGUAGUAGGCAUCCUUCUGACCGCCAGGCGGCUGCUUGACGCAGCAGAACGUCGUAUUGUGGGCGAACAUGUUCUUGCCGUACUUACGAACUGCCCUGGUGAAGGUGCCUCCAGAUUUGGCGUAGCUGGGGAGAACAUCAUCAAGAACUUUCCUGAUAUUUGUGUAGUCUAUCUUGCAGUCACGGUUCGGGUCGAAAUACGUGGCCAUGGAAUAUUUCGGGUUAAAGAGGAUGAGUGUGCAAUGUGUGUCACUGCACAGAACACGGAAUGUUAGAAAAAAAAAAGAACAAUCAAAAUCUAAGAAAUCAUAUGUUACAGCGCGGUUAAGGGAUGACUUACUCGAGAAAGUAAGCCACAAGGAAGUUAUCCUUAUCUGCGUUUGCCAGAAUGACGCCUUCGAGGUGUGAACUCGCGACUUGGCGGUCCCUAGCGCUGCUCAAGAGCUUGGCACGCAUGUAGAAGGGGUCGACUAUCACGAUGUCCGGGGUCUUGUAUCUAAUGAUCCGCAUCUCCAUACUCAGCGAAAACAGCCGAAUGAAGGUGUAGUGCAGCGGAUGAAGGUUAAACAUAGCAAAGACGUCAUCAAACCGUAGGACGAUCGUACCCUCGAUGUCUCCAUCCACAAAGCCCUUGCCCUCUGGCACCUUGGCCACAAAAACCGGGUAUGCCACAUCAUUCUCUCUGAGACGCCGCUUCUCCAAAGAAAGAACACUGUCGUGCAGACUCUGCAUAGCACCGGUUGCAGCAUUGAGCAUAUUUGUCGGUAGCUUCGUCCUACCCGCCACGUGCACCCUCCUCGAGAUAUCCUUAGGUGAAGGUGGCCAGUCCUAAGCACGGAUCAUACUCGGUGUCGGCUGGCUCGCACCGGCGCCCUUUUUAGUCUUUCGUUUCCGGCUCUUCUUCUUAAUCUGCUGUAAUGGGACCGAGUUCUGCUCACAGACCGCCUUCUUGAGCGUGUUGGGGCUGAUAAUAUUUCGCAUCUCGGCUAUCUGAGGCUCGGUGAAGGCGGCAGCUGGAGGCAUCUCCUGAGAACUAAACGCCAGACGACGCCUGUUGCAACUGGGUUACUCCGUCGUACCAGCUAGAUCGCGGUCUUCUUGGUGGGGUUCUUGAGAAGGAGGCCCGCAGAACUCGUCACUGUACCCAUGUUCGGCAAAGUACUUAUCGACGUUAGUAAAUGUACUGUCGUCGUCGUCCGGAUCAUGUGCCAUAUGCAUGUCCGGAUCCUGUGCCAUAGGGACGUUCGGCAGGUCCGGUAGCGUUGCGGCGUCCUUGCCAUGGCUUGGCGCCGGCAUGACUGGCGGUCUUGUCUGUGGGGUGGUGUCCCCCGCCCCCAAACAAAUCUGGCUCUUCGGCCAAAGCAGGGGCCAGCUUACGCAGGCGCUGAGGGUCAUCUCAUCUUCUUCGUCGGCCCCAGCGGGUCGAAUCGGAGGUAACAGCUCGUCGCAGCCUGGUAGCACCCGAACCACUUCAACCCUAUACACUAUGGGUGGCAUCGGAUUACCGUGGAACAUGGGGUUACCAGGUUGAACGAUGCUUCCCUUGGCGACAUCGACCAACUCGCCGCCCACGAAGUGCAAGAGAGUGCAAGGAACAUCAGCGGCGUCCUGCGAAAACAUGUAGGGCGUCAGGGAUGCCCAGUCAAAGGCAAGGAGAUGAAGUCAUCGGCCGGGAGGCUUAGUUACCAUGAUGCCGUCGAGCUCGGCUAAUGUCAAGGCACCACUAACGGCGGGCGUGCAACUGACGGAAGGGCCGCUUGCUGGCGGGGUUCCGGCCGCGUACACCUAGGUGCAUUAAGCUCCAAUGCCUGUACCGGCGCCGGAGACACGAAUACCGCCUCCGCCGGAGACACCAAUGGCACCACCGGAGACACCAAUGGCGCCGCCUGUGCGCUGUGCGAGUUGCUGGCCGUGAAGCUGGGAACCGGGGGAGGCCCCUGUUGGCCGCCCGCAAUCCACGUCGUCAGCCCAUGAAUCAACGUAGGCACCAUGGCAUUGAGCUUCAUUCCCAGUUGUUGUUCCACUUGCUCUUGGACAAGCUCUGGAAUCCGCGCCACUUGUUCCUUGAGUGCUUCAACCUCGCGCGACAGGCUUUCUGAGCUGGUCUUUUUCUCCUUUCGCCCACCAGCGGUAUAGUAUGACGACCAUUUUGUGGACAAGCCUUUGCCGGCCACACGACCAGCUGACAUCGGCUUACUGAGCUUAUCCUUGUUUUUCAUUACAUUCAACGCCCUAUUGAAAGGGGUGUCGAAAGGGGAGCUCUGAGUCGACCCCGCGCUACUGCUUUCUUUGUCCUGCGGAAGGAACGUGAACCAUUUAGAAAUAUUGGGGAUUAAUUAGAAUGCAAACAUAUGGACCUAAUUACGCGGGGGUGUAUUCCUUACCAGAACUACCUCAAGCGCCCUGGUCUUCGGAUCUGUGGUAAGCUCCUUUGUUACCGGGUCCUCCUUGUACCGGGCCCUGAGAAAGUUUGGGUUUGCUUGUCACGGUAUUUCUCGAAGCGGGGUGGUAGGCCUUGCUCGGCACGCUCCACGUCCUCCUUGUCCGAUAUAGGCUCUGCCACUCUGUAACCGCCGGGACCGAGUUGGUGGACCCCUAAGUUCAACUGCCGCAUUUCUUUCCCGCAAUGACUUGAUUCGGAGGUUGCGGUGCUCUCGCACUUGAUCUUGAACUCCUUGUAGUCAUCUUCGCUCAUCAAAGGAUAUUUCGCCUUGAUCUUGUCAUAACUAUCACCUUUUUCAAUCAUUGCCUUCACCGUGCUUCUCGAGGUAGACAGGGUCGUGCUCAUCCUCGUGAGGGCGGCACUAUUCACUUUAUUCCCUGAGAGUCGUGUGUUUGCAAACUCAGCGGGGAACUUGUAUCAUUCGUGCAGCUUAGAGAAGAGGAGGCUGUGCAAAUUCCCUCAGUCCUUAUGCCUUAGGUUCUCGGUGUUGAUCGAGACGGUGCUCCGGAGAAUGCACCCGAGCUGAACCGAGUACCCCUUAACUACUUGUUUGGGCGCCGUCGGAUGCCCGUCGGAGUUCACUUCAGUAAAUUCCUCCCUGACGGUGCCGAGCACGCUCGGGCGCCGGUCCUUUCGUUGCCUCUUUGGUUGGCUGCCAUCUGUGCAUGCGCUGCCAUCAUCAGUGGUGGCAUCCUCGGCGGCGCCAUCAGUGGUGUCAUCCCCGACGCCACUAGGGGUUGUGUAGUCAGGAUCUGUGUCUUCCGCGGCGUCCUCAUAGCGGUGAUGUUCUUCCUCCAACUCUUGGGAUAGCUCCCAGAAUUUCUUGCCGCCCGAACCGCCGGCCUCAUCGUUGUGGGCCAUGUUUCGCUAGGAAAAAAGUUUGGUCAAAAAGUUGGUUAUUGUCAAGGAACAAUAUCAUGGUCUCAUCAUUUAGGGUUUGUCGACACCGAGGCAUCCUCAAAGCUAAGCUUUUAUCAUUUAGGGUUUGUCGACGCCGAGGCACCCUAAAAUCCUAAGCGUACAUCAUUUAGGUUCUCAUCGACACCGAGGCAUCUGUGGCAGCCAAGUUAAGUUUUCAUCAUUUAGGGCUUAUCGAUGCCGAGGCACCCUAGGUUGGGCCUAAUCACUUGGCACUAAUCACUUGGCUCUAUUGCCACCUAUGUUGGGUUUAUCAUCUAGGGUUUAUCGAUGCUAAGGAGAAUUCUAAGUUGGGCCUAAUCACUUGGCUCUAUUGCAACCUAUGGUUUAAUGCAGCAAGAAUGGCGGGGCAGUUGAUCCUACUUAACUAAGUACUAAGAUACCCCGGCCCAUGCAUUAGUCACAAGUACCCCAUAUGUCCUAUUUUUAGCAAAGUCAUGCUAAAAUUCAUGGAAAAUUUCAGGAUGACCUUUCCUGAAAAUAGGACAUAUGGAGUACCCGAAUUUGCCGGAACGGAAGUUAAUCGGCAUUCCGUCAAACUCAAGGGCCUCUCGGGGUACCUGCAAAUUCAUCACGACACCAUGGUCGGAGACAAAACCUAGCAAACUAGCAAGAUGAUCAUCAUCUUUGCAAGUAGCUCAAGUUUUUGAUGAUAGCCUCUGAAGAAAACAACAUUGCAACAUUCAAGUUCAAACAUACACACAGAACAUUUGACCAGUUACCUCUGACGAAAAAUAUACGCUGACUAUUGGAUACAAAGAAAACAGCUAUUGUAAACAUUAAGUCAUGGUAGUGUGCGCUGAAACAAUUACAGUAUAGGAACAACAACACAACAGUAGCUCAGUUACUAGAGGACUGUAAAGAAACAAACACAAAAAACGCAGAACAGUCAUUUCCUUGUGUGUGCUAUACAUAUAGAUGAAAAUGGAUUUGUUGCUACAGUAAUUACAGUUCUAAGGAAAUGGAGUUACAGUUUAACAUCAUCAAGUAGUGUUACAUAAUAUAGGUGCAAAUUACAAAGGCUGACAGAGCGAUAGAUCAUAGGAUUAACAAAACUCAGAGACUACCAAAUUUACGCCGACCUAAAAAGCAGAAAUACAAGUCCUCAGUAAGUGUAAGAGAAGUGUACUAGAGCUGUAAACAGACUUAUAAAACCCAACUACUGGACACAGUAAAUCAUGGUCAUUUUAACUGUAAAAAGAGUUCCACAUGACAGUAGAUGAUGGAAAGAUCUCAAAUACUAGUACAAAGAUAAACUUGAAAGAUGACCAACAACAGCCGCGGAGAUACUAUUGUGAAGCAAAAUUUUAGGAAAAGAGGAAAUUCAGAACAUGAGAAACAAAACUCUAUUUUCAUGACAGAACAUGCUCAAGGCUUCAAUUUGAAAUACUACUGGAAGAUAACUAACUAAAAAUAUGUGGUAGUGGAGCAUUACUACUCUAUAUAAAGAUAACGCAAUGUAACAAAAGUGUAACUCUAUCUAUCUACAAUGAGUGGAAAUGGCCAAGCCUAAACAACUUACUACUUAACCAAUUCUUAGGCAGGCCAUACACAACACGGUGGCUCAUAAUGCACCAACCAAUCAGAUAACAAGAGCAGUUUAGCACCACUGAUACAGUGCUCCAGCUACCAAACCAAAUAAGUAAAUCAAUUACCACACUAGCAGAACCAUCUACGACUUACCGUUGCCGAUGCACGAAAUUCGUUUGUAGCUGAGGUUGAGCACGCGAAGCUUCGUCAGUUCCCGAAGCCCCUCGACGUUCGCGAUCUUGUUCCACGACAGAUCCAGCGAGUGCAGGCCCUUCGGCAGCGAUCCGGGGGAGAUAUGAACUACAUGACGAACAAAACAACCCAAAUUUAGUUACUAAAUGUUUGAAGAUGCUACUAGGGUUCGCGAAUGUCUGAUUCAUAGGAUACUGGAUGGUAGAGUUCGCGAGAAAUCUGUCUUUGCUAUAUGUUUGAAUUCUUAAUUCCCACUGGGUUGUUUUAACUGAAUCUACUAUUUUCAUCAGGCUGGAGACUGGCAACAAGAGGCAGCAGUCGCGUGAUGGCGGCGGCGACAAUGCAUGAGCACGUGGGGCCCGGUGUCCGCGCACGAGCGCGUGGGAAAGGCGGUCGCAAGAAGCAGUAGCAGCGGAACGACGGGGCGGCGGCGGCGAGCUCCUGCUCCUAACCCUAGGUCGCCACCCCGUGGGAGAGAGACUAACCAGGCCGUGCAGGGAAGCUCGCGCCACCGUCGAGGAGCGCGUCCGAUGAGGCUAGCCGCCGUCGAGGGGCAGCUCCGACGAGAGAGAUUUGGUGGUGGCCGGAGCGGAGACGACGGAGGGCGGAGACGGCGAGCUUGGGGGAGGCGGGGAUAGACGGCAGGGAGGUCGCAUGCUUCUAGGGUUUCGAGGGAGGCGAGGGAGGCGGCGCUCGGGGGGGAGGCGGCGCUCGAGGGGGAGGAAGGGGAGAGGGANNNNNNNNNNNNNNNNNNNNNNNNNNNNNNNNNNNNNNNNNNNNNNNNNNNNNNNNNNNNNNNNNNNNNNNNNNNNNNNNNNNNNNNNNNNNNNNNNNNNNNNNNNNNNNNNNNNNNNNNNNNNNNNNNNNNNNNNNNNNNNNNNNNNNNNNNNNNNNNNNNNNNNNNNNNNNNNNNNNNNNNNNNNNNNNNNNNNNNNNNNNNNNNNNNNNNNNNNNNNNNNNNNNNNNNNNNNNNNNNNNNNNNNNNNNNNNNNNNNNNNNNNNNNNNNNNNNNNNNNNNNNNNNNNNNNNNNNNNNNNNNNNNNNNNNNNNNNNNNNNNNNNNNNNNNNNNNNNNNNNNNNNNNNNNNNNNNNNNNNNNNNNNNNNNNNNNNNNNNNNNNNNNNNNNNNNNNNNNNNNNNNNNNNNNNNNNNNNNNNNNNNNNNNNNNNNNNNNNNNNNNNNNNNNNNNNNNNNNNNNNNNNNNNNNNNNNNNNNNNNNNNNNNNNNNNNNNNNNNNNNNNNNNNNNNNNNNNNNNNNNNNNNNNNNNNNNNNNNNNNNNNNNNNNNNNNNNNNNNNNNNNNNNNNNNNNNNNNNNNNNNNNNNNNNNNNNNNNNNNNNNNNNUUGUUAUUUACAAAUAUCAUCAAAAAGUAGGGGAGGGAGCGGGGUGUCGGCAGCGGCGGUGGAGCGGGGGAGGGUGCGGGGGGUCGGCGGCGGCGGUGGAGCGGGGGGAGGGUGCGGGGGGUGCUCGGUGGCGAGGGGGAUCUGGCGAGGGGGAUAGCUAUCGAGAGGGAGGGGGAUCGAGAUCGAGUGUCCUCAUGAAUAUUCAAUAUUUUUUCAUAUUGAAUAUGAAAAAAUAUCAUCAAAUUUGAAAAAAUAUUCAUGAAUUCAAAAAGUGCCCAUGAAAUUUAAAAAUAUUCAUGAUAUCAAAAAGUGCCCGAGAAAUGAAGACUACGAUUUAAAUACAAUCGAUCUUAGCUAGCUAUCUGUUCACAAUCUUCUUGCCCUUCUUUUUCGCAAAUGGAGUUCUUCUGUGGAACGGACGUCCUUUAGGUAGGGUGGUCCUGCUUCUUCUUGUCGUGUAUGCUGUUACUUAAUCGUCGUCGUCAUGUUCGAUCUUCGGGUCGCCGUACUUGUCGAAGUCUUGCUCAUUGGCUACUCCAUCCAUUCCGAUGAUCUUCCUUUUGCCUCUCCUCAUGACAACACGACUGGGCUCUGGCGGGUCGGUAAUGAAGAAGCAUUGGUCCACUUGGGAAGCCAGUACCCAUCGCUCAUUUUUCGCGGUGAUGUUUGCGCCCGCGGUCUUGGAUUUGGCUUCGGGUAUAACCAUGGUGGUGAAAUACCGGUCUUCUUUUAGGACGCUCUUGGCCCAUCUGACACGGAACAUCGGGACCUUCUCUCUAGCGUAGCUCAGCUCCCAGAUCUCCUUUAUCCUUCCGUAGUAUAUGUCCUUGUCGUUACCGGUGUAGGAUUCCAUCGUUACCCCGGAGUUCUGAUAACCAUCGCUCUUCAUGUCCUCGUCCUCGGUGUAGAAUGUGUAGCUGUUGAUAUCGUACGCCUCAUAGGUCAUCAGGUUGUGCUCGGCGCCCUGCGACAAGGCGAAUAUGAGUUGUUCUUCCGCGGAAGAAUCCUCAUGUAAAGGGUACGACAAAAGCUUCUGCUUGAACCAACGUGUAAAACAUGACUUGUGCUCUUUGAUUAUAUCUCUGUCCGUCCUCUGUUGGCCUCGGUCAUUGUAUGUCUUCUCAAUAAAGGUUUUGUGCUCUACCACCCAAGGAUCGACCACGUCUAUUUGUUGUAGCGCGACUAGGUUUGCUCUUUCAAAGUAGGCGAGUCGAUCCUUGAAGUCGGCAUGCAUUUCGCGGCGACCCUCACGGUGACCCCAUCCAGCGAGCCUGCCGAGGUGCCUGUUGACGGGCAGACCAAUAGGGUUCUCGAUGCCUAGAUAAUUCGUGCAGUAGGAGAUGCACUCUUCGGUCAGAAAGCCCCUGGCUAUACUUCCCUCUGGACAUGACAUGUUGCGUACGUAUCCUUUGAUGACACAAUUCAUCCUUUCGAAUGGCAUCAUGCUGUGCAGGAACAUCGGCCCGAGUUGGAUGAUAUCCUCCACGAUAUGGACCAGCAGAUGCACCAUAACAUCGAAGAAUGCGGGCGAGAAGUACAUCUCAAGCUCGCAUAGUAUCACCACGAUCUCUUCCUGUAGCCUUCUGAGUUGCCUCACGCCAACCGACUUUCGAGAGAUGACGUCGAAAAAGUUGCAUAGGCCAAAUAGCGUUUCACGAACGUGCGCGUCCAUGAUCCCACGGAUUGCAACUGGAAGUAUCUACGUCAUCAGCACAUGACAGUCAUGAGACUUCAUCCCGCUGAACUUCUGCUUCGCUGGGUCUAGGUAUCUGCUUAUCUUCCCCGCAUAACCGUAAGGAAGUUUUACUCCUACGAGGCAGGUGAAAAACUGCUCGAUCUCCUCCUGACUUAGAGUGAAGCACGCGGGAGGGUAGUCAUUUCCGGUCUUCUUGGCCUUUUUGCCUUUGCGAUAACUUUCUGUGUCCUGCUUCGCCUCAUCAUCAUCAUCAUCAGCAUUAGCGUGAAGCUCCUGCAUGAUGCCCAUUGAUUUCAAGUCUGCCCUUGCUUUCGGGCCAUCUUUGGUCCUCUCUGGCAUGUUGAGCAGGGUACCAAGCAGACUCUCGCACACGUUCUUCGUCAUAUGCAUGACAUCAAGGCUGUGAGGCACACGGUGGAUCUUCCAAUAUGGCAAGUCCCAGAAAAUAGACCUCAUUUUCCAUACCUUCAGAAGCGGCUCUGGCGCCUUUCGCUUCUUUCCCGGCUCUGGUGCCUUUUGCUUCUUUCCCGACAGUGGGCAAUCUUUCCAAUUUUUCAACAGCUUGUCUAUUUCCUCGCCGCUCCUCGUAUGCGGGCGCCUUCAGGGUUCGGUUUCACCAUCGAACAGAUCCUUGCAUUUCCUCCAUGGGUCAUCGUCGCGAAGCCACCUUCGAUGUCCCAUGAACACGGUUUUCGAAGACCCGGGAUCUCUAUUUAGCUGGCGAUACGUUGUGUCAUCCAUGCACCUUACGCAUCCAGAAAAUCCGUGGACCACCUGCCCCGCGAGAUAUCCGUAACUGAGAUAGUGCACCACACAGCCAUGCGCCAAGCUUGGAGAAGGAGGUGGAGGGAAUGAAGUGGGGAAAGUGAGUGUGUAGGUGUGGUUGUCCAAAAUAUCUAGCUGGUCCCAGGUUACUAAUGGCGCACCACACAACCAUGCGCCAUUAGUUACACAAUAUACUAAUGGCGCACCACACAGAUUACAGAUAUCUCGCGGGGCAGGUGGUCCACGGAUUUUCUGGAUGCGUAAGGUGCAUGGAUGACACACUGUAUCGCCAGCUAGAUAGAGAUCCCGAGUCUUCGAAAACCGUGUUCAUGGGACAUCGAAGGUGGCUUCGCGAUGAUGACCCGUGGAGGAAACGCAAGGGUCUGUUCGAUGGUGAAACCGAACCCCGAAGGCGCCCGCGUACGAGGAGGGGCGAGGAAAUAGACGAGCUAUUGAAAAAUUGGAAAGAUUGCCCACUGUCGGGAAAGAAGAAAAAGGCGCCAGAGCCGGGAAAGAAGAAAAAGGCGCCAGAGCCGGGAAAGAAGCGAAAGGCGCCAGAGCCGCUCCUAAAGGUAUGGAAAACAAUGUCUGUUUUCUGGGACUUGCCGUACUAGAAGAUCCACCGAGUGCCUCACAACCUUGAUGCCAUGCAUAUCACGAAGAACCUGUGCGAGAGUCUGCUUGGUACCCUGCUCUACAUGCCAGAGAGGACCAAAGAUGGGCCGAAGGCAAGGGCAGACUUGAAAUCAAUGGGCAUCAGGCAGGAGCUUCACACUAAUGAUGAUGAUGAUGAUAAUGAGGCGAAGCAGGACACAGAAAGUCGUUGCAAAGGCAAAAGGCCAAGCAGACCGGAAAUGGCUACCCUCCCACGUGCUUCACUCUAAGUCAGGAGGAUAUCGAGUAGUUUUUCACCUGCCUCAUAGGAGUAAAACUUCCUUACGGUUACACGGGGAGAUAAGCAGAUACCAAGACCCAGCGAAGCAAAAGUUCAGCGGGAUGAAGUCUCAUGACCGUCACGUGCUGAUGACGCAGAUACUUCCAGUUGCAAUCCGUGGGAUCAUGGACGCACACAUCCGUGAAACGCUAUUUUGCCUACGCAACUUUUUCGACGUCAUCUCUCGGAAGUCGGUUGGCGUGAGGCAACUUAGAAGGCUACAGGAAGAGAUCAUGGUGAUACUAUGCGAGCUUGAGAUGUACUUCCCGCCCGCAUUCUUCGAUGUUAUGGUGCAUCUGCUGGUCCAUAUCGUGGAGGAUAUCAUCCAACUCGGGCCGAUGUUCCUGCACAGCAUGUUGCCGUUCGAAUGGAUGAAUGGUGUGAUCAAAGGAUACGUUCGCAACAUGUCACGUCCAGAGGGAAGUAUAGCCAGGGGCUUUCUGACUGAAGAGUGCAUCUCCUUGGCACGAAUUAUCUAGGCAUCGAGAACCCUGUUGGUCUGCCUGUCAACAGGCACCUCGGCAGGCUCGCUGGAUGGGGUCACCGUGAUGGUCGCCGCGAAAUGCAUGUCGACUUCGAGGGUUGACUCGCCGACUUUGAAAGAGCAAACCUAGUCGCGCUACAACACAUAGACGUGGUCGAUCCUUGGGUGGUAGAGCACAAAACCUUUAUUGAGAAGACGUACAAUGACCAAGGCCAACAGAGGACGGACGGAGAUAUAAUCAAAGAGCACAACUCAUGUUUCACGCGUCGGUUCAAGCAGAAGCUUCUGUCGUACCAUUUACAUGAGGAUUCUUCUGCGGAAGAACAACUCAUAUUCGCCUUGUCACAGGGCGCCGAGCACAACCAGAUGACCUAUGAGGCGUAUGAUAUCAACGGCUACACAUUCUACACCGAGGACCAGGACAUGAAGAGUGAUGGUUAUCAGAACUACGGGGUAACAAUGGAAUCCUACACCGGUAACGACAAGAACAGAUACUACGGAAGGAUCAGGAGAUCUGGGAGCUGAGCUACGCUAGAGAGAAGGUCCCGAUGUUUCGUGUCAGAUGGGCCAAGAGCAUCCUAAAAGAAGACCAGUAUUUCACCACCAUGGUUAUACCCGAAGCCAAAUCCAAGACCGCGGGCGCAAACGUCACCGCAAAAAAUGAGCCAUGGGUACUGGCUUCCCAAGUGGACCAAUGCUUCUUCAUUACCGACCUGCCAAAGCCCAGUCGUGUUGUCGCGAGGAGAUGCAAAAGGAAGAUCAUCGGAAUGGAUGGAGUAGCCAAUGAGCAAGACUUUGACAAUUACGGCAACCCGAAGAUCGAACAGGACGACGACGAUGAAGUAGCAGCAUACACCACAAGAAGAAGCAGGACCACCCUACCUAAAGGACGUCCGUUCCACAGAAGAACUCCAUUUGCGAAAAAGAAGGGCAAGAAGAUUGUGAACAGAUAGCUAGCUAAGAUCGAUUGUAUUUAAAUGAUAGUCUUCAUUUCUCGGGCACUUUUUGAUAUCAUGAAUAUUUUUAAAUUUCAUGGGCACUUUUUGAAUUCAUGAAUAUUUUUUCAAAUUUGAUGAUAUUUUUUCAUAUUCAAUAUGAAAAAAUAUUGAAUAUUCAUGAGGACACUCGAUCUCGACCCCCCUCCCUCUCGAUAGCUAUCCCCCUCGCCAGAUACCCCUUGCCGCCGAGCACCCCUCGCACCCUCCCCCCGCUCCGCCGCCACCACCGACCCCCCGCACCCUCCCCCGCUCCACCGCCGCCGCCGACACCCCGCACCCUCCUCCACUUUUUGAUGAUAUUUUUAAAUAACAAAUUUGAUAUUAUUUUCAAAUAAGAAAUUUGAUGAUAUUUUCAAAUAACAAAUUUGAUGAUAUUUUCAAUUAAAAAAAUUUGAUGAUAUUUUCAAAAAAAAUGAUGAUAUUUGAUGAUAUCUUCUGUUCUAGUCCUCAUGAAAAUAACAAAUUUGAUAAAGAAACAAAUUAUUAGAUGCAACAAGAAAUAAUGAAAAAAAGUUACUAAUGGCGCACCAGAGGAGGGUGUGCCAUUGCUAUCAGAAAAAAAAGUUAGUAAUGGCGCACCAGAGGAGGGUGCGCCAUUGCUAUCAGAAAAAAAAACUACUAAUGGCGCACCAGUGGGUGGUGCACCAUUGCUAUAUUGUCUAGCUGGAUACCCCUUCGCCCGAUCCCCCCUUCACUCUCCCUCGCCAGAUCCCUCUCCCUCGAUCCACUGCGCUGCUCCCUCCCUCGUCCCUUCCUCCAUCGCGCCGCCGCCGCCGCUGCCCCGACCCAAUGCGCCGCAGCCGCCCACGCGCCCCCGCCGCCUCCCUCUCCCCUUCCUCCCCCUUGAGCGCCGCCUCCCCCCCAAGCGCCGCCUCCCUCGCCUCCCUCGAAACCCUAGAAGCCCGCGACCUCCCCGUCGUCUAUCCCCACCUCCCCCAAGCUCGCCGUCUCCGCCCUCCGUCGUCUCCGCUCCGGCCACCACCAAAUCUCUCUCGUCGGAGCUGCCCCUCGAUGGCGUCUAGCCUCGUCAGACUCGCUCCUCGACGGCGGCACGAGCCUCCCCGCGCGGCCUGGUUAGUCUCUCUCCCUCCCUCCCUCUCUCCCCCACUCAUCCCCAUGCCCCCACGGGGCAGCGACCUAGGGUUAGGAGCAAGAGCUCGCCGCCGCCGCCCCGUCGUGCCGCUGCUGCAGCUUCUUGCGGCCGCCUUUCCCGCGCGCUCAUGCAUGGACGCCGGGCCCCACGUGCUCGUGCGUUGCCCCCGCCGCCGUCACGCGGCUGCUGCUUCUUGUUGCGAGUCUCCAUCCUUAUGAAAAUAGUAGAUUCAGUUAAAACAACCCAGUGGGAAUUAAGAAUUCAAACAUAUAGCAAAGGCAGAUUUCUCGCGAACUCUACCAUCCAGUAUCCUAUGAAUCAGACAUUCGCGAACCCUAGUAGCAUCUUCAGACAUUUAGUAACUGAAUUUGGGUUGUUCUGUUCGUCAUGCAGUUCAUAUCUCCCUCGGAUCGCUCCCGAAGGGCCUGCACUCGCUGGAUCUGUCGCGGAACAAGAUCGCCAACGUCGAGGGGCUUCGGGAACUGACGAAGCUUCGCGUGCUCAACCUCAGCUACAACCGAAUUUCAUUCAUCGGCCACGGUAAGUCACAGAUGGUUCUGCUAGUGUGGUAAUUGAUUUACUUGUUUGGUUUGGUAGCUGGAGCACUGUAUCAGUGGUGCUAAAUUGCUCUUGUUAUCUGACUGGUUGGUGCGUUAUGAGCCACCGUGUUGUGUAUGGCCUGCCUAAGAAUUGGUUAAGUAGUAAGUUGUUUAGGCUUGGCCAUUUCCACUCAUUGUAGAUAGAUAGAGUUACACUGUUGUUACAUUGCGUUAUCUUUAUGUAGAGUAGUAAUGCUCCAUUUCCACAUAUUUUUAGUUAGUUAUCUUCCACUAGUAUUUAAAAUUGAAGCCCUGAGCAUGUUCUGUCAUGAAAAUAGAGUUCUAUCUCUCAUGUUCUGAAUUUUCUCUUUUCCUCAAAUUUUGCUUCACAAUAGUAUCUCUGCGGCUGUUGUUGAUCAUCUUUCAAGUUUAUCUUUGUACUAGUAUUUGAGCUCUUUCCAUCAUCUACUGUCAUAUGGAACUCUUUUUACAGUUAAAAUGACCAUGAUUUACUGUGUCCAGUAGUUGGGUUUUAUAAGUCUGUUUACAGCUCUAGUACACUUCUCUUACACUUACUGAGGACUUGUAUUUCUGCUUUUUAGGUCGGCAUAAAUUUGGUAGUCUCUGAGUUAUGUUAAUCCUAUGAUCUGUCGCUCUGUCAGCCUUUGUAAUUUGCACCUAUAUUAUGUAACACUACUUGAUGAUGUUAAACUGUAACUCCCUUUCCUUAGAACUGUAAUUACUGUAGAAACAAAUCCAUUUUCAUCUAUAUGUAUAGUACACACAAGGAAAUGACUGUUCUGUGUUUUUUGUGUUUGUUUUUUACAGUCCUCUAGUAACUGAGCUACUGUUGUGUUGUUGUACCUAUACUGUAAUUGUUUCAGCGCACACUACCAUGACUUAAUGUUUACAAUAGCUGUUUUCUUUGUAUCCAAUAGUCAGCGUAUAUUUUUCUUCAGAGGUAACUGGUCAAAUGUUUAGUGUAUAUGUCUGAACUUGAAUGUUGCAAUGUUAUUUUCUGUAGAGGCUACUGUCAAAAACUUGAGCUACUGUCUUGCAAAGAUGAUGAUCAUCUUGCUAGUUUGCUGGGUUUUGUCCCCGACCAUUGUGUCGUGAUGAAUUUGCAGGUACUCCGAGAGUCCCUUGAGUUUGCCGGAAUGUUGAUUAACUUCCGUUCCGGCAAAUUCGGGUACUCCAUAUGUCCUAUUUUCAGCAAAGGUCAUGCUGAAAUUUUCCGUGAAUUUUAGCAUGACUUUGCUAAAAAUAGGACAUAUGGGGUACUUGCGACUAAUGCAUGGGCUGGGGUAUCUUAGUACUUAGUUAAGUAGGAUCAACUGCCCCGCCAUUCUUGCUGCAUUAAACCAUCGGUGGCAAUAGAGCCAAGUGAUUAGGCCCAACUUAGAAUUCUCCUUAGCAUCAAUAAACCCUAGAUGAUAAACACAACAUAGGUGGCAAUAGAGCCAAGUGAUUAGUGCCAAGUGAUUAGGCCCAACCUAGGGUGCCUCGACAUCGAUGUCGAUGAGAACCUAAAUGAUGUACGCUUAGGCUUUUAGGGUGCCUCGGCGUUGACAAACCCUAAAUGAUAAAAUCUUAGCUUUUAGGAUGCCUCAGUGUCGACAAACCCUAAAUGAUGAGACCAUGAUCUUGUUCCUUGACAAUAACCAACUUUUUGACCAAACUUUUUUCCUAUUUAGAGCGAAACAUGGCCCACAACAAUGAGGCCGGCGGUUCGGGCGGCAAGCAAUUCUGGGAGCUGUCCCAGGAGUUGGAGGAAGAACAUCACCGCUAUGAGGACGCCGCAGAAGACACCGAUCCUGACUACACAACCCCUAGUGGUAGCGGGGAUGACACCACCGAUGGCGCCGACGAGGAUGCCACCACUGAUGAUGGUGGCGCACGCACAUAUGGCAGCCAACCGAAGAGGCAACGGAAGGACUGGUGCCCGAGCGUGCUCGGCACCGUCAGGGAGGAAUUUACUGAAGUGAACUCCGAUGGGCAUCCGACGACGCCCAAACAAGUAGUCAAGGGGUACUCGGUUCAGCUCGAGUGCAUUCUCCGGAGCACCGUCUCGAUCAACACCGAGAACCUAAGGCAUAAGGACCGAGGGAAUUUGCGCAGCCUCCUCUUCACGAAGCUGCACGAACGAUACAAGUUCCCCGCUAAGUUUGCAAACACACGUCUCUCAGGGAAUAAAGUGAACAAUGCCGCCCUCACGAGGAUGAGCACGACCCUGUCUACUUGGAGAAGCAUGGUGAAGGCAAUGAUUGAAAAAGGUGAUAUUUAUGACAAGAUCAAGGCAAAAUAUCCUUUGAUGAGCGAAGAUGACUACAAGGAGUUCGAGAUCAAGUGCGAGAGCAGCGCAACCUCCGAAUCAAGUCAUUGCGGGAAAGAAAUGCGGCAGUUGAACUUAGGGGUCCACCAACUCUGUCCCGGCGGUUACAGAGUGGCGGAGCCUAUAUGGGACAAGGAGGACGUGGAGCGUGCCGAGCAAGGCCUACCGCCCCGCUUCGAGAAAUACCGUGACAAGCAGACUAGGAACUUUCUUAGGGCCCAGUACAAGGAGGACCCGGUAACAAAGGAGCUUACCACGGAUCCGAAGACCAGGGCGCUUGAGCUAGUUCUGGUAAGGAAUACACCCCCGCAUAAUUAGCUCCAUAUGUUUGCACUCUAAUUAAUCCCCAAUAUUUCUAAAUGGUUCACAUUCCUUUCGCAUGACAAAGAAAGCAGUAGCGUGGGGUCGUCUCAGAGCUCCCCUUUCGACACCCCUUUAAAUAGGGCGUUGAAUGUAAUGAAAAACAAGGAUAAGCUCAGUAAGCCGACGUCAGCUGGUCGUGUGGCCGGCAAAGGCUUGUCCACAAAAUGGUCGUCAUACUAUACCGCUGGUGGGCGAAAGGAGAAAAAGACCAGCUCGGAAAGCCAAUCGCGCGAGGUUGAAGCACUCAAGGCACAAGUGGCGCGGAUUUCGGAGCUUGUCCAAGAGCAAGUGGAUCAACAACUGGGAAUGAAACUCAACGCCAUGGUGCCUACGUUGAUUCAUGGGCUGACGACGUGGAUUGCGGGCGGCCAACAGGGGCCUCCCCCGGUUCCCAACUUCACGGCCAACAACUCGCACAGCGUAUAGGCGGUGCCAUUGGUGUCUCUGGCGGAGGCGGUAUACGUGUGUCCGACGCCUGCACGGGCAUUGGAGCUUAAUGCACCCGGGUGUAUGCCGGCCGGCACCUCGCCAGCAAGCGGCCCCUCCGUCAGUUGCAUGCCCGCCGUUGGAGGUGCCUCGACAUUAGCCGAGCUCGACGGCAUCACGGUAACUAAGCCUCUCGGCCGAUGACUUCAUCUCCUUGCCUUUGACUGGGCAUCCCAGACGCCCUACAUGUUUUCGUAGGGAGCCACAGACGUUCCUUGCACUCUCCUGCACUUCGUGGGCGGCGAGUUGGUCGAUGUCGCCAAGGGCAGAAUCAUUCAACCGGGCAACCUUGUGUUCCACGGUAAUCCGAUGCCACCCACAGUGUAUAGGGUUGAAGUGGUUCGGGUGCUUCCAGGCUGCGACGAGCUGUUACCUCCGAUUCGACCCGCUGGGGCCGACGAAGAAGAUGAGAUGACCCUCAGCGCCUGCGUAAGCUGGCCCCUGCUUUUGCCGAAGAGCCAAAUUCGUUUGGGGGCGGGGGACACCACCCCACAGACAAGACCGCCAGUCGUGCCGGCGCCAAGCCAUGGCAAGAACGCAGCAACGCUACUGGACCUACCGGACAUCUCUAUGGCACAGGAUCCGGACAUGCAUAUGGCACAAGUUCCGGACGAUGACGACAACGACGACAGUACAUUUACCAACAUCGAUAAGUACUUUGCCGAACAUGGGUACGAUGAUGAGUUCUGCGGGCCUCCUUCUCAAGAACCCAACCAAGACGACCGUGAUCUAGCUGGUACGACAGAGAAACCCAGUUGCAACAGGCGUCGUCUGGCGUUCAGUUCUCAGGAGACGCCUCCAGCUACCGCCUUCACCGAGCCUCAAAUAGCUGAGGUGCGAAAUAUUAUUAGCCCCAACAUGCUCAAGAAGGCGGUCUGUGAGCAGAACUCGGUCCCAUUACAACAGAUCAAGAAGAAGAGCCGGAAAUGAAAGACUAAAAAGGGCACCGGUGCGAGCCAGCCGGCACCGAGAACGAUCCGUGCUCAGGACGGGCCACCUUCACCUAAGGAUAUCUCGAGGAGGGUGCAUGUGGCGGGUAGGGCGAUGCUACCGACAAAUAUGCUCAAUGUUGCAACCGGUGCUAUGCGGAGUCUGCACGACAGUGUUCUUUCUUUGGAGAAGCAGCGUCUCAGAGAGAAUGAUGUGGCAUACCCGGUUUUCGUGGCCAAGGUGCCAGUGGGCAAGGGAUUUUUGGAUGGCGACAUUGGGGGUAUGAUCGUCCUGCGGUUUGAGGACAUCUUUCCUAUGUUUAACCUUCAUCCGCUACACUACACCUUCGUUCGGCUGUUUUUGCUGAGUAUGGAGAUGCGGAUCAUUAGAGACAAGACCCCGGACAUCGUGAUAGUCGACCCCUUCUACAUGUGUGCCAAGCUCUUGAGCAGCGCUGGGGACCGCCAAGUCAUGAGUUCACACCUCGAAGGCGUCAUUCUGGCAAACCCAGAUAAGGAUAACUUCCUUGUGGCUUACUUUCCCGAGUAAGUCAUCCCUUAACCGCCCCGUAACAUAUGAUUUCUUAGAUUUUGAUCGUUCUUUUUUUUCUAACAUUCUGUGUUCUGUGCAGUGACACACAUUGCACACUCAUCCUCUUAAGCCCGAAAUAUUCCAUGGCCACGUAUUUCGACCCGAACCGUGACUCCAAGAUAGACUACACAAAUAUGAUGUUCUCCCCGGCUACGCCAAAUCUGGAGGCACCUUCACCAGGGCAGUUCGUAAGUACGGCAAGCACAUGUUCGCCCACAAUACGACGUUCUGCUGCAUCAAGCAGCCGCCUGGCGGUCAGAAGGAUGCCUACUACACCCUCCAUCACAUGCGGGCGAUCGUAAGGGACCAUCAUCACCUUUGCUACCAGAUAAUCUCAAAGAUUGGGCCGCAAGCUUGUCGGCAAUCCAGGACACGGACAACAGACAAGAAUUCUUUCGCAUCCAGUCGGAGUUUGCGGACAUCAUCCAUCAAGAUGUCCUUCAUACCUCAGCAUAGUUCUUCCUCAGAUAUCAACCGUCCAACAGUGAGAUAGACGGAACGCUACAAAUGCAGGUUGACAACGCCCGCGAUUUCAUGACCAUCAUGACAGAUGGCGGCUUCAUCCACGCUCCUGUCCCAUGAGUCGAGUCGAAAGUAGUGAUGUGUAGUUCUGAAACAUUGAGUGGCUCAUGUUGUAAUUAAACUUUAAUGAAUUGUAUGUCUCUUUUGUUUGGACAGUCAUUCAACUUAGAUGUAAUCGAUGCUAUUUAUUAGUAGGACCAUGAAUCGUGCUAUUAAUGUUUUGCUUUUCUCUUCCGAUCCUUUUGUUGCAUACUUAUAUAUUGCUUAUGUAUUGUCUGUUGUUUGGCUUGUGCAUAGAGAUGUCGUCGUAUGUCGUGUACAAGGGUAAGGUUCCCGGAGUCUACGACGACUGGGAGGAGUGUCGGAGACAGGUUCACCGUUUCAGCGGUAACAGUUACAAAGGGUACACCACUAGGGUGGAGGCGGAAUCUAGAUACGCCCGCUAUCUAGCGGGAGAGAGGAGUGAGCAUUGGAGGAACCGGAUGAAGACCAGUUUCAUCGCGAUGAUGCUCAUCGUUAUGACCGCAGCUCUCUUCUAUGUGAUGGUAGUUUAGAUGAUCGAUAUCGACUUGUAAUGUGAAGACAAACUCAAUACUUGCGGUCCCGAGACUUGUAAUGUUUUAUCUUUGUUCGGUCUUUUGAAUUCGGAGACUAAUAUGAUGAAUUGUAUUCGGAGACUAAUCUUCUAUUGUAUUCGAUGAAUCUGCUGUUGCUGUGUGCUGCUGUCUAUAUUCUAUCCAAUAAUAUAUUUUGUAACCUGUGCAAAAAUCAGAAAAAAAAAAUAAUAUUCAUACUAAUGGCGCAUGACCUCAAGGUGCGCCAUUAGUAUGCCAAAGGAUACUAAUGGCGCAUCACUACAGAGUGCGCCAUUAGUAUGCCAAAGCACAUGGUUACAAAUGGCCCCCUGGGAGGCAUACUAAUGGCGCAUGGUGUUCUAUACUAAUGGCGCACUACGUGGUGCGCCAUUAGUAUACUAGAUACUAAUGGCGCACCAGUGGUGCGCCAUUAGUAAAAAAUACUAGUGGCGUGAUACUAAUGGCGCACCAGUAGUUCGCCAUUAGUAGGCCUUUUCCUAGUAGUGAUCAACCAUCCUCCAUCACCAAUUUCAUGAUGCUCCCUGCCGUGCGUGAGUAAUUCCAUCGUAGGCUUGCUGGACGGUGAUGGGUUGGAUGAGAUUUACCAUGUAAUCAAGUUAGUUUUGUUAGGGUUUCAUCCCUAGUAUCCACUAUGUUCUGAGAUUGAUGUUGCUAUGACUUUGCCAUGCUUAAUGCUUGUCACUAGGGUCCGAGUGCCAUGAUUUCAGAUCGGAACCUAUUAUGUUUUCAUGAAUAUAUGUGGGUUCUUGAUCCUAUCUUGCAAGUCUAUAGUCACCUAUUAUGUGUUAUGAUCCGACAACCCCGAAGUGACAAUAAUCGGGAUACUUCUUGGUGCUGACCGUAGUUUGAGGAGUUCAUGCAUUCACUAUGUGUUGAUGCUUUGGUCCGGUUCUCUAUUAAAAGGAAACCUUAAUAUCCCUUAGUUUCCACUAGGACCCCGCUGCCACGGGAGGGUAGAACAAAAGAUGGCAUGCAAGUUCUUUUCCAUAAGCACAUAUGACUAUUUAUGGAAUACAUGCCUAGAUUAUAUUGAUGAAUUGGAUCUAGUUCUAUGUCACCCUAUGUUAUAGCUAUUACAUGAGGAAUCGCAUCCGACAUAAUUACCCAUCACUGAUCCAUUGCCUACGAGCUUUUCACAUCUUGUGUUUCGCUUAUUUACUUUCCCGUUGCUAUUGUUACAAUUACAACAAAACCCAAAAACAUUACUUUCGCUACCGUUACCUUUAUUAUCAUAUUACUUAGCUACUAAAUACUUUUCUACAGAUACUAAGUUAUCUAGGUGUGGUUGAAUUGACAACUCAGCUACUAAUACUCAAGAAUAUUCUUUGUCUCCCCUUGUGUCGAAUCAAUAAAUUUCGGUUGAAUACUUUACCCUCGAAAGCUGUUGUGAUCCCCUACACUUGUGGGUCAUCAGAAGUCAAUGGUUGCCCAGUCAAUUCCAGACAAAGCUCGGAAGACAGCUUCAUCGCUUAUAAGAUCUGACGGUUCAACAUUCGUGGCAUAAGUGUGCUUACGAAUUGGGGGGAUUAGAUUUUGGGCUUCAUAAACCGACGCAUCAAUCCGUCUGUUGUCAACAUCAUAGAUGGACUGGUGGAAAGACAAAUCAGUUUCUUCGUCCAAUCUGCUUGCAAGCAGGCGCAUCUCUUUUGUCAAGGCUUUAAGGGCCUCAUUGUCAAAUUCCGACCCGUCUUCUUUUUGGCUAGGAUAGCCAUUUACAAUGUCUUCCGGAUCAAGAUCAUCAAUCCAAGCCUUAGCCUGAGUCAGUGCAGAUAAAGCGCCAGCCCUUGCAACAGAUCUCUUCACCUCUUCUAGCUGGGCAGGUGUCAUGGAUAAUUGGGCCAAUGUGUCCUUGAUUAAGGUUGGCAGCGGUUUAUUGUACGAGGCUAUGUAGAUGACUCGUUGAGCGCCGGUAUAUAGUUGUUCUAUCAAAGUAUAGGCCGCUUUCAAUUUCUUGCGCAUAUCCGAGCCAAGAUGAGCAACACGACUACCUGCAACGUUUAAGAACUUGCUGUCAAACCGGCAGUUUCAAAGAUGUUUAAGAAAAGCUCUUGAAGAGAGUACUUACCAAAGACAGCAGAAGUCAUAGCGUUGAUUUGCCGCUUUAAACCAGUCAGCUCUUCUGCCACCGGUUUAAGUGCCGCUUCAGCAUCCUCCGCUCGUUUUAGCAAAGUGGCUUUUUCAGUCUCCCAGCCUGCCCGCUCGUUUUUGAAGCCAUCCUUCAAAUGUUCCAUGGUUGUUAAAGCGCCCUUCAGUUCUUCUUUGGCUUUGGAUGUUUUGGCUUGUUGGGACUUGAUGUUUUCCUGAAGGUCGGCGAUUUGAGAAUCUUUGUUGGUUAAGUCAGCCUAAAUUGGAAUACUUUUUUCAAAAGUCACAAGCACAUAACAAGUUAUGCACUUGGCACUUGGGGGCUAAUGCCGAUUGCUUCUGCUUAACUGAUAUGUUAAGUCCCAAGGCUCAAUACAAGUAUUAAUCUUGGCACUUGGGGGCUAAUUCUUAAUUGAUUAGAUAAAUUGGAUGUGAAGGAAUUCAACAAGGAUAAGCUUUACAACAAGAAGUACCGGUUCAUCUUGAAGAGAUAAACCGCCCCUUGGGGGCUACACAGUUGAAGUCUUUCUUAUCAAAGUCCCGGUUCAUCUUGAAGAGACAAACCGGCCCUUGGGGGCUACACUGGAGUUGAUAUGAAGCAAAAGGAAGAAAAAUUUAUGAAAUGUUUGAACAGGAAUUACCUCAUAUCGCUCCUUCAUCAAGUUGACUAAACCGGCCUCCUAAUCACGACUUGUAUACAGGUGGUUUAGAUAUCCAGAGUGGAGUUCCUGAGCAUUGAGGUGAGCACAGCUGGAUAAAUCUAUUUUCCAUUUGCAUUUGUCCACAGCAGAGAAUUCUUCCUUGGCACUGUGCUUCGAUAAAGCGACAGGAUUGACAGGAGCAGUGUGACCAAAACCGGUGAUCACAACGCCAUCUGUGGUGUCGUCAACAGUCUUUGGUGGGCUUGAUGGUUUAUCAGAUGGUCUGGCUGGGCUUGGUGGAUCAACAGUUGGGCUUGGCGGAUCAGCAUGAAGACUUGUUGGAUUAACUUCUGGCGGAUCAAUGAAGUAUCCUGACCCUGCGGAACCGGAUCAUCCAGAGCAAUGUCAGCAUCUUGAUCGACAGCUUCUGAGGUUCUCUCCGGUUCAGUAGCCGGAUUAUCGUCAGUUGGUGUAGCCAGCUUUGCUUUUUUGCUAAGUCUAGCUUUGGCACUGAAAAGAACAAGAUACAGAGAUUAGUACAGUAAAAACCGGAGCAAGGCAUAAAAAUAAAGUCUACUAUGCCUACCAGGGAACGGUCUUGAGCGGAGGCAUCUGUGUGGUUGAUGAAUCACCGGAGGAUGAAUUGGACGUUCCUUGAUAAUUCGAAUCAGACAGAUUAAGAGGGUAUCGAAAGUAACCCGCCUUGGGAUAAGAUGUAUUAGAAGUACAAGAGACCUCUGGACGGCGUUUUCGAACCGGGGUGUCCGGUAAACUGGAGGAGGUAACUUGUUGGCCACUAUGUCGGGUUGUGCGACGAGCUUCAUGUUGUUGUGUCUUCAAAGAAAAGUGCGGAUCCAAAUAAGCGAGAGGAUGUGAACGUUUUACUUUCCGGACUGCGCGAUGGAGUUUUUGUACUGGCACAUGAUCUGAAUUCGAAGAAAGGGAAAUUACCUCUUCAUGGUCAGCGCGGCUGGCUAACGCAUCAUCCUGAUAAUGAUCAUUGUCAAUAAGGUGCAUGAAAAAUGAACCAAGGGAAUCAAGUUCUACCUCUGGUUCCGAGUCAUCAAGAUCUUCGGCCGGAUCAGAGGACUCGCAGGUUCUUUUCUUUGUUGGCCUCUUUGUGACCUUGGUCUUAAUACGAGGUGCUCUCACCGGUUUGUCUUGUGGCUUUGCCGGUUUGUCUUGAGAUUUCCUCUUCCAGCACGGAUCAUUGCCCUGCAAGGAUAAACAUAAGAUCAUCAGAAAGUGUCAAAAGGGGGCGGAUUAAAGCAGAAAGAUAAAAUUCUUACAGCUGGCGGUUUGUUGGAGGCAUAAAAGGGAAGCAGCCUAGUCUUGCUGCACUCAGAUAUCGGUUCAUCCAACAUAUUUUUGACAGCUUCAGUAAUCUCGUCAUCAGUUAACUGUAUAUCAGUGUGCCGUUGAGGAUCCUUGACAUUCCCAGAAUUUUCACACAUUAACCCGGUGCGACGGCUUAAGGGCAAGAUACUCCAUGAAACCCAGCAAUGGAAAAGGUUAAUACCGGUUAAACCAUUUGCCAUAAAAGCCCGGAGCUUAGAAAUCUAUGGAGCAUAUUUUGAUCGUUCCUUGGCAGUAAGCUGUUGAGGUAAUGGGUGUUCAUUGCUGAGCCAGUGAGCACGAUAACCCGGCAGAGGAUUUUCAUCAUCAGGAGUAGUAUUCCGGCAGUAAAAGCACGUCUGAUUCCAGUCCUUGGGGUGGCUGUGAUGUUUGGCAUGAGGAAAAUUGACUUCUUUCCUUUUUUGAAUUGACACCCCACCAAGUUCAGUGUUGGGGUCGUCGGUAAAUUCAGUGCGGCGGUUCAAGUGGAAGAAUUCUCUGAAAAAUUCAAUGGUCGGUUCUUCUUGCAGAUAAGCCUCACAAAACCCUUGGAAAUUGCAAAUGUUGGACACAUAGUUCGGUCCAAUCUCUUGAGGGCGGAUUAGCAAACUGGCAAGUACAUCACGGAAUUUUUUUGAUCCGGGAGGGCUAAACCCUUGGUCCAGAUGAUGUACAAACACAACUAAUUCUCCAUCUUGAGGUUGAGGAGGAUUCUCAGUACCUGGGACUCUCCAAUGGAUGGUUUCUUUCUUUGCUAAAGCACCAGUCAAAACAUACCCAGUAAGUUGCUCUUCCGUAACCCGGGAGGGAACCCAAUUGCAGAGAAGAACUGUUUGGCCAUUUUUUGAUAACAAGCUAUAAAAGAAGUUCAAACGCUGGUUCACGGUUCAAGAUUAAUAUACACAAACCGGUGUCAGGCCGGGGGAAGGAAUCAAUCAGAGCAUAUGUUCACAUUAAGCAGGAUAUUGAUAUUCAGGUAAAAUUGGCGGUUUAAGUGAGGGCUAAUGGUACCUGGCGGAUUAUCAUUUUCUAAAGGUUAAACCGCCUAUAGUGGUAUGGAAGAAACAAAUCUGAAAAUUACUAAGUGAUGCAGAAACAGGUUUCACAGGCUAAAGUUAUAAUUAUGGAUCUAGCGCAGUUCAGAAAAAGGAAAAAUUCCAAAGCCCUAAAGUGGCGAAAGCAGGACAGCAAAGAUCCAGAUGGGAUUUGUUCAUGGACGAAGGGAUGCUAGGGUGAGGAAAAGUAAACUAUAGCUUCGGUCGCGCGGGGAAGAUAUCAAGUUCAUCAAGAUACGAUGGGACAGUAAGGUAAAAGCAAUGAACGCAGAUGUCAGGACCCCGAUCUUAAGUCACAUCGAUCUAGCAUGUAACACCUCAUAUCACUUUGCGGCCUCACGCACGGUAUUCCCACGGGUGUCGCCUUACCAUGCCCGGGACUGUUUGCGCCUUUUGGCACACGUAUAUGAUAGUGUCGCUAGCAUCCAUAUGACAGAGAACCCGGGCUGACAUGGCUAGUCGUGAACCCAAAGUGGCACUAACUUACAGGGACAGGCAUACAUGACCCAGCAUCGAACGUGUCGGUCAUCAGCGAGUGAAUCCGGGCUGUAGCAACUGGGCUAGCAGGACUCCGGUAAACCGGGCUGUAGCGGGCUAACAGGACUCCGGUGUUCCUCGCGUGACAUUUCCCCGAAGGGACAGACACAGGAACGAAGAAGGACACAUGCCGGCCAGCCUAAGUGUUCGGGAGCAGUAGCAAGCUACCAGGGCUCAGUGGAAACACUAGGAGACAUUUCCCGAUAAGAGAGACUACUAAGGAUAAACAACUAGAUAGUUAGAUCCCACACAUAGCAAUACACAUUACACGUACGCAUAACAUGCAAGUAUGUGUUGUACAACAUGGCAUCACAGCAUAACUCAACAACUCAUAUACAUAAAGGCUCGGAAGAGCCAACAUAGCAUUUAUUACAAACAGGGGUCACAUGACCCAACAUUCAGAGCAAUCAAGCAACAAGCGGAAGCAUCACAUGUCUGGGUACAGACAUCUACAAAUGAAAAAGGCUGAAGAGCCUGACUAUCUACAACAUCCGAUCAAGAUCGUAGCUGAGGUACAAGCUACUCGUCGAAGUCCACGAGAACACUAGUAAGACCGAAGUCUUCGCUGCAAAAACAUAAAUAAAGCAACAUGAGUACAAAGGUACUCAGCAAGACUUACAUCAGAUCCUACCAUACAUGCAUUUGUAUCAAGAGGGUAAUGUGGGGUUUAGUUGCAGCAAGCCAGCUUUGACUCAGUGGCUAUCCUGUUCUACGACUACAAGAAACUCUUGAGGUGAGACAACGUACAUAAGUCCACUAGUCACCACACAAUACACUACUAUGGAUUCAUUCCCGUCUCCCUACGAAAAGGCCAUCCAUAGCACUCACACUUGUCUUGAGCAUUUUAGAGUAUCCACUUCAAGUUGUCUAUGUACCAUGUAAGCAUCCAAGAAGUCCAUAACCGCGGACCCGGCUAUUCGAAUAGAUCAUGUUAACCCUGCAGGGGUGUACUUCUUCACACACGCUCUCGCCACUUACCGCCAUGUACACGUCAUGUAUCUCGGCAACCUUCAAGCAGAAGCCUGGCGAGGGUGUCGGCCAUGACCUGACUAACCACACAAGACUCUAGCCCAGGUUCAUCGCCUAUUCGGGUUCCAUCCGCAAGGAGAUCCGGCCGGGGUUUCACUCACGGCCCCAAACGAUGUGUGCAGGGUUCCCGAACCCACCAUCCGGGUGCCACUCGGUACACCAGGCCACAUGUGCCUAGUCUGUCCCAAGCCCACCCUGCCAGGUGCCACUCGGUAGAAAAAUAGCACUACCUACAAACACCAGAAACUAGUUGCGACUCCUGGACAGAGACCAAGUUGGUUAAUAAGUCGAGAGAGUCAAUUAAGGAUCCCAAUGUGUGGUAGUAUCGAGUCAUUGGACAACAUACAUAGAACUCAGUGCUUAAGGACGGUUCUAGUGAGACAACCCACCAUGUACUCCUACAUGGCCUCUCACCGCUACCUUUACCAAAUCGUGUUCACACACUUCACUCUCAGCAUCAGAACAUAGAACACUGCACUCAAUUCAUUCCCAAUGAAUCAGACCUGACACAACUCUAAGCAAUAGCAGGCAUAGCAUGGUAGGAACACAACAAUGGCUUCAAUCAACUCCUACACAUGCUAGUGGGUUUCAACUAUUUACUGUGGCAAUGACAGGUCAUGUAGAGGAAUGGAUUCAACUACCGCAGCACAAAGUAGCAGAUGAAUCGUUGUUGUCCUAAUGCAAUAACUGAGAGCAGGAGCGAGAGAGUAGGAUUGUAUCGGAAUGAACAAGGGGGUUUGCUUGCCUGGUAGAUCAAUAAGGGAGGCACUGCUUCACAGACAGGUACUCUGGAACGUCUCCGGAGCAGGACCUAUCGAGAAGGAACGGUGCCGGCAAUCAAUACACAAUCAUAUGCAACACAAUGAUGCAUGAACAUGGCAUGAAGAUGUGAUGCUGAUUGAGCUAAUGCAACUAGUAUUCAAUUGGUUUGAAGUCCAUUUGAACCAAAGGUUCAAAUGCAUCUCCAAAUUAAACCCUUUAUAUAAGCCAUUUUGGUGUUUCACUUAUACAGCAUGUAUAAGUUGGUUUGUCAUGCAUGAAACUAGUACAGAUGGAUAGAUUGCAUUUUUCUGAUAAUUUUUCAUAUAUAAUUUAUUUCAAUCUGAGCUACGAUUGAAUUUCUAUGAAUUUUUGAAGUUUUGAACAUUUUCUGGAAUUUCCUGAUUUAUUUUAAUUCCAGAAAAUAUAUUAUUGCGCCAGCAUGACGUCAGCAGUGAACUGCGGCUGACUGGGGUCAAACCUGAUGUGUGGGGUCCACACGUCAGUGUCACAGUUAGUUAACAGGGGGGUUAAUUCUAAUCUAACUUAGAUUAGUGGCGCUGGGGCCCACUGUCAGUGUCAGGGGUUAGAUUAGGUGGUGAUUAGCUUAAGCUAAUCACCUGGCAGGUCGGGCCCACACGUCAGGCCGGCGAGGUCGUCGGCGGCGACCUCAGGACGCGGCGGCGUCCGCGUUACAGGCCACAGGGGCGGCGGCUAAGGGCACCGGGGCGUAGCCCGGGCUCGUCCGCAUCCAGGGGAGCAGACGGGAAGUCGCGGGGGCGCCGGAGCUCGCCGGAGCGAAGCUCGGGGCGGCGGCCGGAGUUCGGCUUCGAGAGGGAACGGGCUGCGGGGCACGGGGAGGCCACCCGAGGGGCUUUGCGGCACCCUCGUGGCACCGGGAGCACGAUGGGGUGCUCGGUUUGGGCGGAGGUGGGCCGAGACGACGACGGCGACAUGGACGGUGGCGAGAGGCUUCGUCUAUGGUGGGGAGGAGGGCUACAGCGUGCGGGCAGCUAAACAGAGAGAGGGGAACGGUGGCGGAGCUCACCGCGGAUCCAGCGAAGGCAUCAGCGGGCUCGGGGAAGCACUGGUGUGGCCGGAGCGUCGGCGGCGAUCUCGGGCAGCCGGUGACGAAGACGAUGGCGAUGGCGGCGUUCCAGGGCGUCCGGCGCCGUGCGUCUCGUCGAGGAGGCGUAGCCCACAGCGGCGGAGCGCGUGGACACGACGGAGGGACGAGGGGAAGGCAGUGGCCGCGGCAACGGCGAGCGGUGGCAUCGGUGGCGUUCGGUUUCGGGAGAGAACGAGGGGGGAGGAAGAGAGAGCGAAUGCGAGGGAGAGGAGAGGUGCGGGGCGUCGUGGCGUCGUUCCAGGGCAUCCAGGGCGACAAGAGGGAGAAGCAGGAGGUGGCCGGGCGCGUGGCCGCGGCAGGCUGUGGCACGGGCACGCAGCUGCUUGGCGAGGGGGAGAAGACGACAGAGGAGGAGGCGGGCUGGGCCAGCUGCUGAGCUGCGCGGUGCCGGGCCAGCACAGGAGCUGGGCCGCAGGUAGGUCCAGGUAAGGUUUUUUCCCCUUUUUGUUUUCUUUUCUAUUUUUCUGACAUUAGUUUGGUUUAAUAAAAAAUACUAAACCAUUUUAUUUUCUUAUGCCAAUUUUUAUAGAAGCUAGUUAUAUUAUUCCAGAGCUCCUUUAUAAAUGGCAUAAUUUUUGGACAAUAUUAUAUAUAUAUAACAAUAUAUAUCCAAAGCAAAUAAUUACUGCAUUAAUUCCAAAUGCCCAAAAUAAAUACUUAUGAGGUCCUAAAAAUAUUGGUUUGAUUUUUAUCUCUGUCCAAUAUUUUCAGAGAGCAACAUGAGCAUUUUCUUGGACCUUUCUGGAACAAUUUUUAUUUGGGUCAUUUCCAAAAUGAUUCUGAGGGUUUCACAAAUCCCCAUUUCAAAUUUAAAUGGAAUUUAAACAUGAUGCACACAUGACUAGCUAGCCAUGAGCAUACCAGAACUAGGGAUGUGACAACUCGCCCCCACUUGAAAGAAUCUCGUCCCGAGAUUCAGGGGUCGACGGAAAGAAAGCGGGGUACUCUAGUCGAAGACGAUCUUCUCGCUCCUAGGUAGCUUCUCUCUUGGAAUGAUGAGACCACUGAACCUUGAGAAACUUGAUGUUCUGACGUCGAGUGACACGCUCUGCUUGAUCAAGAAUGCGAACCGGGUACUCUCGAUAUGUGAGGUUAUCUUGGAGAUCAAGCGUUUCGUGGUCCACUCCGCGGAUAGGAUCCGAGAAGCAACGCCUGAGUUGAGAGACGUGGAAGACAUCAUGAACUCUGGAAAGAUGUGGGGGUAGUUCCAACUGGUAGGCAACCUCUCCUCGUUUAGCGAGAAUGCGAAAAGGACCAAUGUAACGAGGAGACAACUUGCCCUUGAUACCGAAACGAUGGGUACCCUUCAUGGGAGUAACCCGAAGAUAAGCUUAGUCGCCAAUUUCAUAGGUCAUAUCCCUAUGAUGACGAUCAUAUUGACUCUUCUGACGAGACUGGGCUGUUUUCAAAUUCUCACGAAUGAUGCGAACUUGCUCUUCUGCCUCUUGGAUCAUGUCCGGUCCAAAGAAUUGUCUUUCACCGGUUUCUGACCAGUUCAAAGGUGUUCGACAUCUUCGUCCAUAGAGAACCUCAAAAGGAGCUUUCUUGAGGCUGGAUUGAUAGCUAUUGUUAUAAGCAAACUCGGCGAAAGGAAGACAUUUCUCCCAAUCCAUACCAAAUGAGAUAACGCAAGCUCUAAGCAUGUCUUUGAGAAUUUGGUUGACCCUUUCCACCUGACCACUCGACUGAGGGUGGAAAGCGGUACUGAAGGAAAGAUGGGUUCUCAUGGCAGUUUGGAAACUCUCCCAGAAAUGAGAAGUGAAAAGACUACCACGGUCUGAAUUGAUCUCUAGUGGAACACCAUGAAGUGACACUAUUCGAGAAAUGUAUAAGUCAGCGAGCUGACUAGCAGUGAUACUCUCUCGAACAGGAAGGAAGUGAGCCACUUUGGAAAGACGAUCAAUGACUACGAAGAUAGCAUUAUUCCCUUUCUUGGUCCUGGGAAAACCGGUGAUGAAGUCCAUACCAACUUUAUCCCAUUUCCAUUCAGGAAUAGCUAAAGGCUGAAGGGUGCCAGCAGGCCUUUGAUGCUCUGCCUUAACGCGACGACAAACGUCACGGUUAGCAAUAAACUAAGCGAUUUCUCUCUUCAUCCUAGUCCACCAGAACCUCUGGCGUAGGUCCUGAUACAUCUUAGUACUACCAGGAUGAAUUGUGAGAGGGGAUUCAUGCGCCUCCUUAAGAAUCAAUUGCCGAAGAUGUUGCUUCUUGGGGACCACCAGGCGGUUCCCAAAGAAAACAACACCUCGAUUAUCUAUAGAGAAACUACCAGCAAUACCCUUGGCAAUGUUUCUCUUGAUCCGGGUAAUCCCCGUAUCAUGCUUCUGGGCUUCUAUAAUAUGAUCCACAAGAGUAGGUUUCGCCACCAAGGUAGAAAGGAAUCCGUGAGGAGCUAUGUGAAGAUUAAGCUUACAAAAUUCCUCAUGGAGAAGUGGUUGGCCCUGCUGCAACAUGAGGUUGUUGCAAUAGGAUUUACGGCUUAACGCAUCAGCCAUGACAUUGGCUUUGCCUGGGGUGUAGGUAAUCCCUAGAUCAUAAUCUAUGAUCAACUCCAACCAACGUCUUUGCCUAAGGUUCAAAUCUGGUUGUGUGAAGAUAUACUUGAGACUCUGAGGAUCCGUGUAGAUCUCGCAACGUUUACCAAGGAGGUAAUGUCGCUAGGUCUUGAGUGCAUAGACUACGGCUGCAAGCUCUAGAUCAUGUGUAGGAUAAUUAUCCUCAUGUGGAUGCAACUGUCGAGAUGCAUAGGCAAUCACAUGAUGAUCCUGCAUAAGAAUGCAACCUAGUCCCUAUCGUGAGGCGUCGCAGUAGAUAACAAAGUCCUUUGUGAAAUCCGGUGGCACAAGUAUGGGAGCAGAAGUCAGGCGCCUUUUCAGUUCCUGAAAACUGUACUCACACUGUGGGGACCACUCGAACUUUUUAUCUUUCUUGAGAAGUUCCGUGAGGGGUUUGGCUACUUUGGAGAAGUUUUCAACAAAACGGUGGCAAUAGCUGGCUAGACCAAGGAAACUCCUAACUUGUUUAACGGUUUCAGGUGGAGUCCAAUCGAGAACGGCCUUAACUCUCUCGGGAUUAACAGCAAUGCCCUUACCAGAGAUUACGUGGCCUAGGUAGGUCACUUCUGGCAACCAAAAUUCACACUUGGAGAACUUGGCAUAAAGGCGGUGCUCUCUGAGUUUUUCUAACACAAGUCUAAGAUGUUCGGCAUGCUCUUCCUCGUUCUUCGAGUAAAUGAGAAUAUCAUCGAGGUAAACCACGACGAACUUAUCUAAGUACUCCAUGAAGAUCGAGUUCAUCAAGCGGGAGAAUGUGGCUGGGGCGUUGGUUAGACCAAAAGACAUGACGGUGUACUCGUACUGGCCAUAACGAGUGACAAAAGCUGUUUUGGGGAUGUCCCCGUUUAUGAUCUUAAUUUGGUGGUAGCCUAACCUCAAAUCCAUCUUGGAGAAGACUGAGGAUCCAGCGAGCUGAUCAUACAGGUCGUUGAUCCUGGGAAGCGGAUACUUGUUCUUUAUCGUGACCAAAUUAACGGGACGAUAAUCUACAACCAUCUGGUCCAUACCAUCCUUCUUCCUGACGAAGAGGAUGGGGCAAGCCCAAGGAGAAGAACUAGGACGGAUGAAACCCUUUUGCAAGGACUCAUCAAGUUGUUUCUUAAGCUCGGCUAGUUCUAAGGGUGCCAUCUUGUAAGGUCUCCUAGAGAUUGGAGCAGUUCCUGGGAUAAGAUCUAUGACGAACUCUACAUCUCUGUCGGGUGGAACACCUGGCAGUUCCUCUGGAGAGACAUCCGGAAAGUCACGGACUACCGGGAUAUCUUCAAGGUCUGGGAGAGGGCUGGCAUUGAGAGAAUAGAGCUGACGCUUUGCAACUCUAGUGGAGACAGUGACUAUCUUGCCAGAUGGGUGUGUAAGCUGAACAGACCUGGUGUAACAAUCAAUCUUGGCAUGAUGAGCUGUCAUCCAGUCCAUACCCAAGAUGACGUUAAUAUCUGUAGACUUGAGGGCUACAAGUGAUGCAAGGAAUACAAGUCUAUCAAUAAGGAUUUCAUUACCAUGGCUGAUUCUAGUGGUCUGCCAUCUAGACCCUGGGGUUUGGAUUUCAAGCGGAGUUGGCAUAUCACAAAAUGACAUGUCAUGCAAACGAGCAUAGCCUUCCGAGAUGAAAGAAUGGGAUGCUCCAGUAUCGAAUAGAACCGAUGCUGGAGGACAGUUGACAAGGAGUGUACCAAGAACGACAUCCGGAUCAUCAUGAGCGUCUUUAGCUGAGACGUGAUGCACACGUCCACAUUCAGUGGGGGCUGGCUUGGCACUGAUCGUCUUGCUUGAUGGCUUAACACAUCCAACAGUCUUCUCGGGCUGGGGUGGAGCAUAACUGGCCUGAGGGCAGUCACGUGCAUAGUGUCCUGGCUUCCCGCAUGUGAAGCAAGUCCCUGAGGUUGGACGUGGACCCGCACUGACAAGCGGCCUACCAGUAGGCCUGGGUGGAACAUACGACUGAGCUGGGGAAGGCACCACAUAAGAUGGUCUCGGUGCAUAUCCGGAAGGAAGAGCGGAGUUUGGAACCCAAAUCCGGCGCUUCUGAGAACCAGAACCGGAGGAAGAUCCCAAAUCACGGGUGUGCUUACGAGACUCCUCGUAAGUGAGCUGAGUUGUCUCUGCAUUAAUGGCCUUGUUCACAAGAGCUUGGAAUGUAUCACAAUGAUGCAGGUGGAGAUCACGACGCAACUUGGGGUUGAGACCCUUCCGGAACCUAGCUUGCUUCUUGGCGUCCGUGGACACCUCUUCUGUGGCAUAGCGGGCGAGGUUCUCAAACUCUCUACUGUAAGCAUCAACAGCCAUCUUACUCUGGGUGAAACUACAGAACUCUUCUCUCUUGCGAUCGAUGAGGGCUUCAGGAAUGUGAUGCUCGCGAAAAGCAUCAGUGAAAUCUCUCCAGGUAGGAAUCUGGCCAGCUGGAAGCAUAGCCUCAUAGUUCUGCCACCAAAGACUAGCAGGACCUUCCAGGUGGUAUGUGGCAUAGGUGACCUUGUCAUCUUCAGCUACGUUCGCGGAAUGCAGCUUAUGAGUGAUGCUACGGAGCCAGUCAUCUGCAUCGAGUGGCUCGAUGGAAUGAUGAAAGGUAGGUGGGUGCAAGCGAAUGAAGUCAUGAAUGGUCGCAGAUCCUUUGAACUGAUGUGCGGUGUUCUCCUCGAUACGUGCCAACAAGCGGUUAGACUCACGCUUGUUCCUCUCCAUCUCUAGCAUGAACUCUGUCAACGAAGGCUGGUCGGGAGGAUCCUCAUCCCUACCAUCUCCGUGGUUCUGGCUACGAGCAACAGAACUUGAUGAUAUCCUGAGAAACGAAACCAGGGACGGAAUCAGCAUCAAUAUAGGCUAUAGAAUGUAGGACAAGGAAAUUAGUAACUCUCGAACUCCUAGGGCAAUUCCGGCAGCAUAACGGCAGUAAAAUGCUCAGAAUGAGACAUCCUGCCAAAAAUGGGGUAGUAACAUACUCAACAUCACCAGUCAAGGUUCUAAGAUCAUACUAAACAGACUACACCGGAAGUACUCAGAACUGGGGUAUGACUCUGAUCAACCAAUCCUAUGGGACUACGGAGUAGUAACACGUGAUCCUGAUAGACAGAAGAGAAGCCUAGUUCCUUAACCCCGUAGGAAAGGUAGGAUGACUCAGAUCAAAAGGCCAUGAGGUAAAAGGAGUAAAAAGAGCCUUACGUUCCUUCCCACAAUCAAUUCCCUUACAUAACUAAAGAAUUUCUAGACUCAACUUCGACCAGUUCGGCUUGGUAAUCCUACAGGCAGUCAGGCUCUGAUACCAAAGUUGUCAGGACCCCGAUCCUAAGUCACAUCGAUCUAGCAUGUAACACCUCAUAUCACUUUGCGGCCUCACGCAUGGUAUUCCCACGGGUGUCGCCUUACCAUGCCCGGGACGGUUUGCGCCUUUUGGCACACGUAUAUGAUAGUGUCACUAGCAUCCAUAUGACAGAGAACCCGGGCUGACAUGGCUAGUCGUGAACCCAAAGUGGCAAUAACUUACAAAGACAGGCAUACAUGACCCAGCAUCGAACGUGUCGGUCAUCAGCGAGUGAAUCCGGGCUGUAGCAACUGGGCUAGCAGGACUCCGGUAAAUCGGGAUGUAGCGGGCUAACAGGACUCCGGUGUUCCUCGCGUGACAUUUCCCCGAAGGGACAGACACGGGAACGAAGAAGGACACAUGCCGGCCAGCCUAAGUGUUCCGGAGCAGUAGCAAGCUACCAGGGCUCAGUGGAAACACUAGGAGACAUUUCCCGGUAAGAGAGACUACUAAGGGUAAACAACUAGAUAGUCAGAUCCCACACAUAGCAAUACACAUUACACGUACGCAUAACAUGCAAGUAUGUGUUGUACAACAUGGCAUCACAGCAUAACUCAACAACUCAUAUAGAUAAAGGCUCGAAAGAGCCAACAUAGCAUUUAUUACAAACAGGGGUCACAUGACCAAACAUUCAGAGCAAUCAAGCAACAAGCGGAAGCAUCACAUGUCUGGGUACAGACAUCUACAAAUGAAAAAGGCUGAAGAGCCUGACUAUCUACAACAUCCGAUCAAGAUCGUAGCUGAGGUACAAGCUACUCGUUGAAGUCCACGAGAACACUAGUAAGACCGAAGUCUUCGCUGCAAAAACAUAAAUAAAGCAACAUGAGUACAAAGGUACUCAGCAAGACUUACAUCAGAUCCUACCAUACAUGCAUUUGUAUCAAGAGGGUAAUGUGGGGUUUAGUUGCAGCAAGCCAGCUUUGACUCAGUGGCUAUCAUGUUCUACGACUACAAGAAACUCUUGAGGUGAGACAACGUACACGAGUCCACUAGUCACCACACAAUACACUACUAUGGAUUCAUUCCCGUCUCCCUACGAAAAGGCCAUCCAUAGCACUCACACUUGUCUUGAGCAUUUUAGAGUAUCCACUUCAAGUUGUCUAUGUACCAUGUAAGCAUCCAAGAAGUCCAUAACCGCGGACCCGGCUAUUCGAAUAGAUCAUGUUAACCCUGCAGGGGUGUACUUCUUCACACACGCUCUCGCCACUUACCGCCAUGUACACGUCAUGUAUCUCGGCAACCUUCAAGCAGAAGCCUGGCGAGGGUGUCGGCCAUGACCUGACUAACCACACAAGACUCUAGUCCAGGUUCAUCGCCUAUUCGGGUUCCAUCCGCAAGGAGAUCCGGCCGGGGUUUCACUCACGGCCCCAAAUGAUGUGUGCAGGGUUCCCGAGCCCACCAUCCGGGUGCCACUCGGUACACCAGGCCACAUGUGCCUAGUCUGUCCCAAGCCCACCCUGUCGGGUGCCACUCGGUAGAAAAAUAGCACUACCUACAAACACCAGAAACUAGUUGCGACUCCUGGACAGAGACCAAGUUGGUUAAUAAGUCGAGAGAGUCAAUUAAGGAUCCCAAUGUGUGGUAGUAUCGAGUCAUUGGACAACAUACAUAGAACUCAGUGCUUAAGGACGGUUCCAGUGAGACAACCCACCAUGUACUCCUACAUGGCCUCUCACCGCUACCUUUACCAAAUCGAGUUCACACACUUCACUCUCAGCAUCAGAACAUAGAACACUGCACUCCAAUUCAUUCCCAAUGAAUCAGACCUGACACAACUCUAAGCAAUAGCAGGCAUAGCAUGGUAGGAACACAACAAUGGCUUCAAUCAACUCCUACACAUGCUAGUGGGUUUCAACUAUUUACUGUGGCAAUGACAGGUCAUGCAGAGGAAUGGGUUCAACUACCGCAGCACAAAGUAGUAGAUGAAUCGUUGUUGUCCUAAUGCAAUAACUGAGAGCAGGAGCGAGAGAGUAGGAUUAUAUCGGAAUGAACAAGGGGGUUUGCUUGCCCGGUAGAUCAAUAAGGGAGGCACUGCUUCACAGACAGGUACUCUGGAACGUCUCCGGAGCAGGACCUAUCGAGAAGGAACGGUGACGGCAAUCAAUACACAAUCAUAUGCAACACAAUGAUGCAUGAACAUGGCAUGAAUAUGUGAUGCUGAUUGAGCUAAUGCAACUAGUAUUCAAUUGGUUUGAAGUCCAAUUGAACCAAAGGUUCAAAUGCAUCUCCAAAUUAAACCCUUUAUAUAAGCCAUUUUGGUGUUUCACUUAUACAGCAUGUAUAAGUUGGUUUGUCAUGCAUGAAACUAGUACAGAUGGAUAGAUUGCAUUUUUCUGAUAAUUUUUCAUAUAUAAUUUAUUUCAAUCUGAGCUACGGUUGAAUUUCUAUGAAUUUUUGAAGUUUUGAACAUUUUCUGGAAUUUCCUGAUUUAUUUUAAUUCCAGAAAAUAUAUUAUUGCGCCAGCAUGACGUCAGCACGACGUCAGCAGUCAACUGCGGCUGACUGGGGUUAAACCUGACGUGUGGGGUCCACACGUCAGUGUCACAGUUAGUUAACAGGGGGGUUAAUUCUAAUCUAACUUAGAUUAGUGGCGCUGGGGCCCACUGUCAGUGUCAGGGGUUAGAUUAGGUGGUGAUUAGCUUAAGCUAAUCACCUGGCAGGUCGGGCCCACACGUUAGGCCGGCGAGGUCGUCGGCGGCGACCUCAGGACGCGGUGGCAUCCGCGUUACAGGCCACGGGGGCGGCGGCUAAGGGCAACGGGGCGUAGCCCGGGCUCGUCCGCAUCCAGGGGAGCAGACGGGAAGCCGCGGGGGCGCCGGAGCUCGCCAGAGCGAAGCUCGGGGCGGCGGCCGGAGUUCGGCUUCGAGCGGGAACGGGCUGCGGGGCACGGGAAGGCCACCCGAGGGGCUCUGCGGCACCCUCGUGGCACCGGGAGCACGAUGGGGUGCUUGGUUUGGGCGGAGGUGGGCUGAGACAAUGACGGCGACAUGGACGGCGGCGAGAGGCUUCGGCCGUGGUGGGGAGGAGGGCUACGGCGUGCGGGCAGCUAAACGGAGAGAGGGGAACGGUGGCGGAGCUCACCGCGGAUCCAGCGAAGGCGUCAGCGGGCUCGGGGAAGCACUGGUGCGGCCGGAGCAUCGUCGGCGAUCUCGGGCAGCCGGUGACGAAGACGAUGGCGAUGGCGGCGUUCCAGGGCAUCCGGCGCCGUGCAUCUCGUCGAGGAGGCGUAGCCCACAGCGGCGGAGCGCGUGGACACGACGGAGGGACGAGGGGAAGGCAGUGGCCGCGGCAACGGCGAGCGGUGGCGUCGGUGGCGUUCAGUUUCGGGAGAGAACGAGGGGGAAGGAAGAGAGAGCGAAUGCGAGGGAGAGGAGAGGAGAGGUGCGGGGCGUCGUGGCGUCGUUCCAGGGCGUCCAGGGCGACGAGAGGGAGAAGCAGGAGGUGGCCGGGCGCGUGGCCGCGGCCGGCUAUGGCACGGGCACGCAGCUGCUUGGCGAGGGGGAGAAGACGACAGAGGAGGAGGCGGGCUGGGCUAGCUGCUGGGCUGCGCGGUGCCGGGCCAGCACAGGAGCUGGGCCGCAGGUAGGUCCAGGUAAGGUUUUUUCCCCUUUUUGUUUUCUUUUCUAUUUUUCUGACAUUAGUUUGGCUUAAUAAAAAAUACUAAACCAUUUUAUUUUCUUAUGCCAAUUUUUAUAGAAGCUAGUUAUAUUAUUCCAGAGCUCCUUUAUAAAUGGCAUAAUUUUUGGACAAUAUUUUAUAUAUAUAACAAUAUAUAUCCAAAGCAAAUAAUUACUGCAUUAAUUCCAAAUGCCCAAAAUAAAUACUUAUGAGGUCCUAAAAAUAAGAGGCGAAGAGGCAUGGAAGGGGAAAUAAAAAGACCUCUGGUCCUAUUUAUAAGGCAAAUGGAUAAGUAGGCAGGCGCGGGAAUCGAGGAACCCAAAACGGAGAAUGGGGCACAGCUGUUGCCUCGGUCUUCGAAGAUUAAUUAAUAAAGGGAAACAUUUAUGAUUUUUUUACGCAGAUGACGUCAUGGAGGUUUAUGGAGAUUUCAGAAGGCGAGGUCACGGCGGUUUACAAGGUCAACACGAAGAUGUUCAAAUCAGAAUUUCUCUAAGUUGAAGACCUAAUGUUGGGGAUAUAACUACUGAAUAUAAACCGCCCAGGAGGGGCCAGAUUAUACUCACAAAGAGUCAUCUGUAUAGAAGCGCAUGAAGACGAAGACUAUGGCGCUUUACUACCGAAGCUUAGAGGCCCAGAGCCCAAUGGCGGAUUAGGGCCCAUGUAUGUAAACCGCCUUGAGAUGUGUAUCUUGUAUUGUAAGUUAGGGAAAGGAAGAAACCGAGACGGACACUUGUACGAGCCGGCCCCGGGAUUCUGUAGAACGGCCGGGCGUCAAUCUAUGUAUAUAAAGGGACGACCCGGUGGCGGUUCAGGGACAAGAAACAACAACUCGAGAGAUAGGUAAAGCGGAUUUGCUCCCUGCUCAUCAAGACCCAUCAAUUCCACCACAACUGGAUCAUAGGCUUUUACCUUCACCGCAAGGGGCCGAACCAGUAUAAACUCCCCGUGUCCUUUGUUCCAGUUUAACCCCUUUAAGUUAACCUCAUUGUGAUGGCUCCACGACUAAGUCCUCUCACUAGGACAUCUGACGUGUUAAUUCCAUGACACAGUUGAUGUAGUCAAACUUCUUCGCGCUCCAACCGAUCAAGUACCGAACACACGACACCUCCGCGUUCUGCACAUGUUCAGCUCGGUGACGUCUCUACCUUCUUGAUCCAUCAAGAUGGUGAGGUAGUGGAUGAGUUCCGGCAGCACGACGACAUGGUGGCAUUGAUGGUGAACCUAUCUUUGCAGGGCUUCACCUAAGCACUACGAAAAUAUGACCGGGGGUGUAAACGAUGGAGAGGGGCGCCGCACACGCCUAAGACAAUGUUGUGUUGUGCUAGGUGCCCCCUCCCUCAUAUAUAUAGGUGGGGGAGGAGGGAGUAGCCAGGUGGUGCCCCCAAGUAGGCCGAAUCCUACUUGGGUUCCUCCCCAAGUGGAGCCCCCCUCCAUUCCUUAUAUGAGUGCGGGAGGAAGGAAGAAGGAGGUGGCUGAUACGUCUCCAACGUAUCAAUAAUUUAUGAAGUAUUCAUGCCAUGUUUACAAUAGUUUUAUAUGAUUUUGGUAUGAUUUGGUUAACUAACCCAAACUGACGGUGUUUUCAGUAGAACUACUGUGGUGUUGUUUUUGUGCAGAAAUAAAAGUCCUCGGAAUGCGCUGAAAAUGAACGGAGAUUUUUUUGGAAAAUAUAAAAAAUACUGGAACAAAGAGUUAUCGGAGGGGAGUCCCAUGGGCCCCACGAGGGNNNNNNNNNNNNNNNNNNNNNNNNNNNNNNNNNNNNNNNNNNNNNNNNNNNNNNNNNNNNNNNNNNNNNNNNNNNNNNNNNNNNNNNNNNNNNNNNNNNNNNNNNNNNNNNNNNNNNNNNNNNNNNNNNNNNNNNNNNNNNNNNNNNNNNNNNNNNNNNNNNNNNNNNNNNNNNNNNNNNNNNNNNNNNNNNNNNNNNNNNNNNNNNNNNNNNNUCAUGGACUCUCCGUGGGGCCCCCUAACUUGUUCUCGACGCCAACCUCUCCUAUAAAUGCCCAAACCUCCAGAAAAUAACCUAGAUCAGAAGUUCCGCCGCCGCAAGCCUCUAUAGCCACGAGAAAUCAAUAUAGGCCCUCUCUGGCACCCUGCCGGAGGGGGCCAUCAUCACCAAAGGCCAUGGGGAAGGAUCUCGGAGGGGCCAUCAUCGCCAUGAAGGCCAAGGACCAGAGGGGGAACCUCUCCCAUCCAGGGGGGAGGCCAUGGAGGAGGAAACACAAGGGGGAGAACCUCUCAUCAUCUCUCUCGGUGGUGCCGGAGUACCAUCGGGAGGGGAAUCAUCGCUGCGGUGAUCGUCUUCAUCAACAUCACGAUCAUCAUCACCAUCCUCAUCUCUUUUACGUGGUCCACUCUCCCGCACCCCGCUGUAAUCCCUACUUGAACAUGGUGCUUUAUGCCACAUAUUAUGAUCCAAUGAUGUGUUGCCAUUCUAUGAUGUUUUGAGUAGAUAUCCUGUGUCUUUGGGUUGAUUGACGAUCUAGAUUGGUAUGAGUUGUAUGUUUUAUUUUGGUGUUGUCCUAUUGUGCCCUCCAUGUCGCGCAAGCGUGAGGGAUUCCCGUUGUAUGGUGUUGCAAUACGUUCAUGAUUCGCUUAUAGUGGGUUGCUUGAGUGACAGAAGCAUAAACCCGAGUAAGGGGUUGUUGCAUAUGGGAUAAAGGGGACUUGAUAUGUUAAUGUUAUGGGUGGGUUUUACCUUAAUGAUCUUUAGUAGUUGCGGAUGCUUGCUAGAGUUCCAAUCAUAAGUGCAUAUGAUCCAAGAAGAGAAAGUAUGUUAGCUUAUGCCUCUCCCUCAUAUGAAAUUGCAAUAGUGAUUACCGGUCUUGUUAACAAUUGCCUAGGACAAUUCCGCACAUCGACCAAUAAUUAUUCCACAAUCGUUAUUUAUAAUACUUAAGUAAUAUAUUCUAACUCUAUGAUAACAGCACCUACUUUUAUAUUUCAGCUCUCCGAUAUCAUGCAAAGUUAUCCUCUUCAUACCCACAACGUAGUUUUAUUUCUCGUUUCUAGUUGGAAGCAAAUGUUCGGUGUACGUAGAGUCGUAUCAGUGGCAGAUAGGUCUUGAGAAUUGCUACGAUGAUUCUGUUGGGGAACGCAGUAAUUUCAAAAACAAAUCCUACGAUCACGCAAGAUCUAUCUAGGUGAUGCAUAGCAGUGAGGGGGAGAGUGUGUCCACGUACCCUCAUAGACUGAAAGCGGAAGCAUUAAGUAACGCAGUUGAUGUGGUCGAACAUCUUCGCGAUCCAACCAAUCAAGUACCGAACACACGGCACCUCCGUGAUCUGCACAAGUUUAGCUCGGUGACGUCCCUCGAACUCUAUAUCCAGCUGAGGCCGAGGGAGAGUUCCGUCAGCACGACAUCGUGGUGACGGUGAUGAUUAACUUACCGACGCAGGGCUUCGCCUAAGCACUACGGCGAUAUGACCGAGGUGUAUAACUGUGGAGGGGGGCACCGCACACGGCUAAAAGAUCAACUUGUGUGUCAUUGCGGUGCUCCCCUCCCCCGUAUAUAAAGGAGGGAGGGAAGAGGCAGCCGGCCUAGGGGGCGCUCCAAGCAUAGGGAGUCCUACUAGGACUCCCAAGUCCUAGUAGGAUUCCCUUUCCUAUUCGGAGUAGGAGAGAAGGAUAGAGAGGGAGAGGGACAAGGAAAGGGGGGCUGCGCCCCCACCCCUUAUCCAACUCAGUUUGGGCAGGUGGGGAGGCGCGCGCUACCUCUUGGCCCUUCUCCCCUCUCUCCACUAAAGCCCAAGAAGGCCCAUUACUUCUCCCGGUGAAUUCCCAUAACUCCCCGGUACUCCGAAAAAUACCCGAAUCACUCGGAACCUUUCCGAUGUCCGAAUAUAGCCUUCCAAUAUAUCAAUCUUUACGUCUAAACCAUUUUGAGAAUCCUCGUCACGUCCGUGAUCUCAUUCGGGACUCCAAACAAACUUCGGUCAUCAAAUCACAUAACUCAUAAUACAAAUCGUCAUCGAACGUUAAGCGUGUGGACCCUAUGGGUUCGAGAACUAUGUAGACAUGAUCGAGACACAUCUCCGGUCAAUAACCAAUAGCGGAACCUGGAGGCUCAUAUUGGCUAGUACAUAUUCUACGAAGAUCUUUAUCGGUCAAACCGCAUAACAACAUGCGUUGUUCCCUUUGUCAUCGGUAUGUUACUUGCUCAAGAUUCGAUCGUCGGUAUCAUCAUACCUAGUUCAAUCUCGUUACCGGCAAGUCUCUUUACUCAUUCUGUAAUACUUCAUCCCACAACUAACUCAUUAGUCACAAUGCUUGCAAGGCUUAUAGUGAUGAGUAUUACCGAGAGGGCCGAGAGAUACCUCUCCGAAACACGGAGUGACAAAUCCUAAUCUCGAUCUAUGCCAACCCAACAAACACCUUCGGACACACCUGUAGAGCACCUUUAUAAUCACCCAUUUACGUUGUGACGUUUGGUAUCACACAAAGUGUUCCUCCGGUAUUCGGGUGUUGCAUAAUAUCAUAGUCUGAGGAACAUGUAUAAGUCAUGAAGAGAGCAGUAGCAAUGAAACUGUAACGAUCAUAAUGCUAAGCUAACGGAUGGGUCAUUUCCAUCACAUCAUUCUCCUAACGAUGUGAUCCCAUUCAUCAAAGGACAACACAUUUCUAUCGUAAGGAAACAUAACCAUCUUUGAUUAAUGAGCUAGUCAAGUAAAGGCAUACUAGGGACAUUAUGUUUUGUCUAUGUGUUCACACAUGUACUAAGUUUCCGGUUAAUACAAUUCUAGCAUGAAUAAUAAAUAUUUAUCAUGAAAUAAGGAAAUAAAUAAUAACUUUAUUAUUGCCUCAAGGGCAUAUUUCCUUCAGAUUCCCUGCACUUGGGGAUUAUCAGUGGCGCCCCCCUUUCCUUUCUCUCCUGAGGAGGGAAAGGCAGGAGGGGCCACCCCUCCCCUUAAUUUGCUUCCCCUAGGGCUGGCCAGCCAAGGCAACGGCCGCGCCAGCCCCCUAGUGGGUUGCUUUGUCCCCUCCUUUGGCCCAUUAGGCCCAUACACUUACCGGGGGUCUCCGGAACCCCUUCUCGUGGCCCGAUGACUACCUGGUGCACUCUGAAACACUUCCAGUGUCCAAAUACCAUCGUCCUAUAUAUAUCAAUCUUUACCUCCCGACCAUUUCAAGACUCCUUGUCAUGUCCGUAAUCUCAUCUGGGACUCCGAACAACAUUUGGUCACCAAAUCAUAUAACUAAUAUAACACUAUAUUGUCAACGAACGUUAAGCGUGCAGACCCUACGGGUUCGAGAACUAUGUACACAUGACCGAUACACCUCUCCGGUCAAUAACCAAUAGUGGAACAUGGAUGCCCAUAUUGGCUCCUACAUAUUCUACGAAGAUCUAUAUCGAUCGAACCUUAUGACAACAUACGUAAUUCCCUUUGUCCAUCGGUAUACUUGCCCGAGAUUCGAUCGUCGGUAUCUUCAUACCUAGUUCAAUCUCGUUACCGUCAAGUCUCUUUACUCGUUCCGUAAUACACCAUCUUGCAACUACCUCCGUAGUCACUUUGCUUGCAAGGCUUCUUAUGAUGUGUAUUACCGAGAGGGCCCAGAGAUACCACUCCGAUACUCGGAGUGACAAAUCCUAAUCUCAAUUUAUACCAACUCAACAAACAUGUUCGGAGAUACCUGUAGAGCAUAUUUAUGAUCACACAGUUACAUUGUGACGUUUGAUAACACACAAAGUAUUCCUCCGGUAUCCGGGAGGUGCAAAAUAUCAGUCGAAGGAAUAUGUAUUCGACAUUAAGAAAGCAAUAGCAAUAAACUGAACGAUCAAUAUGCUAAGCUAACGGAUGGGUCUUGUCCAUCGCAUCAUUCCCCUGAUGAUUUGACCCCGUUAUCAAAUGACAACACAUGUCUAUGGUUAGGAAACCUUAACCAUCUUUGAUCAAUGAUCUAGUCUAGUAGAGGCUCACUAGGGAAACGGUAUUUUUUUAUGUAUCCACACAUGUAUUUAAGUUUCCGGUCAAUAGAAUUCUAGCAUGAAUAAUAAACCUUUCAAGAUUGGGAAGGAUAACCAGUUUGGGAAGACGUCUGCGAGUUGGGAAGGUCCUUUCAAGGUUGUGGAGUGGUUCAUGAGAAUUCAUAUUUGGUGGAAUACAUACAUGGAACUCUGCUAAAUCGGGUUGUUAAUGGCAGAUAUUUGAAGAAAGUCCCUUUUAGUACUUCAACGAAUGAGAGCAUGAACAUAGGUAGGAUGGUUAGCAUAGAGUUUACUAGAAUCCACCGUCCUCAAUAGGACAUCAGAUUUCCUUUUCAACAACUAAAUUUCUUUUUAAAUUGUGUCUUCAAUACACUUUUAGUCCUUACUUGUAAGAUUUCUCAAGUUAAUAGGUGCCCUGAGAUAACAAAACGGAAGUUUACCCACUUCACAUCCAAAACAUCAUUCGUAAACAUGUUCUUCCUCUUUAGCUCAACCAAAGAAAAAGAGGUCACUCUUGUGGAUGUUUAUUUUAAGCCCCUGCAAAUUGUCAAAGAGACAAAGGAAUGGUUUCAUAUUAACUUCCUUAGCCAAAUCACACUCCAUCAAAAUGAUAGUAUCAUCAGUAUAUUGGAGAUUGGACCCCCCCCNNNNNNNNNNNNNNNNNNNNNNNNNNNNNNNNNNNNNNNNNNNNNNNNNNNNNNNNNNNNNNNNNNNNNNNNNNNNNNNNNNNNNNNNNNNNNNNNNNNNNNNNNNNNNNNNNNNNNNNNNNNNNNNNNNNNNNNNNNNNNNNNNNNNNNNNNNNNNNNNNNNNNNNNNNNNNNNNNNNNNNNNNNNNNNNNNNNNNNNNNNNNNNNNNNNNNNNNNNNNNNNNNNNNNNNNNNNNNNNNNNNNNNNNNNNNNNNNNNNNNNNNNNNNNNNNNNNNNNNNNNNNNNNNNNNNNNNNNNNNNNNNNNNNNNNNNNNNNNNNNNNNNNNNNNNNNNNNNNNNNNNNNNNNNNNNNNNNNNACUACAUGCACGAUGAGAUCUUCUACCUCACAAUUUUCCUUAGCCCUUGCUAUGAGGGUUGCCGGUAGAUUGGCAACAAUAUUUAAGAGAAUUGGUGGCAUAGCUCACCUUGUAGUAAACCCCUUUUGGGCUUGAAAAUAGUAUAUAUGUCGUCACUGACCUUUAUCCCAGCAAUGCCACCUUGGACAAAUGUUUUCGCAAGUUUCCUCUAGGCAGGAAUGAAACCCCCUCAUGCGUAGAGCUUGUUAAGAAAGGUUCUUUUCUUAUGAAUGAUUUAAUGAGGGACAACCACCCCCUUGGAGAUGUUUCACAUUGGAAUGGAAGUCAUCUCGGUAUGUCAAACAAUAGUGUGUGUUAUCGAACCAUGGUAGGCCAAAAUUGCUCAAUACGCUUUGCAUCCUCUUUCUUAGGAAGCAAAUUGUUGUUCCGUAGUUUAGCUAAAAUAGUUGAAGCUUCCCGCUGAUUAAAUUUUCAAAAAACGACAUUAUGUCACAUCUGAUAAUGCUCCAACAUUUCUAUUAAAAUCCGGCUGAAAACCCGUAUGGUCCAACAGCUUUAAUACUUUUCAUUUGUGAGAUGGCCUCAAACAUCUAUUUUCUUCGUAAAAGGCGAUGCCAGCGGCAUAUUGUCCAUACAAAGUUGUACACCGGUGCAACAAACAACUUCUUAUAAUAAUCAGAAACAUAUGAUUUUAGAUUACCCACAAUGGUUUGCUCAUUGUUCUUAAGUUGAACAAUUUUCAUUUUACACUAUGUACCAUUCACGAUCAAAUGGAAGAACUUCAUGUUGUUAUUUCCCUUACUCGCAUACCGCUUUAAUGUCUAAAACAUCAAUGAAUGAAAAUAUUUUUUUUCUUUUUCUUUUUCUUUUUUAUUAGCACCGCAAGCAUUCUUGAUUAUUAGAAAAAACUAUAUUCAUCCUGAAGUUUGACAAACACAGAACAAUUCCAUAAGCUAAUUCAUCAGAUUUACAGCUAACCACUGCAGGCUUAGUUCAUUGCAGGCUUAGUUGCAAACUGUCAUGUUAAACAAAGAGACGUCUAUGUUCGUAGUACUAUUUACUUGCUCUCUGCACGACUUGCAUCUGGCUAGUAUAGCAGAUGGGCGUAAGGGGACAUGCAAUGCUGGUCCUGCCACGGGCUACGCAGCUGCGUCAGGAACGGGUCAUUUAGCCAAUCGAACACUCCGUGGCUGCUCGCCGCCGGUAGUUGCAGGCUUGGCAGGUCCAGAACACCCUGGCUCGCCGCCGGUAGCUGCAGGCUGGACAUGUUCGGCAUCCCAUGGUUCGCCGCCGGGAGCUGGAGGCCGCAGGGUGGGUUCACGGCCGGGAGCUGAAGAUGGAAGGGGGCGUUCGCCGCUUGCGAC